rnacentral:lncRNA from 1 species
GGGCUUCUUCCUUUUCCACAAAAUGCUGAGUUGUGUUUCUCUGCCAUUUCUCCCUGUGUUUCUCUGCGGCUCUCUCAGAGAAGGUUGAAUCGCUCUGAGGGAGGACAGCAAACCAAGAGAAGAGUCUGCAGCAGAAGAAUUUUUCAAAUGGAAUCCACCAACAGAAACGGUGUCGUUGCAUCCACUCAAGGUGGUCGUCUGCAGGAUGGAAUCUCACGGCAUUUGUCUCAAUGGAACGGCCUUCAAAUGGCCGUCCAAAACCAGUGGGGCGGCCGAGAUUCUCAUCAGAAGUCUCUUCAACUAGCCGCAGAUAUCUUCUCUUGGUUCUCAGAGUCCAAAGGUUGCCUCCAUUAUUCAUUCAUGUCCUUCUGCAUACAUUUGGCUUGAAGCUUUUAAUCUUUUUUUUUUCCCCUUUUUUUUCACAGCACCACUUUGCGUGGAAGAUUUAGAAAAUUUGCUCCACGAAAGCAUGUUGCUUUCUUUCAACACGGAGAUAGAGGAUGGCAGCAUCGAACAGGUAUGAGCAUGCCCUUCUAUUAAUCUUGAUUUCCACACUUAUGGCGUCCCAUGGAAAGGCAAGGUUUAUAGGGAGUUUGGAAGCCAUUGAACAUGACCCUAAAUGCACCAUUAAAGUUUCUUUCUAGAGUACCAACUCCAUUAAGUGGAACACAAAUCCCUUUUCCUAGUUUCCACUUUCCUUAGGUUUUCAAUUCUGUUGUUUCUUUUUACUUCAUUUUUUUUUUCCUGAAGUAUGUGGCCAGUAUGGGAAGAUAGGGUGCUAUUUAAUGUCAUGAUCAUUCUCUUUGAACUUCUUAUAACUAUAAGUAGGUAGCAGAAGAAUUGAUGAUUAUGCAUGAAGACUGCCAGCAAGGAAACCACUGAUCACAGUAAGGAAAUCUAAAGUUCAUCCAACUUUUCCGGCAAAGGCUUAUAUAUCCUCAGUGCAGACAGGUAACUAAAGUUACAGAUUUAGCCUGAAAAUCUUAAGACUUUUCAUAUUAGCCUGAAAAUCUAAAUGAAUGACGAUUUCAAACUGUUUGUCUACUUGGCAAAGCUCCUUCUCCUUUCUUGGGGCUUUGGACUAGUUUGUGAAACAGUGUACUACUCUAAAAACAUGAGACAGGAGAAGUGAUUGUGGCAAAAACCAUCAGUUUUUUCGGGACGAUUGCCCUCAAAUUUAGGAUGAAAUCCUUGUGGAGUUGAAAAUCUUACACUGAAAGCAGUAAAAAGAUGAAUGCAUUAAACAAAUGAUUUAUACUUCUUGAGGUCCGCUAAAUCAUUUUGUUUGGGUUACAACAAAAAUGCUUAGACUAUUCGAAGUGUUUUCAAUUAAAAUAUUUUUCCUAAAUAUAUUUUUCGGGGAAUCAUACUUUCUAAAAUUUUAUCAAACAUAUAACUUUUCUAAAAAAUAUUUUUUAUAUUAGAAAUGUUUUCUAAAAACAUUGGAGAUAGCAUGAUCUUGGAAAAUAAAGUUUUUCUCCUAUACAUUCAUCUGAAUAAGAUGUACUGAACAAAGAUUAAAAACAAAAUUGAGUUGAUUGACGUUAUACAUCUUUAUCUAGCUUCCAGAUAUGAGAGUAAAAAUGAGAACGAGAUGGAGAUGGAAGACCUAACCAUUCCCUAUUGCAAUCAUACAUGGCAGUCAACAUGGAGUCCUUGCGGCAUGAACACAAAUCAAGUGGAUUACCAGAAGCUAACCCCAAUAAAUAUUGCAAGCUGAAGAUGGGACUUAGAGUCCGUUUGGUAAUGAUUUUAGGAGGAAACUCUUAUAACUUCAUUAACAAUUAAAUUUUUUUAUCAUAUAAGUAUUUGAAAUGUUAAAAAAGGGUUUUAAAAUCACUAUCAAACAUAGUCUUAUACUACUUGUUUCCACCAUUCUAGAUAGUGACAAAAGAAUGGGGUCAAAUUGCUGAAAACUUGUAAUAUGUGUUGAUGUCUAAUUUUCCAAGGUGUAUGACUUGGUCAAAUUGUUGAAGACUUGUAAUCUGUGUUGAUGUCUGAUUUUUUAUGACUUGUUUCUGCCAUUCUAGACAAUGGUUUCUUUUCAUUCUAUAAAAUUUAACAUAUUUUUUGAAUUGAUGUUAUCAUUUUAGAGUAAAAUUAGAGAAUAAUGUAAAAGGAAAUGAAGUUUAGAUUAUAUGGAUUCCAUAAAUCUAAAAAUUUUACAACUUGUUUUUAAUUGGUCGAUGUUAUUUUGAAAAAAAAUUAAUAAUUAUAUUAAUAACUAGUCAAAUAAGAUAAGAAGAUAAUCGGAAAUUAAAUAUAUUUUAUCUAAUAUUUACCAAAAUUUAAUAUAUUCUAUAUUAUUUAUUUUAUGCAAAAUAUAGAUACAUGAAUAAGAAAUUAUAUAAUAUUAGCAUGUUUUUAUUUAUUUUGUAUUUUAUAUAUACUUUCCCUAAUUUAAGAUUUUGAUGGCAUUGUUCAUACUAUAAUACCAUUCUACCUACCUUUAUAGUACUUUUUUUUUGUUGUUGUAUAUUAAUCACAUUCUUCAUGCUUAAAUUACAGUUUUCAUAUACGACUAUUCUAAUCAUGCUCUUUGUACUUGGUCGUAUCUUUUGAUGCAUCAGUCAUAUUUUUGGUACUCUAAACGUAUUUAUCUUAAUAAUAUUUUUUGUAUUUUAAUUAUAUUUAUUAUACUCUAAUCAUAUUAUUACACCUUAAUUAUAUUUUUCAUAUCCUAUUCACAUUUUUUAUACCCAAAUCAUAUUCAUAUUAUUUUUACCGGUUACAAUUUUCAUGACUCAAUAUUUUUAUAAUAUUUUUGGUACUUCAACUAUAUUUUUCAUACUUUAAACACAUUAUGCAUUCCUAAUCACAUUCUUUUUAUUAAAAUCAUAAUUUUUAUAACUUAACACCGUCAUAUUCUUUAUAUUCCAAUCAUAUUUUUUAUAUUUUAGCUAUAUUUUUCUUAUCCUAAUUAUAUUCUUUGUACUUAACUUAUAUUUUUUAUAUUUUAAUUACACUCUCCACCCUACCCAUGUUUCAAACUUUGUCACAUUUUUACUAUCUCAUUUUACAUUUUUUUUACUCUAAUUACAUUCUUCAUACAUCAUAUUCUUCUGACUCUAAUCAUAAUUCUUAUAUUUUAUUACCUUGGUCAUAUUUUAUUUAUUAUUCUUUGUACUUUGAUAACAUUUUUUUUUUGUCAUGAUUUUGUUCUUUAUGUCAAGUCAUAAUUUUUCUUAGUAUUUUGAUCACAUUAUUUAAAAUAUCAAAUAAUUUUAAAAUAAAUAAGUUUUUAACUAAUUUUAAUAUAUUUGAUUACCAUAGAGCUUAUGGUUGAUAAUUGCAUAAUCAUUAUUUAUUUAUUUCUUAAAUAGAAUUAAAACAAUUAUUUUUUUAUUAUAAAAGUUAAGACAUCGGUUCAAACUCUCCACCUCGUAAUUGAAAGUGGAAAAAAGAAAAUUAUGUCAUUGGAUAUGAGAUAAAGAAAUAAAGAAUAAUCAAGUAUAAUAAAUAAAAUUAAAGUAAAAAUAAAUAAAAUCAAAAUACAAAGCUACAAAAUUUAAAUCGAUAGGUAACGUAAAUUGAUUGUAAUUUUUCCGACGAAAUAUGAUUCUUAGAUUGUAUUUUCCGAUAAAGACCUCGUCGAUAACAUGGAGGCAUUAUUAGCGAAUUCCGAGGAAGGUGAGGUAAGAAGGAAUCGAACACCACGAGCCAAAAAGCGCGUUGAAAAGAGCUCCACGGGAAGCUCAUGCAGGGCGGGGCAAAACCGUCUGUCUUGUACAGACACUGAUUGCCAAGAGCUCAACAUGCAGAAGAGGGCUUAAGCACUUGUCCUUGGAACUGGGUUUGCGUCAGGUUGCUCUGUUCAACCCUUGGAAACUCCCAAUUUCUUCUUCAUUUCUUCAAGUUUUCAUUCAAUCUCAGUUUUAUUGUUGCUUGUUUGAUUUCUCUGUGGAGAAUGUCAAUGGAUAAGAACACUGUGAAUCCGGAAGACGGUCUCUGUGUCAGGUAAUCUUUCGAGAUUCAAGCUUCAUUUUUUUAGCUCCCUUUUGGUUUCUUACCUCAGAUAACAAAAAUGAUGGAAAAUGAAGUUCAAGGUUUGAGGUUUUUCAGGUGAGGGAAAAAGGGGAAAGGGGAUUCUUUUUUCUCGGAAACAAAAAAUCCAUAAAUUCUUUUACUAAAGCAGGUAAUCCUAAGUUUCAGGUUUUUCAAGUGUUUGGGAAGUGCUCAUUUAAGGAAAAAAAAAUCUGCAAACCUUAUGAUGAAAUCAGAAACCGAGUCUUUGAGGUUGUUCAAUUUGUGGGGGCACUGAUGUAUGAAAGAGACGAGGACAAGGGGAAGGGAAAGGGGAAGAAUGCAUGGUUUCCAUGUUGGUUUAAUUUUGGACUUUACCUACUUCUGAGGGGCUCGGAUUACUCUUGGCAUAUGUUCGAAUUGAAUAUGGAUUAUUUGGAUUGUUGGAAGAGAUCAACCAUUUCAUUUGUAGGUCUUGUUUGUUGAAUGAAACCCAUUUUACUUCUUACAGUCCUGCCAAAGCCACUUUUAGUAUUAAUUGUUUUCUGGCUUCUGAUACGUCAUCAUUGUCUUGCCCAAUUGCAGGAAUUUGGAGGAUGAAGUCCCGCUUGGCUCUCUCAGCCCAAUUGAUAGGUAGAAAAACCAUGUUCACUGUGAUUUAGUGGUAUGUUUUAUGUCUCUAAACAUUCCAGUGAAAUGAAUCUAGUGCAGGAAAAGAAGGGAAAUUUUACUGAACUAUAAUAGAGGGAAGCACAAUGUUAGGCACUCGAUCAUUAGGGAGCUACAACACAAACAAUAAAAUCUUUAUAAAAUCAAAAGAAUUUAGUUAUAAUUAGAGUAAAAUAAUUUGAGAUUCCUCAAAAAAUGAACGCAAAAAGGAGUAAAUUUUGUAGAAAUUUUUACCAAAGUGUAAUAGAGGAAUAGACGUAUGAUAAUGAGUAAAUUGUGCCAAAAACAGAUGUAAACCGAUUCUGCCUCAUGUGGCCAACAUAAAAACCCUUGAACUCCUCUGUUCCAAUCCCACCAAUCUAGAGAGAUGGAUGACAGAUUUUGCUUCCCCAUCAUCAACUUUGUGACAAUGACUUCAUACUCUUUGCUGGCUUUCUUGUGAGUGGCAUGGUUAAGAAGGAUUUUACCUGUUUUAUCAGAUAAAAAUUGAUAAAUGACAUUCAUGUCAGGUUGCUUUAGGACAGAGCAGUAAAUGGUGAAGUUCUCAUGAAGCAGAAGAAAAUCCAUCUUCAUCUGAAUUGGCUAUGUGGGAGAUUGGGAGAAUUUGAGGACAUACAAAUUAGCCAUGUCUGUCAGUCCAAGAAAAGUCACGCUGACCCUCUGGCUUUAGCAUCUUAGGAACUUUAUGAUGUUUAUUAUACAUACAUUAGUGUGCUGCACUUAUGUCAAGCAUUGUAACCCAACAAUUGUUCUAUUGAUAAACUUUAUUUAGGCUACAAAUCAAGUGUUAGUUCUUAAAACCCUGACAUGGGGUUGUAGCCCUUAGCAUUGCAUCUAUAUUGCUUAUAAAUAAUUAGAGGAAUGGGUAUUGUUAGAAAAGCUCUUUCAUUUCUCCAAGCAGACACAGCUAGAUACCAUGGUUAUAUGAGGAAAGAAUAUCAUUGUUUGGGGAGCAUUAAAAUAUUUAGCAAAGAAACUUAUGAAGAUGGGGAUCCUUAAAUUCAAUAUGUGUAAGCUUCACUUUGCUUUUCAGAAAAAUCAAGAGAAUCUUCAAUUAGUCCUUUUUUUAUCAUGUAAUCCUUAGGAAAAGGAACUUGUAAGCUUCACUUUUCUGUUCAGAAAAAUAAAGAGAAUAUCCAAUUAGUCCUUUUUUAUCAUGUAAUCCCUUUGAAAAGGAACUUUUAAGAUCUGGAUUAUUCAAGAUAUUUUGUACUUGUGGUGUUUAUGGGUUAUAUAUAUUUUCUUUCAAGUGCUGAUGCAUCUAAAUGGCAUUAGGUACAGUACACCUCCCUCAAUCUCUUCUCAGCAGAAGAACGAAUCCAUGGAGGCUGAUAUUCCCAAUGAAACUAAUGGUUUCACAUCUGGCAUAAAGAAAAAUGAUCUUGAUAUCUGUCCAGUUUCUCCUCUUGCUUCUGGUGAAGGUCUGCCGUAUGCUCCCGUAGAUUGGCCAAAUCCAGGUGAUACUUGGAGCUGGAAGGUGGGGAGGAGAGUAAACAAAUCUGGCUUCUAUCAGGAUAGGUACCUUUUUCUUCCAAGGCGUCUUCAGAACUCCUCACAUAGGAGAGAGAGUUUUUCAAGCAAGCUUUCACUCAAACGAUAUGUUCAAAAGCAAGACCCAAAUAUCAACAUUGCUGCGUUUUUUGGAUCAUUUAGUUGGAGGGUCCCUCCAAAAAGAGGUAAGCUUUGAUUUGAUGGUGAUAAUUUAUCUUUGUUGUAGGAAUGACAUAUUCUUGAUUUGAUAUAUACAAGCUUUAUUUAUUUGAUGUUUAUAUACAUUGUGUUUUCUUGAAUAGGAAUGAGGAAGAAAUUCAAUCUUUUGUAGUUGUGGUAGAACUGGUGAUUUCAUGGACUUGAAGCCUUAAAUCACAUUUAUUGGUUAUAUAGGAACUCCAAAAUGCAUGGAUGAUUGGGAUAGUUACUUAUGUUGUUCAUUGAGUUGCUAAUAUAGGUCAUCCUAUUGUCAGCUACUGCCUUAAAAAGCUUACAAUUCAUUACAUGUUCUCCAUUUUACUGGAUGAUUAAUUAUAUGCAUUUUGUAUUUACAAGGACAGUGAGAGUUUCUCACACUAUUUUCAAUUGUCAUUUUAUUUAUUUAUUUAUUUUUUUGUGGAAGGAUUUUAAAUCACCGUUAUGUGUGAUAUGCUUCGUGUCUAUUUAAACGUAGAGGUCUAAAUUAGAGGAUGUGCAAAGAUUAGUAUUCUUGGCCUUGGAUUAAUGCUGUAUUGAGGUACCACAGAUGAUAACAGCAUUUUAUUGUGAGAAGGUGCCAGUUGGCAACUCUGUAAGGAGUUCUAGCAUAUCUUUGUAGAUACUAAAAAGUGAUCAUUCCUUGAACACAUGCAAUAGCAUUGAAGGAGUUUGGUGAAUUGAAUUAUAUUUAUGCUCACCCUGUAACUAAUAAAUGUUAUCUGCAAAGAUUCCAUGCAGCAUGAUGCUUGCCUAAUUUUUCUAACUUAUCAUUAUUUCAUAACUUGUGAAUGUAAAAGUGGUUUUCUGAGCCUGCCAAGGAUAAAAGAAAGCUUGGAGGGUUUUUGGGUCUCCUAUGUAUGGAUAUUAGUUGCCAAUGGUUGGUAUGUUUAAGCUCUUCUCAAAUUGCUUUCAUGUUGCCACUUUUUUUUUUUUUUCAUGAAUUGAAUUUUAUUGAAUAUGAUUAUAGGUUUUAUCAGCUUUGGGCCCAAAGAAAUUUGUUUUCAUGGUCUCCCAUGUGGAAAGAUCCGAGUAUACAUGUUUCUAUCAAACACGGACAUAGUUCUCUUCCCUAUGCAAAUGUUUCAAUGAAUCUUUUAGUAAGGUUGUGUAUAUGUUUGAGAUCUAAAAACCAUGUUUUGCAUUUUUUUGGGUAUGGUUUGAAAUCUUCAUAGUGGAAGCUCUCUCUUCACAUGGAGGUAAUUAGUAAUUUCAUGAACAGUGUAAUUUCUUGUGUUUUGCUUCUGAUUCUUUGCCCUAUUUAUUUCUAGUUUGCACUAUUUUAUGGACCCUAACCAUAAGUUUGCAUGCAAUAUCAAACUAUUGGAACUACAGUUCCUUUGUGUAGUCAUUUCAGGGAAUGCUAUUCUGUGACCUUUGUCUGUCAUAAACUUUAAAGGUGGUCUCUCCUUCUUAUUGAUUUUUAAUUUCAUCAGGUUUUUCUACAUAGUUAAGACACUAUGCUGCCUACGGUUAUGUAUCAAAUAUUGAUUGAAGUAUCCAGGGUCAAGGUUCAUUAAAAUCUCAACUGGAAUUCCAAUAUCAAUUGGGAAAAAUCAUGGAAUAAGGAGCAAAACUUGGAGAUUUUUAGGCGAACCCUUGUAAAGUGUCAACAGAUACAUAAUGCAUGAUUCAGAGGUAAAAUAUUGGAAAGAAAAAAAUAUAUAUGAUAAGUAUGUGGUUUGCAUGUUGAAAAUAUGUGUACUGCUGAGAUCUAAAGAACACAAGCAAAUGUAAUAUUAUUUAAGUUUAAUUAUUUAAUUAUGUGAACAUUAUAAAAUCUUUUGACAGGAUUGAUUUGUAUGUUACGAGUGCAAUACAUAGAUCUAGUACCAUAACUUCCCUGACGGUUCAAAAGCUUUGAGUCUAGAUAUCUUCUCAAAAUGUCUCCUCCGACACCACCUUUUAGCUUCACCACAAAUUCUGAAGAGGUGGUUUAAGGUUGGUGAACCUUCUAGCUUAAAGAUGUAAUCAUCCAGUCAUGUCAAAAUUCUUAGGUUUAGUUUCAUUAAAUGAGAAUUGGAACAUCUUGAUUCUUACCAUGACUUACAGUGAAAAUUGUUGAUGGCCUAUAACCAAUUGCUCUUAUACGACAAGUUGAGGGAACAAAAUAUUGCUGAUUAGGGAAAAAUUUAGGCCUCAAGUGAUGGACAGCAUUGCUUUCUGAGGUACUCUUUUUAAAUAAAUCUAACCACUUCCUCCCACAAAUCCCCUAUGUUGUUCGAGAUUUGGGAUGUCUAGCGUUCUUGGACCUCCCUUGUUAUCAAAAGGCCCAUAGAAGUGUCGAUUUUGGCUUGCCCUAUACUUCUGAAAGAAAAGUUGUUACUAUUGACUGUUGAUGUUCAUUUUCCCCUUCAGAUAAAUGCUGAUGAUUUAAUAACUGGUCUGUGUUGAACAUGCGUACUUAUCUUUGUUGCAGUGACACCUAGUUCUAUUACUCUAGAGGUAUGUCCUCAGCCAGGAAAGGAAGUUGACCAAGAAGUGGGAAAAAAAUCCCCUUUCACCUUACCCAGAAGAAAAAGGAGAGCAGCUAAAUUGCCUGUAACAACCAUAUAUAAGCGACACACUCGACAGUCUACGAAAUGGUUUACCCGAUUCAAUGCUGAUGAUACAGGCAUCAUUGACUUGUGCUCCCUGAGCAAAGAAUCAGAAACAAGUGAUCCAACAAACCAGGAUUUGAGAAGUACCACUGAUUUUGAGUGUGAUCAAGUUUCUAGCCACCAAGUUCCCAUUUCUCCUGCAGGUAGUUUUGUUGCUUGCUGCAACUCCCCUGUUUCCUGUGGUGUGCCCCAUACAGAACUCACUCAAGGAUCAGAAGACAAAGUGAUUCCUGAAGAUUUUGAUAACUUUGUUGAUUCUCUGGAUGAUAUGCUGGCUCAGCCUCUUCCUGAAGCACCAUUAUCCCCACCUGCAACUGAUAAUUAUCAAGCUUUUGAAGACGAAAUUGCAGAGGCUCGAAUAAAACUUUCUUCCUUGCUUGCUAUGGAUUUCCAUCUUUUGGUUUCCUCCAAAGACCUAAAAGAACUUGUGUUGCUGUCAUCCAAGCUUCAGAAGGAUCCUAGCCUUAAUGCUGAUCAACUUUCUAAACUAAAGCUCAUUGAAGAAAUUCCAGUUACUGGUAAGGAUUAUUUGGAGACCAUGCAAAUCAUAGAGGAAGUUAACAAAUUCUUUGCCGACCUGACUUCCAGCAUGGACAAGGCUACUUCACUAAGGAAUGAAUACAAUGCAUCAAAAGAGGAUAUAGCCAUGCUACAGGUUGAUAUAAAUUCCAGCUUAUCAACCUUAGAAGAAAUUGAUGAUCAAAUUGCUAAACUUCAAUCCCGACGAGCUGAGCUGAGUAAUGCUCUCAAGAUUAAAAAUAAGGAAGUAGCUAAGUUGAUCUCUACUCAGAGAACGGUAGCUGAUUCUCUUCCCAAAGUUGUGCAUGAGGUUCAGCUUGCAAACUCUAAAAAGCUAGAAUGGGAGCAGAAGAAGAAAAAUGCUUUGAAGCGAGAGGCCGAAAUCCUUGCGAAAAUUGCUCCUCUCAGAGGGUUUUCUCUUUGAAGAAUGUUGGAAUGAAGGAAAAUUCUGGGGAAGAAAUAGAUCCAUCCUGGGACCAAUUUGUUUUAUGAUGUAGUUAAUUCUCCCCCGGUAGUAGACUCUGUUCUUGUAGUAGGUACUAUGACAUGAUUUGGAGCAAUUAUCAUUCAUGCACUGCUUGCUAAUUAAGAGGCCUGUCUGCUAUUAUUGAAUAUCACAUAUUUCAGGAGCUAGAUCAGUUGUUGAUGAACAAGUAAGAAUUGCCUCAACAAAAAUAGAAUCUCAAAUCAUUAAAAAAAAAUUAAGAUCCAAGAAAGUAAAUGACAUUUGGUCGAUAAAAUAUAGAAUAAAAUUAUUAAUUAUUUUUCCAAUAUAUAUAUAUAUAUAUAUAUUUUAAAAAACACAAUCAAAUGGAGAAUCUUGUAAGGAAAAUGAAUUUUGAGCUUCAUUGCAGUGAUUAAUGUAACGUAUUAUGGGAUAUACUCUAACUAUGUAAAAUUUAAAUGUAUACUAAAUUGGGUAUCGAGCGAGCCACAAUUUGUGACAUUUUCUAACACAUUCGAAUAUCAAUUUCAUAAAAGAAUUUAAUUCACUCAAGUUUUUCUUAGAAAUUUAAGAUUGUUUCAAGUUUUACCUUUUAAGGGGUAUCAAAUCCUAAAAAAUUUUAAUGCAAAAAUCUGUUUACAGACUUGUUUGAUUUUCAUUUAAAGAUUAGUAUUCUACAUUAAUUAUUAGAUAUUGGACUUGCACCUCUUUUUGUUAAACUAUUUAUUGAAUGUAUUGUACACCAUCCGACGAAUUAAAAUCAUUGUAAAUCGAGCAUUCUCGAUAUUAUAGUUUUUUAGAAAAAAUAAAAAUAAAAAUCAUAAGAUAUAAAAUUAAUUUCAUUCAUUUUUUUUAGAUUUUGGUUAAAUACAUUUAGUUUUUAUAAGUUUAAAAUUUCAUUAAAUACCUUUUAUAUUAUUUUUAUUUCUUAUUUUGACUCACUUCCUCUCUCACUCAAAAUAAGUUGUAUGAUGAAAUUUCAAAUUUAUAGGGACUAGAUGUAUUUAGUAAAAACUUUGGAAGAGGUGAAUAAAAAAUUAACGAUUUCUCAAAGAUUGAAUCAAAUAUAUAUCAAUCUUAAAUCUAUAUUAUAAAUUUUAAUUUCAUAUUUACUAUUUACAUAGCUUCACCCUCCUAAGUUUUAAUAGAUUUUCCACAUUAAUUAAAAAUGAUUUUUGAAAAUAUACUUCUAAAAUCGCAGAUGAUCUCACGCGCCAAAAUGGUAAAAUACGCUUCCAGAUAUCACGACCACCUGGACUAUGCUGCGGCAGGGUAGAAUCGACAUUUCAUGUUUCCGUAUAGUUUCGGCAGUUUUAAACGCGGUAUCACGUCCAAUGCCGUUGGGUUCCUAGGGUUUUCUCUUAUGUUCGCCUCUCAAGGAUUGCUUCCUCUGCCAGGUCAUUCUGUGGGGACUCGCAUUUUCUCACUCCAUACUAGAAUAUGCUUUGCUAUUUAUUUAUCUUUCAAAGAUUGAGUGAUUUUGAUUGCUGUUUCUAGGUUUCAUAAUUCAAAAUCUCGUAGUGUUAUUGUUGUUGUUAUUAUUAUUUUAUCUCUCUAUGAAUUGAAUCGGCUUUUUCGUUUCUCAGGUGAUAUGAUUUUCUUCUGAAUUGGAGUGGAUGCGCUGGAACCUCUGAUUGACCUCCUCCAACAACGGGUUUUAUUGAGCCGAGUUGGUCUCAGGUGAAGCUUAAGUUUCUAUGGAUUUAAGUAAGCAUGCAGAUUGGAUGAAAAUGAGAAUCAAGUUAUCUCAGAUUGAUUGCGGAGAUCCAAUAAUGGUUGUUUUAUUUGUUUAGUGAAUCCCAGAAACUAUAUAUGCACUCAAUCUGACAGCAUGUGUUAAUAUAAGAAUAUUUUUAUAUUACUGCAAUUUAUUAAUUUUACAAUUUCUAAAGAAAAAAAUUCAAUCACAACAUUUUCCUAAAAUUAUUUUCAAAUAUGAAAUGAAAUUUAUUUUCUUUUUUCGUUUCUGUAUAAAAGUUUUGUCUUUAUAGAGCUUGGUAUCUAAUGCCAUUUUAAAUUUUCAUCUUUUUUAAGAAAAAAGAAAUCUGUUUUCUUCUUUGAGCGGGUCUUUUCCUUUUGUGGUCAGUGAGGGCUGGGAAAAUGAUGAAAUUAGAAAGUUGAAAUCUGAACAUGCUGUUUGGACUUGUCUAUGUCCAUAGAAAUAUAUAGUCAUGCCUGUAUAUGAUUUUGGUGGACCUAUUUUUGUGGGCUUCUUUGAUGGAUCUAUACAUUAAAAUGUCAUAUUUUGUUAAGUUGAAUUCAUCAUUAAUUUGUUGUUCAAUAUUUAUUAUCUUGGACUUAGUUAUAUAUUUCUACGUUAACCUUUAAUAUUUAUCUGUGUGGGGUUCUUAGUUGGAGCUAGGCAACCAUGUUAGAUGGUGAGGCGUCCAGAUUUGAGGUAGAAGUAGAGUGGAGUAAGAAGUGAGAGAGAGUUGGGGAAACUGCAGUGAUCCCAUAUGAGAAACUCACAUGUUCGGAAACCACUUAUUCAGGGAGAAUCCUUGGAAUUUGGGAGAGCAAGUUAAGUACUAUUUUUUUUUUUCUUCUAUUGUAAAAAAAAAAAAUAGAGUAUUUUAUAAAACUUUCUGAUGGUGGUGACACAUCUCCCAGGCACUGGCGAAGCCAACAUCCCUCUCAUGCUCUUUGAAGCAGAGUACGAUUCUUCUUAACCAUCCUCUAAUGGUGACAAUGUGUUUUUCUAUGUCAUAUACAACAAUAUAGUUCAUACAUUUGGUUUAGGAAAUUAUAUUUAGAUCUCAAUGACUUAUGAUAAUUAUGUUGACACAGGUUUUGGUCAACUAACAUGAUCAAUCCUCUAACUAACUUGGCCGAUGAUGCCAUUUUCCUAGUUAGCUUUUCUUAUUAACACUAUUAACCAAAGAUUUCUCCAAUGUGCUAAGAUUGCCCAAAGGGAGGUGAUUCUUUGUUUUGUUUUUUGAGGCCUAUGCUGUCUUGUAUACUUCUUGUAUGAUGUGCGGCGUUUUGCCUUUUUUAAUGCAUAUCUUUUACUUAUCAAAAAAAAAAAAAAAGUGCUAAGAUUGCCCUUUGACUUUUACCCUUCUCUUACAAAAAAGAUUAAAGGAAAAUAGAGUUGUUCAGCCACACUUCCAGAAAAGCCGCUGCACAAGCUUACUCUCUGGUUGGAGAGAUGGCCUCAAAAGCCACAGCUACAAGCAGCAUCCAGAAAGUCUUAUGGCUGGUUGAAGCUCAUACAUUGUACACAACCAUGGAUGAUCUAUUAAAUAAAAAUAAAACAAAUGAAAGCAAUGUAUAUGUUUGUUAAAUAAAGGAGGAUUUUAUUUUAUUUUAUUUUAUUUUUUAACAAAAAGAAGAAAGAAAACCUUUACUCAAUGAUUUUAAGAGCAAAAAUUUCCAUAUUCUUGCUUCCCUACUUUGCAAAUUAAAAGAAUAGUUUGUUGUAUACUUCUUGUGUGCUUUGGGGUACUCUGUUGAUUUUUCUUGUUUAUAAUAUUCUCUUGUUUAAUGUGUUACAACUUGAUUGGUUAGCGGUGUGUACUCCAUAAGGAAUGGUCCUUAAUAGAGAGUUCGUUUGUUUUCUAUGUAUUUUCCUGUAAUUUAGUUUUCUUUGGCGGGAGGAUUUCUCAUCCUUCUUAUUGUACUUCUUUUUUAUAUCAAUAUAUCUAUGUGUCGUUUCCAAUCAAAAAAUAAAAAAUAAAAAAAAAUUCUCUUGCUUUACUCAUAAAAAAAGGUUAGAAGAAUAGAACUUAAGUCAAUUGUUUUUUUAAUAGACAAAUAAAGAUUAUUAAGCAGCGGCUAACAAAAAGGGGUGUACCCUAUUUACAUAGGUGGUUUACAAAAGGCUUCAAGAAGAAAAACAAAAACUUCUAGAUAGGACAACCACCAUAAAGACCUAAUUAUCCAUUAUUAAGGUUAUUUGAGAAAUCCAACUAUGUGUAAUUCUUUAGACCACUGCAAAAGAAAUUUAGUGAAGAUCUCCUUCAACCUUUGAUCUGUGUCAGCUUUUCCUCAUAGAAAAUCCUUUUGUUAUGCUCUCUCUACAUGUUAUCAAAACAAACAUGAAACCACUUCAAUCAAUUAUGGUGAAUUUGAGACUUAUUUUGUCUAAGAUUAAAGGGCUUUUGUUCCAAGAUCCAAUGGAUCACAUAGGGAUAAGAAUGGUAAUGCAAAAAUAACCAUAGAGGUUUGAAUUUUGGUAAAUGUUCCUUUUAUGCUAGACAUAUAUACCAUGCUUUUUCCAAUCAGCCUGUUGGGGAGUUUUUAUAAACUUGUAGCAAAAGUUCUAGCUAAUAGAUUGAAAAGGGUGGUUGGUAAGGUGGUAUAAAACAGUAAGAAUGCUUUUGUUGGGGGUAGAUAAAUGUUGGAUGCUGCUUUGAUUGCAAAUGAAGCUGUUGAUUUAAGGAAGCAUAGUUCUAGUGCAGGCUUAGUUUGAAACUGGAUAUAGAAAAGGCUUACAAUCAUGUAAGCUGGAAGUUCCUUCUUUCAGUCUUAGAAAAAAUAGGUUUUGGCCCCAAAUGGAGGUAGUGGAACCAGUUUUGCUUUUCGUCUAUGAGAAUACCAGUUCUUGUUAAUGGCAAUCCCACAAAUUUUUUCCUCAAUCUCUUGAGGUUUGAGGCAGGGGGACCUUAUUUCACCUUGUCUCUUUGUGUUGGUAACGGAAGCCCUCAGCAGCUUAAUUGUAAAGGCUGAACAAGGAAGGUUCAUUGGAGACUCAAGUUUCACACCUUUUUUUUGCCGAUGAUACCCUUCUUUUAUGAGGAUGAUGUAGAUCAAUUGAAAUAUUGGAAAUGGACGGUCAUUUGUUUUGAAUUGGUGUCAGGCUUGAAAAUAAAUUUGCAAAAAGGUGAAAUUAUUCCCGUGGGGGAGACGAAGGAUGUUAAUAGAGCAACUUCUCUUUUUGGAAGCAAAGUAGGAAAGGUUCCUACUUCUUAUCUAGGUUUACCCCUCAUAAGCGUUGUGGUGCAUAGGAUUCGAUUGCGGAGAGAUUUAAAAGGAAAUUGAUUGCUUUGAAAAAACAGUACCUAUCCAAAGGAAGAAAACUAGUUCUUAUUAGGAGCAUUUUUUGAACUCUCCCUAUCUAUUUUAUGCCCCUCUUUGUAAUUCCUAGAAAAAUGAGGAUUAGAUUAGAGAGAAUUCAAAGAGACUUUUUAUCAGGAGAUUUGGGAGAUAGGAUAAGGAUUCACUUGGUAAAAUGGCCAAAUGUGUGUAAUACUAAAAUUUUUGGAGGGUUAGGGCUAAGAAGGCUGGACUGUCUCAAUCAAGCCUUGCUUGGCAAAUAGUUAUGAAAGUUUUCUGUUGAGCAUGAGAGCUUGUGGAGGAAGAUCAUUUGUGGAAAAUUCAAGGAGAUGGAGGGGGUUAGACUAUUAGAGGGAGAAGGAAUUCCUUUAGGAUGAGCCUUUGGAAGGACUUUAGAAAAGUGAGGGAAUAGUUUAGCGUUAGAACUUUUAUCCAGAUGGGAAAUGGUAGCCAUACAAGAUUUUGGUGGGACAUUUGAGUGGGGGGCAUUAAGCCGAAAGAUACACCUUACUCUUUUUAGGAUAGCAUCCCAUAAAAAUGCUACAGCUGCAGAAUUAUUGGAAAGAGAAGGGGGAGGAGGGGGGUAUUGGAAAGUUUAAUUUAGAAGACCCUUCCAAGAUCGGAGGCAGAGGAGGUGAGUAGGUUUUUAGGAUUUCUUUACCUGUUAAAAGAGUGAGAGAUGAGGACACUUUAUUUUGGAAAGAAGAUAGGAGGGGAAUUUUCAGUGUUAAGUCAUAUUAUUGUUCUCGAAGGGUGGAGAAUAAUUUAAUUUUUCUUGGCAAGGAGAUUUGGGGAUCCCAUUCUCCAUGCAAAACUUGUUUUUUUGCUUGGGAAGCUGUUUGGGGAAAGAUCUUAACUAUAGAUACUUUAAUGAAGAGGGGAUGACAAAUGGUCAACGGAUGUAAUAUUUGUAAAGACAGUGAAGAAUCAACCGAUCACAUUUUGAUUAAUUGUGACAAGACAAGAGAGCUAUGAACCUUUUUUGUUAGCUCUUUUUGGUUUGGUUUGUGUAUUUCUAAGCUUAGUGAGAAAUCUCCUCGUGUAGUGGAAAGUUAAAGGGUGUCAAAAGAAGAAAAUAGCAGUUUGGUGAUUAGCUCCUAUUUGCUUAUUUUGGUGUAUUUGGAAAGAGCUCAACUGAAGGACCUUCAAAGAUGAAGAGCUUUUUGACCAAAGAUUAAAGGAUUUCUUCAUUCGGACGCUUUUUGAGUGGUCUAAGGAUUAUUUGGAGUUAGAAAACCCCUCUAUGUUGAAUUUCCUCGAUGCUCUUUAUUGUGGUUAGCUUUGCCUUGUUAGUGUAGACCAUUUUUGUUUGCGGUUUGCCUUGGGUUGUUUCUGUGUAUACUGCUUGUAUAUGUAGGGUGCACCCCUCUUUUUUGGCGUUUCUUAAACAUGAUCUUGUUGUCUAUAAAAAAAAAAAAUACGAUGCUUUUUCUUUUCCUUUUUUUUUAGCUAUACAAAUCCAUUUGAGGAAGAAGGAAGGCAAGCGUUUUAGCCAUGGAAACCUUUGGUUUUGGGUUACUUAAGAAGGUUUUUUUUCUUUAAUGUUUAUUUUUAUUUUCCUUUAAUACACACACGUGCAUAUAGUAUGAUUUUUCUUUUUUUUUUUCUUUUAGCUAUAUGAAUCCAUUUAAGGAGGAAGGAAAACAUGGGUCUUAGCCAAUGGGUGUAAACUGAAUGGUUUUUAGGUUCCUUAGGAAGAAGGUUUCCUCAUUUUUUUUUUCUAAUGUUUAUUUUUUUUUUUUUGGAAAUUUGAUCAUUUUGGAAAGGUUGAGGAAGAUUAUAUAUAUACAUAUAUGUGUAUGUGUGUGCAUGCACACACACAUGCAUGCAUGCAUUUAUAAAUAUGUUUGCUCUGCACGUCCUUUAUGGAUAUUCUUUUUCUUUUCUUUUAUCCAUUUGAGGAAUAAGGAAGCUCUGGGUUUUAGCCAUGGAAUCCAAUGGGUUUAAACUUUUUUGGUUUUUGGGGUUCCUUAGGGAGAAGGUUGGUUUGUUUGUUUGUUUGUUUUUGUUUUUUUGAAGGUUUAUUUUUUAAUUUUGCAAAUUUCAUAGUUUUGGGAAGAUUGAGGAAGAUUUCCAUGGUUGCUGGUGGUGGUUUAUUUAUUUUUAAAUGGAAUGACAAUUAUGUCACCAUGUAGUUUGAAAUUUGUUUUUGAUUAAAUAUCUGUUUGCUGUUUUAUUUGUGAUUAGGAUAUAUGGGUGGAAGAAGGGGGGAUGAAGGAGGGAAGAACAAGGAAGGGGAGAGAAAGGCAUCAAAGCGCCAACGUCUUGACGAAGGGUAAUUUCAUCAUGUCAUCAUUUCCAUUAGUUGUGUUAGUCAACAAACUGCAUUCGGGAGUGUUAGCAAUAUGUUUGAAACCUCAAUAGGCGCAGUGUAAUUUUUAGCAACCUUUGAUGGUUUAAGUUUAAACUGGUUGUCCUUUACACUUAUCCCCGGUAUAUUUAUGUGCUUUGUAUUAAGUACGCAUUCUUUUUCAUUUGUAACACAACAUAGAAAAUUAGGAACAUUUUGUAUAAUUGGAAAAACCCAAUGAAGAAUUUGACCAUGUUAAUGGGUAAGGAGAUCAUUGCCACCUUCUAAUAUGUUGGUUAUGCCUUUGCCCUCAAAACAACACCGUGAUGCAUUUGGUGGAGGUGAGGGGAAGAGAGUGGAGGACUUUCUAUAACCUUCCUAAGUGGGCAUCUUAUGAUACUCAUGUACCCGUGGUCGACUCUUUAGUACAUCCAAGCUAUAAGCAUUCUCAGAAACCUAUGAUAUUAAAUAAAUAUACCAUGUGUAAAGUGGGAAAAUGUAAUAUCAUUCAUCAAUGGAGUUAAGUGCCUUGUAAUUGAAACCUAAAAAUUGGCCAAACAAUGCAGUUCCAUCUAAGCAGUCAAAUGGCAAGUCUUAAAUCAUUGAUGAGGAUGAUGGAUGGAAUAUAUAUAUUCUAGAAAUAAUAAUGCUGGAAUUAUAUAGUUAGGUAAGUGAUAUAAUUUUUCUAAGCAGAAUAAUGUUUCUCUACAAAUAAGAGUAAUAAAAAUCUAGAAAGUUUUGUGUUUUUCUUUUCAUUGGGAACAUAUGAACUUGAGGACUGUUCAACUCAUCAAUUGUACUAGAUUCAUCCAAUUGGUGGCACAUGUUUGUUUUUUGAGGAAUUUAAUCAUUUACUAUGUUCCUUUUUAUUUCCUUCAAUUUCCAAAUAAGAAAACUAAAAUUAUUUUAUUCAGAAUGAAUAUUAUUUUGCAAUAUGCCUCUCUAAUUAUAUCUUCAAUGUAAUAUUCCAUAUAAAACAGAACUGAAGAGAUUUGGAUCUUUAAGAACAGUCUGUACUUGUGGCAUUGGUAGGUUAUUAUACCAUGUUUAUUGCUAACUGUUAACGAUAUCUGAAUGGUAUCCGGUGCAGUCUAGCAUCCUCAAGCAGUACUCAGACAACAAAGGGGCCUAUGGAGGUUGAGCUUCAUGAAAGUAAUGGGAGCACAGCUGGGAUAAAGGACAAUGGACUUCACCUUUAUCCAGUUCCUCUUCAAGCAUCAGGCCAAGGUUUACCAUAUGCUCCUAUAGACUGGCCCUGUCCAGGUGAUGUAUGCGGAUGGAAGGUGGGGAGAAGAGUCACUGGUUCUGGCUAUCAUUUGGAUAGAUACUUGUAUCUUCCAAGCCGUUUCAGUAAAAAGAGUUUUUCAAGCAAGGUUGCCCUUGAACAACACGUCCGAAAGGAAUUCCCUGAUACAGAUAUUGAUAACUUUUUUAGGUCUUUCAGCUGGAGAGUUCUCUUUAAAAAGGCAUCUUCUACAAAAGGUCAGUUUUAAUUUAAUGUUCUUCUUUUUUUGUUAUUUUUAAAAAAUAACAUCUUAUCCAUUUAGUAUCUCACCUUCAGUUAUGUGGGGUUACUAUCUUUGAUAUUUCUGUUAUAUAUAUGAUAUUUUCCCAUGAAUGGUGAUGGUCAUACUUGCUUCUGUAUGCGAAGUUGUUUGAUCUCUAGACUGUUGACCAGACUGGCGGUAUCAAGGACUUGGCAUAUCAUGAGUAGCUGAGGUCCCACAAAUGGCUCUCAGAAAUUAGCCUGUGUGGCUUCUAGAUCAAUGGAGCCCAAGUUACAAGCUCCAGAUAGGUUACACAACUUUUUAUAGUAGAGCCAAGUUCACUAGUUUCUGUAGUUGUUUGGAUAGUUUGAAUUAGCGAAAUCAGCUUUCUGAAAGCCAACCACAAUUUGCAUGCUAUCAAAGUGGUUGAAGUGGGUUAGCGUUCAUUUUGUAUUAUCAUGUUUCUUUAUCUUGAUUUGUGUUAAGUGUGUCUCUAGGCAUCGCUAUGUCAGAUUUUUUUUAAGCCCCAUUAUCUUAGGAUGUAGGAACAUGGCUAAAUGAGCUAAUUUCCGAAUUGUUCACAUUCAAUACCUGUAACUUGGUCCACAUGAAGUGUAUAAUAAAAUUAUAACGUGCAACGUGAACCUGAGAUUACUUGCAGUUGAACUAGGACAUCAUCCUUCUUUGUCUUCGUGGCAACCACCUUUUGGGUACAACCAUAACCAAUAAGCAUGUCAGACACAUAUCCUGUACCCAAACGCUUUUAACCCGAUGUCUGAAAAGGUACUUCAAAAACUUUAUAGUGCCAAUUGAUAGAUGAUUUAUUUCACAUCUUUUGUGUUUGCUUGGAUAUGUGAGAAUGUCUCAUUGUUGUCAUAGUCAUACUGUGGACUUAAGAAAGGGGCAUCAUGCUAUUAUGUAUUUGUGUCAUAUGUGUUUUGCAGCACACUUUUAACUGUGAUGUGUGAGUUAUGGGAUAUAUGGGGCUAAGAUUGAUGCAAUGGUUCUCAAAUAAGUGAUUAUUACUGUGAGAGGGUCAGACCUAGUUCUGGUGCAUAACUAAGACCUGUUUAACAAAUGCUUUUCUUGAAGCAUGAUAGCAACAUUUCAGAAGUCCAGGAAUAUGUGGUGUAUUGCACCUUGUAACUUGCAAAGGCUUCAACAUAACAUCAUGAUAUUUGUUUUUCAACUUAUGUUUUGUCUAUUAAAGACAGAAGUUGAACCUUAGUGACAUGUUGGAUGGUUGUGAUAAUGCGAAAGAGUUGCAUAUUGGAAAUAGGGUUAUCACAGGUGAUUGUUGGGUUGUCUUGGCUAUCAGGCAAGAUGAAGCAACGGGUGAUCAUCUUCUGAAGAACCAGGAAGGAUGUUGUCAAAGAUGUAGAAGCUAGGCAAUUGUUUCAAUCAAUAUAUGAACCUAGGCAAUUGCCUCAAUCAAAAUACUGACAUGAUAUCAAACACCUUUCUGAACCUGAGAUGAUAGAGUUAUGCUUAAAAGUUAGUGCCUUGAUAUAGAAAGUUCCAAUAUCCAAAAUCAAUAUAGAUGAUUGGGUUGGAUAUAUUUUUUAUAAGGUGAUGCCUAGUAAUCCUUGAAAAUUAAAGAAUUGGAAAUUGAAACUUAAAAGCUAACCAAUAUGAGUCAAUGAGAAUAUUGAUUAUGCAUAAUUUUACUGAUAAGCCAAAGGAUAAAACGUAUUAAAAGGCACCUCACAAAAAAGGGGGUGCUACCUAGCACACAAGGUAUACAAGACGCACCAAGGCUAAAACAAAGAACUUAAAGCAACCUAUGAUUACUCCAUACUCGAACCAUCUACAAAAUCAAGUGAGGAGUAGUUGAUUUCUGUCUCAGAACAGCUUGACCAAGCAAGUGAAGACUUAAAAGUAGUCUUUAACUGCCAAAAAAGAUUUCUGAGAACCUUCAAUGACUCUUCUAUUUCUUUCUUGUCUAUAACAUGCAUAAAAGGGUUAUCUUCCAAACCAAUUGCCUUCUUUACCCAAUAAAUCUACCGUUCCAUCCAUGAAGGACAUCACAGACUUUCUCUGGAAGGAUCCAUGUCACCCACAAAAUAGAAAACACCAAAGACCAAAGUCUUGAUGACCAAUCACAAUGGAUUAGAACAUGAUCUGCCAAUUCUUCUUGUCACUUGCAAAGGCAACAACUCACCAAAGUCCACCUGCUUUUCAUAAGAUGGUCGAUCAUGAAUAUUUUGUCCCAAGUUAGUUCCCAACCAAAGAAACUAACCUUGGAUGACACCUUAGAAGCUGAAGUCUCUAUAUCUGGGAAGGACAAAGGAACUUCAAAACACAAAAACUUGUAGGACUUAACUGAAAAUAUGCCUUUCUCAAAUACCUUCCACACCAACUUAGCACCAGAGUUGAUUACAAGCUUAUUAAAGAUUAUGAUUUUAAAUGUACGUGUGUUUGUGUGUGUGUGUAUACUACGUAUUCCGAUCUAUCAACUGCACUCUGAUCAGCUGUGAGAUUACAUUCAGUUCCUCCCCCCCCUUUUUUUUAAUCAAAACUUUUGAGCACACACACUCACACUUUCUAUCAUGCAUUGGCUUGCUUGGCUUAUCACCUUAUUCUUUCACCUUUCAGACACAAGGUCUUAUCACCUUGACAUUUCCCUUGGUCUUUGAGAACACUAUUUGAAAUUAGUUUAUAACAAUUUCUUUCUGACUUCUAAUUACAAAAAUUUGGUGGAUUUGAUCUUGUUUACGGUUUUGGUGGUGUCUGAUGUGUUUCUGAUUUUCCUUUCAUGUUGAUAACCUGCAGUUCACUUGCGUGGUCAUAAUCCCCUAUUGACUUUAAAUCGUAAAGAGAAAAAAGGAUCAUGGAGAGGGGAAGUCAUUGUCAUGCUUACGGGUUGUACCUCUCCAUAGUUUUAUGUACCGACAUUAUCUUGCCUUAUGUUGUGGAAUGACAUAUAUAGAAAGCAACAUUGUUACUAAUGAAAAAAUAAUGGACAUAAACAUGAUUCAAAUAUCCCAAACUUUACACAGAUAUUUUAGAAGAUGUGCCCGGCAUAUUUUCAGUCUGCUGGACCAGAGUCAGGAAAGGAGGGAGAAGAAAGUUGUAAUGGAAAAUGAUGAAAAAUAUUUAAAAAGGACUUUUUUUUUAUUCUGUCUGGAUCUUCACUAAAAUUUCUGAUACUGAUGGAAUAACAUUCUUUUCUUGCUGAUCAACACUGUCAGGAAAAUGGAACUGGGAACCUUGAUUUUUCCCAAGAACCAGAUGCAGGGAAACUGGAACUAAGAACCUUGAGCACCUGUUGGCAGUUUUCCAUUGUGGUUUGGGGGAUUUCAACUUAAGAGUGAGGGCAGUGGAGUCAGGCUGUUAUGAUUACCACUGAUUUUUUUAGCCCAUACAACGCCACAUUUUUUUUUCCUGAUAGGCUAGCCUAUACGAUGCCACGUGACUUGCAAUUUAACUAUUUUUCUAGCUCAUCACACGUGCCCCUCAAACAGAAAGGAUCAAACAAAUUAAGAGUAUAUUGAAAUGAGAAUGAACACCUUCAAUAUACGAGGACUCCUCUAUCUUUGCAAGGUCAUUGCACGCCAUCAACUGGUAGAACUCAUUUCUUAGUGAUGAAUCAUGUUGUAUUCCUUAAUAUAAUUCUGAAGUUUUUGAUAUAUCAAUCUUGUAUAGUUAUGAGACAGAAACACUGAACACGUGUGUUUUGUUAGCUUCUCCUAUGAAUCAAUCUUGUUUUCUCCUUGUCAGGCUCAAGUAAGCUUGGAAUGUUGCCAUAGGCAGCAGCCAUCUCCUGAAGCUAGUAUCUGCUAACAGGAUUAGUUGAUGUUGGUUACCACUUCAAACUUCAACCUCUCGUCCACAGCUUUUGUAAAUCAAAGAUCUCUAGCUACAAAUUUCCCUGGUACUCAGUUAUAUCAAUUUAAUCCAAAGUUCUACCUUCCAGAGCCAAAAUAGAUCGAGACAGUCCAUAGUCAGCAAAUGAUUGUCAUGCUCAGUUGCAUUUGGAGUGUGAAUUGAUACUGCACAUGUCAUAGACUAUAAUAGUGAACCUCUUUAGUACAUUCUGCACGUCUCGCACUUGUGUCACCCAUGAUUUACCCAUUCCUUUGUUAUAUUGACUUCAGUACUAAGAUCUUAUGUGCCACAGGACACAUCAUGUCAAUAUCUGCACUCAAACUUGCAUUUACCAAUUCAUUUUCCAGCAUUAUGCUCUUUGCUAUUUGAGCAUGUCAUCAAUAGGAUUGACUAAGUGAGUUUCCAACACUCUUAAUGGCAAAAUUCAAUCAUACUUGUUUUUGCCCAGAGUCUAUACUUAUCGUAAAAGAAUUAAUUUCAUUUCCAAUUUCUUGCAGAUAAAGCUUAUACAAAAUGGUUUCUUCAGUCCAAAACAUAUAUUUCUUUCCUUAGCACUCUGCAACCCUACGCUUCUCAGAACACACACAUGCAUGGUACAGAUCACUGCAUGAGAAUGAUGUCUUCACAUCAAAUCUGCUACAGAAAAAGUUCAAACAUAGCUACCAUGGUUUAUAUUGCAUGAAUGGAUUUGUGAUUUAAUCAAGGGGAGAAAACUUUAUUUUAGUCGGCACUUUUGCCAUACCCAACCCGUAGCAACUAAUCUUGUUUUGAAUUCUCCUUUGUUCUUGAUUCUUCUUCUUAAAGAUAUGUUAGAAACGGGUUUUUGUACCUUUACUGUGUAAUGACUUCAUUUCUUCCAGUACAGCCUUCUUUCAUUUGUUCUUGUAGACAGUAGCAUCCUAUUUAGAAUGAGGGUCACCACUAAACAAACUAGUGCAGAAGGAACCAUAUCGUCAAAUCUAUGGAAAAUUGUUAUUGUCCUUGAUCCUUAUCCUCUUUUCUCUACUCACUGGCUAGAGUCUAAGCCUGCUCAUGUUCUGCCAUCAUCAUAAUCAUUUGUGGUUCUAUAUGACUUACUUGAGAUGACAACGAUACUCUGGGUCACCUCAUUUGGUUAUGUGUGGGUUGUAGCUUCUGCAAUCCUCUUCCCACAUCUAUCUCUUUAUUUCUCCCUUCCUUGUUUGCCCCCUCCAGUGAUCCUGUCCUUGCACUGGGCAAGUGGAUUCGGAAGCCUGUAAUAACCUGUUACUCCUAGAACAUCCAAGAUAUAAAUGUCCUUUACUUAUUGUUCAUACUCGAGGAAAUUGCUGCAAAAACUACUUGUUCUUGAGAAAUUACGGGUUCUCCAGAGUUCUACUGCAUAACUCUCAUGACACAUCAUAUAAUACUUAAUAGGUGAGGCAAAAUCUAGUGGCACUUAUAGCCAUCGUCUCCCACUUCUCACAUUGUUGCCUUUUAGAUGUUUUUUACCUUUUUCUUACAGUGUCUUGAAUAAGCCUCUUUGAAGUGAUCCUGUAAUGAUUACCUUUCCCUCUAAACUACAUCACCUAAAAUAUGAACUUAGAAUACUUCAUCAACAUUGUAAGCCCCGUCAGAGGUCAUUGGAAUUAAAAACCUAUGCUCACAGGACUUGUGGGAAAUUGUUGUUUCAAAUACUAUCAUGGUCUAAUCCCAUCAACCAACCAAAACUAAAAAAUCCAAGUCCUGAAAAUUCAUUCCCAAAACCCUCUUAAAUUCUUUGAUACACUCCAACCUCUGAAACAGUCUGAAAGGUUUAAACUUUAUCUAAAUCAUGGAACUAGUAAAUUAUAAAUGCUGUCUCAUAAUUUCAUUAGAUUCAUGCCCAUUCAAUCAAAUAUCAAAGACAAGCUCUCGUGUCAUAUUUGGAUUUAAAGCACAUAUAAAGGAGGUAAUUAUGGCAAGAAGUAAUCAAGCAUAGCAAUAACCUUUGAUUGGAAUUUUUUUACCCUAUCUCUUCCUGAUGUUGUCAAAGUUGGAAAGAUGGUUUUCCUAAUGUUUUUCUCCCAUUUUUCCCUAUACUAUUCUUUUUACCUACAAAUUAUUUGAGAAUGCAUUGGUUUGCUCAUCAAAAGUCAAUCCUUUGUCUGAAGGAUGGAUGAUUGAACUGCUUUUCUCAAGUGUUAUGAGGUUGUUAUCUGUGGAUGUCAUAAAUGUCAUUUAUGGUAUCAGGGUUUUUUUAAUUUUCAUUUAAUGAUAUCUUCUUAAAUCUUGCUUACUGAUAUUUCCAUACUGUAGAUCGUGAAGAGGACUGUCCUAGAGAGGUAGCAGCACAAUCCAGGCCUGAUUCCCAGUUGGAAACUGGGGGUUGUAAGGCCGGAAAUAGAUUGUGCAGCAGUUUGGCACUAGCAGCAAGGAACACGCAUUUAGCAAUGAAUUGUGAUAUUUGCUGCACUGAACCUUCGUUCUGUCGAGAUUGUUCUUGUGUUCUGUGCUGCAAGAGUAUUGCCUCAAGCUAUAGUUUCAUUAAAUGUGAAGCACCAGUGAGUGAAGGUUAUAUAUGUGGUCAUGUUGCUCACAUGGACUGUGCUCUCCGAUCUUACCUGGCUGGGACAGUGGGAGGGAGUAUAGGGUUGGAUGCUGAGUACCAUUGCCGGCGUUGUGAUAUGAGGACAGAUCUGGUUUCACAUGUUGCAAGGCUUUUAAAGACCUGUGAAUCAGUUGAUUCUCGUGAUGAUAUUGAGAAGAUUCUAGGUGUUGGCAUUUGCAUCUUACGUGGCUCCCGCAAAGCAAGUGCAAAGAAGUUGCUGAAUCAAAUUGAAUUAGCCAUGACAAAGGUAAGAUAUCCUUGCAGAAUAGAUAAAUAUCUUUUCCUCUUAGAAAUUUUUUUCCUUUCUCCUUUUCUAUAUUUUCUAAAACUAGCCACACAACCAUCUGAUGAUUACUCAGCUUAAAAGUGGGACUGCUGUUGAAGAUAUUUGGAAAGCGGUAGUUGACACCUUGGCUCUUCCAGCAGGUGAUUUUUCUCUUUAUCACAUCCUAUUAUUGGGAAGUUAAACAUACUAGUUCCAGUUUGGGGUCCUUGUGGAUGUUACAUUCAAAUGAAGUUGUGAAGAGUUAUUAAGUUUGAAGCAAGGGUGAGGAUUCCAGUUAUAUGAGUAUCGUGACCCUGUUGAUUCAUUUCUCAUUAGCCACCUCAUCCUUGGGGGCCUGUCAUAUACCUGGCAUCAUCUACAUGGGCUUUGCUGCUCUUUUUAAACAAAUUAUUGCUCAUAAUUUUAUUUUUUUUAAUUCAAACCUGGUAAAGUAUACCUCCGAAGAUUUGCCAUUUUCUCCUAAGAAAACAGAAUUGUGCAUUCAAAUGUUAUGGAAAUCAAAUUGGAGUUGUUCCAGUUUCAUAUGAUGCACGAGCACCACUUGUCAUUCUCUGUUUUUCAUCAUCAGCAACUUAACUAGAUAUUCAAGCAUUAUAACAUUUUUUUUAAAUAAAAAAAGUUUAUGAGAUACUUGCAUUUGCUCCCCCUGUGUGUUUUUAUGAGCCUUGGAGCUCUCACUCUCUUCCUAUGCAUGUGUGCGCUCACAUGCAUGUCUUUGUGAGUUGGAGCCUUGGAUAUUAUUAUCAGUUUUAUCCAUUUUUGGGUAUUGAUCUGACUUUCUGUCUUUUUUUAAAAAAAAAAAAUUUGAAUUUUCACAAUUGGAGCAGGAUCAUUUCAUGGAAAGGAUGCUCUUGAAGUUACAAAUCCCCAAACCACUCUAGAUGUUCACAUAAUUUCCAACCAGGGGUCUGAAUCUCAAAGACUUGACGAUGAGAUUGAUAAAGUUCUCCAGGCACUGAGAAAAUCACAGGUCUCUGAAUACAAGAUUGCAGAGGAAAGGCUUUAUGCUCAAAAGAGUCAUCUUCUAACUCUGUACAAGCAGCUUGAAGAAGGCAGGUCCCAACUCUCAAGAGGCUUAUCAUCAGCUAGUACAUCUGCCUUACUUGAUGCUAUUGUUAACACAUCAGAUCGGAUAAGACAGGAGGUGAAGAAACUAAGAGACAUGGAAAAAGUGGCCAAGGGUUUUGGAAAAACUCCUAAAGGAAUACUAAAGGAAAACUUUACUUUAGAAGUUGAAGAUUGAUGCCAACCCUUGAGCAACCAUGUUUGUUGGCAUUCGUUGGUUGUUUGUGUUAAAUGUUAGUAAAUAUAUUUGUUUUCUUCAUGCAUGGGACUGGUAAUUGGUAUGAGUUUCAAAUAACAGCCAUUUGUAGUCCGAGAGAUAUCAUACACAUGAGAACCUGUAGUUGAAUUUUGUUGUAAUUCACAGCCACCGGUAAAAAUUUUGGUAGAUAGAACUGGUCCUGUGGCAUCCUUAGCUUAGCUUAGCUUAAUAUAUUUAUUUUAUACAUUUUAUUUCUAUUGGAAAAUCAAGACAUAAUGGUUUUCCUUUGGGAUAAAGGUAUGGACAACGUCAAAUUUAUCAUCGAAAAACUUCUUGACAAAUUCAACUGUUUGUUCCUCAACUCAAGAAAUUCGGGUUUCACAGAUGCUAGCAAAGCUUAUCACUGAAGGAGUUGAAUUACCAAAAUCGGAGAAUCAAUUCUCUGAAGCAAGUAAAGCAAAAAAUUGGAAUACCAAAUUAAAUCAUUUGCUUUACUUAAGAAUAGAUGUGCCCUCCUCUAGUACGAGAGGAAAAAGAAAAGCAAAACGAAAGGAAGCCCUGAAAAGUCUAUUCCAAAAGCUCAAAAAAGUUUGACACUAGUACUAACAAGUGUCUCAUUCCCCUACUCUCAAAGGAGAGGACCAUUUGAGUUGUUUAGACCUUCUUAGAGAGAGAAAAACAGACGCUUUAAGCCCUUGAUCGAAUUUUCUAAGCAAAGAGUAUGCAAACUUUUCUCUUCUUGGAUCAAGAUGAGGGCUAUUUGCUCAUAUGAUUAUCUAUACCUGCCAGUUCUGAUUGAUCUUUCAAUGCACACUAAUCAGGGAUUUAUUUUAAAUCAAUGCAUUUAAAUUUUAUUCUCACCCUUUUAAGUAUGAGUUUGUAUAUACAAUUUUUUUUUUUUUGAUAUUUUUAGAAAGUAGGUCCAUCUUUUGAAAAAGUUUUCAAGAUAACUUCACACUUUUUCUUUCUUCCAAUCCUCUCCAUUCAUUUCAAAAUGGCUGAGUUACCAGUUUGUCGUUCUCAUGUUUUAAGCGUAAGUCUCAGUGAAAUGUAGUUGAUUUUAGUUUACAAUUUUACAACAACUUAGACAAUUAAGUCAAUUAAACACAACAAUUGACAAGAUUAAAUUCAAUUUUUACUUUUUUUUUUUCUUUUUCCCUGGGAACCAAACAAGGUCUUGAACUUCCUCACUACUCCAGCACAGGGACAAACUGGGUAUCUGAACUUUAAGACCCCACCCCAAUCCAGUAUUCCAGUCCCUCAAGGAACCUCAAUCCCGUCCGUAUCACGUCUUCUAGGGAAAUAUACAUGACAAGCACAAAGCACAUGGUGACUGCAGCAUCAGCAGUGGAUUUGGGAAUAGUCUUUUGGAUGGAAUAAAGUCCCCUGGGUGCCCCCACUCUCUGCAAAGAAUCUGAAACCCUUGCCACAUAAUUUUACAAACUCAUCUUUCACUUGACAAAACAUAUGGAGGUUGGAAGAUGUCAAAUGACCCAAAAGAAAAGAAAAUAAAGUCCCUCUUUUCUUCCUUUGUCUCCCGCAUUUCAAAAAGAAAGAAAAAGAAAAAAAUCCAUGAUACAAGGAAAACUAAUCAACAAAGAGAGAAAAAAAAAAGAAAGAAGAAAAAAAAAAGAUGUCAACAUUUAGAUUUCAAUUGUCCCACUUACACUUUCGAAGAAACUGAUUUUCCAGAAUUGGGUUAUUUACUUCAGAAGCAUUGUUAGUUUCAGCGAAUAGAGCAUCAUCUUCCCUAAUUAGAUAAAAUGGAUCGAUAUGGUUAUUGGGUGUCACAUACUAUUUUACCAGGAUUGCAUCUAAUACAGACAGCUAAGGUUCAUUACAGAGAAGUGUGAAUUGAAUUUAAAAUAGAACAAUCCAUAAAACAAGGCCUGAAAUUAAUUCCCAUUUUCUAGUUUUUGAUAUUACUGUUAUGGUGAAUUGCUUGGUUCAUUUUCGUACCUAAGACCCAUAGCAUAACAUAAACUGCAGCACCAUACAUAAAAACUUGAAAUGUAACAACGCUGGCACUAAAUUUAAUUGUGAGAAAAAUAGUGAUUUAGGUUUUAAUAAGAUGGGGAACAAAGGGUGUGUGUUUCAAUUAAGAAAAAAACAUCGAGCAGGUCAAGCCAUUUCAAGGAAAACUUGGAACUUACAUCACCUCAAAUUUAUCAAUGCACAAUGCCCAAACAAGUUUCACAAAGUUCCAUCUCAAACACCUUACAAUUUCAAAUGGCCAGUUACAGGAGUUAAUCAUGCACAAGAAUCAUCCUGAUCACCCGGCAGACCAAAAUGUAGUCAUGUUAAACAAUGGACAUCCAUAGAUAAUUUAAGGUGAGGUGGUGAAAAUUGUUAGCAAGAAUCACUUUUCGUCCAACAAAUAUGGAUCGUCCAUAGAUAAAAGUUAAGAACAAAGUUACAGGAAUCACAAGCAAAAAAUAUAGUCAAAAGGUGGUUAUGGAUGAUCAAGUCAAUUAGGACAAAAAAUGGGGGAGAAAAGAAGAUCAGAAUCAAAAUGAAAGGUCUUGAGUAUAAAAGUAUAAAAUAACAAGAAGGACUAAAGGGUUGGUAAGAUAAUGUUGUUUAUCAUCAAUUUGCAGUUACUUUAAAUGCUAGAAAGCAUCUAUGAAUUGCUUAUGAAAGAUAAAACAAAGAUCCAACACAAUCCAUAGAUUACACAACAAACUAUACUCUUUUAAUGUUGUUUAUCAUCAGAAGCAUAUAUUCUUAACCAUUAAGUCAUUAGAGGACAAAUUCUGGUUAAGGACCCAAUUCUGCUUAUUGGAUGUUAAGAUACACUUUGACCAAUUUCCAGAGAUGGGUCUUCUCAAGAAGUGGAAAACAAGCAUUAUAGAUUUGGUUAAACGCUUUAUUAGUCUAAGAAUCAAAUGCAACACGUGAAUGAAAACCCCUGUCUACCUACAAAUUAUUCUACUCAAAACCUAGAAAUCACUGAAGAACAAAAUCAAUUAAGCAAUGCCUUGGCAGGAGCCAAACAUGUCAUGCACCAACAACAAGCUAUUUCUUCAUUGAUUCUCAACCCGGAAAAAGCAUACCAAAAAAAAAAACUAAAAUACCAUCAAUAAGGCUUAAGCUGAACUGCAUUUUGAAUUAAACAGUAAUGGGCAAGAAAAUCAUUACAGUACGACCACAAGUCGGCCACCAACACCACCUCUCAGCUCCCCACCACCGCCGCCGGCACCCUCCAUCCCCACACAUUUGGGCACCGUCACAACCAGCUCUCCGUCCACAUACACCGCGCUGGCCAGCUCAGGCCGCGUCGUCGCCGGAAGCCUAAACCUCCACAUAUCAAGCUCGAGCUCAUCCAUAGUCAAUUCAACAACAUCGCUGCCCCUAAUCACAAUCUUGGUAACCCCAGGAUGGAUCUCAACUGUGUGUGCCCUAAUAUCGCCGAUACCGUCUGUGACCGCCACGAAUCGAAAGCAGUCGGAGGACUCCUCGACGGCCACGUCGGCGUCGGACUUGAAGGGCAGCUCCAAAACCCUGCUGAAGAUGUGGGGGAGACGCCGCAGCUUCUUCUGGGUGCUCCCCAUUAGCCUAUCUCUAAGUGGGUCUGAGAGAUUAGAAUUGAUUUCAUAUCUGAAUGUUAUGUUUCUCUUCUUUUGCACUGGGUGUACCUUCAUAGUUUCUCACUACUUUUACCUCCAAACUAGAAUUCUCCCAAAAUAAAAUUCGCAAAGAAGUGGUUGCAGCAACCGUGAAUGAUGAUAUGAUAAGGCGUUGAUGAAGAAUCGAGGAUUACGGAGAGAUGGAUGAUGGAGAAAAACCCGUAUAUAUAGAUAACAAAAAGAAAAGAUAAAAACUUGAUUCCAGAACAGCGAAAGGGAGAAAAGCUUUCAGGAAUUUGAGAAAGGGUGGAGAAUCAGGAACCGCAGAGACAAAGCUGGAAAUGGAAAUCCACUCUUUUCGGUUUGGACUUUGGAGAGGGUAAUGGGGAAUCCCAUCCCUGCACAAUUAAAGAGGAAGCAGUUGGGUGUCUAUCGCUCCUGUGCUGUUUGAUAUUACCAUAAUACCCCUCCAUUUUAAUAUAUAAUAAUAAUCAUAAAUACAUUUCAACUUCUUAAAUUUGAUGGUGUUUUACAUUUUGCACCCUCCUAUUCGAAACACAUCAACACCCAAUACUUUGUCUCAAAUGAAAAGAAAAAAUAACAUUAAAAAUCACGAAUAUUGAUAUGAAUAUCUCUCAACAUAAAAAAAUUAAAGUAAUAAUUAAUAUUAUUUAAUGAUAUUUAAAAAAUUUUGCUUUAAGAUUGUUAAUUCAAAAUUAAUUUUACUCAAAGUCGAAUCAAAUUAAGUAUAAAAAAGAAUAAUUUCUUUUAUAAUUUUAUGAAAAGUUUUUAAUUAAGUCUAAUGGACAAAAUAUUGAAUUUUGAAUGUAUUUAAUAAUAAUAAUGUUUAGAGUUUGAGAAGUGGCCAUCUAUGGAAGAUCAAAUAUGGUAGGUGGUAUUUUGUAUCUUCCUUUGCCAUAAAAAUUGUCUUAUAUUAGCAUCUUUGAAGAAGAUUUAGAAUUUAAUAUUUCAUGGAUCCUCCCUGUUAGUUUCAUGCCUUAUGGGGCAUGACUAUACAAAAAUGAUAUGGUCAAUUUCCAUUUUCCCUCAAGGAUGUCAUGAUAAAAUGGUAGCACCUUUGUAUAAAUUAAUUACAAGUGAUUUGUUGCUCUAAAAAGUAGUUAGUAGUUGAUUUUGUUACCAAGUGACCCUUCAACAAAACAAAAUCUCUCCCACAAUUCAGAUGCCAAAUUAGGCAGAGUUGUUCACAUCUUUUCCAAACAAAAACAAAGUCCGAAAUCUAAUUUUCUCCAAUUUUCUUCUGUUUUCCUAGCAACCAAACGUAGGUAAGAUGUAAUCAUAUUUGCGUUUGUUUCCCAGUAUCACUGAAUUCCCACGUGUCCAAUAUCUUUAGUUAACCAAGUGGAGGGAUAAAUUCGAAGUAUCCAUGCACGUUUGGUGCUUAUACACGUAACUCUCAGGCAUUAUUAGGUGAUAAGAAUAUAAUAAAAAAAGUAGUUUUCAUGUUAUAAUUGAGGGUUAUGGAAAUAAAGGGGGACUGAAACAGCACACUAAAAGCCAAGAUAGGAAGGUGCCCAGACCCUUCCGAGAAAUGAUGGGGACCUCUCGUGUCUCUUAUCUAUCACCCAAUGCUCUUGCCCUUCGUUUUAGGCUCAUUGACGUGUGGUCCUCAGCAUCAUUUUUACCUUUGACUACCCUGCUUUCUAAGAAAUUUUUUAUACAAGUUUAUUUGAUGGUUCGUUUUGAAAAUUUAUACGGGUAGAAAUUGGAGACUAGGGAAUUGAUGACAACGUGUAUACAACUCCACAAUGGGGGGAAACUACCGUCAUAUAUGAUAAUACUCAUGCUUCAACAUAACCCCCAGAGAAAAAUAAAACCUAAAACCACCCAAAUGUAUAGGCAUAAAAUAAAUAAAUAAAUACUGGGAAACAAAAAAAAAAAAAACCCCACCCCAUCAUUGCUGCGGAGGAAUAGUUUCAUUUUGGAAGAGACAAAGACCUGAUGUGUGGGGGGCGGGAAGGCCAAUUUUGUACGCGCUAACAAAUCAUAAAAACAGGAUGUAAACGAUCCUUCUUUGAAAACAGAAGGAAAUUACAGGCCAACAGGCAACAAUACCUGGAUGCAUAACCCACCCACCUGCGAAGUUUUCUCACCUUUUCUCUUCCCAGUUUCUCUUCUUAGUCAUUCUUGAAAAGAUAAUAAUAAACUUUAGGUAAGCUUCCAGGUUGUUUAACACAAAAGGGUUUUUCAUUUUCUCACCUUUUCGAGGUUUUCAGAUCAGUGGAGUCAACAGCUUCCCAGUUUCUCUUCGAUGUUAUUCUUGAAAAGAUAAUAAUAAACUUUAGUUAAGUUUCCUAGUUGUUUAACACAAAAGGGUUUUUCAUUUUCUUCCCAUACAACGCGCGCUCCCACCACCACAUCAUCUCCAUGUUGUCAUCAUCACUCCACCAAUAUCCACCUUGCCACCACCACAGUUGCUACCACCGUCAAUUUCCAUAGUUAUUCAUUCUUUCCUGCCUUUCAGUAAAAGUCUCGAAUUUGUAUGGCAAUAUGCUACAGUUCUUUCAAAGUAACAUAGCCAAAUAGUAAAAACUUGAUUGAAUGCGUGUAACUAACAAGUGCCUGAAGAGGAGAAAUUCCCGCUCGAGCAGCUUGAAAAUGGAACUAAAAGUUCCUGAAAUUUUAUGAGCUCUUAAGAAGUCCUCUUAUAGACUUGGAUUUUUAAGUCACACAAGCCUAAUUCAUUAUUUUGUUUCACCCUUCUUUCUUCCUUUCCUCCAAAAUAUCAUGACUCAACUAGUGGCUUUCUGAGAGUUCUGAAGAAGCUUCCUGAUGAUGCAUUCGACGCCUACGGUGUGAUCUUUUAUGGCUACGAGUAUGUAUUCUGUGGGAGGUGCUGAUGGAAUCAGGGUGAAUCUCCCCACCUGCUGCUGCCUCAAGCAAACAAUCAAGAGGGUCUGCCAUCAUAUCAAUGCCAGGUUUCACCUAUAACAAUACAAUGGAUCAGACAAAAGGGAACUGCGUUCACAUGUAUGAAAAACUGAAUGUGCUUCUUUCAAAUGCCACUAAAAUAAGGGAAUGACUUCAUUUCACAGGACCUCCAAAUGCCUCAUUGAACUAGAUUAUCAAAUUCCCUAUUAAGCUCCAAGCUUUUGGCUUAAAAGUCAGGAUUGCUCCUUUUUUUUUUUAGUUUAAGAGCAAGUGAGAUCAGUAUGUGUUUUUCAGAGAAAGAAGUAAAACUAAACAUAAGAACAAAAUUUACAAUUCAUAAAGCACAUGAUGUACACACAAGAAAAUAAAAAUAAGUACAACAGAAGGCUUGGUUUAGGAAGGUAAGGCAUGACAAUGCAUUUUCUUUGAUAUAGAGAACAAAGCCCUUUUACAUAAGCCUGAUAAUCAAAGUCAACACCAUUUUCUGUAAUGUAGGCAGCUCUCUCUAAAUCAGCCUCUAUCAUCAUUUAGUACAUGUCCAUAGUCCAAAGAUGGCCUUCCAUUUCCUGCUCCGCUUAACUAUGUAUUGGAACGACUUACUAGUUACGACUGGCCCAAGGAGGACUACCAACACUGCACUUGGAAUGGGGAUCAAAGGGGAAAGGCAAAUAUUUUUAAAUAAAUUGGACAAAUUCACAAGGAAAAGGAACUGGGAGAGGACACAUUUCAAUCUCUUCUGAGGAUGGUAGAAUUUGAAUGGAAUUAAUUUUAACACUUUAAACUUUUUGACUUUCCUAUCUUAUCCUCAUUUCCUUAUAGCCACAAGGGCAAACCUUGUGCAUAAAAUUUCACUAUAAAAUUCUUUUCAGUGCCAAAGAAGAGAAAGAAAAUGAAAUCUAAUACAUAUUAUUUCCUUUCCACUGUUUAAAUUCCUUUCCCGCGAGGAUUUGGUUCCAAAGAAAGUGUAAGACAUCACAUGUCUGAGACCAGACCCUAAAAAUGAUAAGCAAAGGCAUUCUUCUUGCUCUAUGUUUCUGCAUGGUGCAGCUAGCUAGGUCCAGGAGUAGGCUAUGAACAAGCCGGCCCAAUCAUUGCCAAUGAUGGGUCUCUACUGAUGAUGAUAGCAUAUGAGACCACUUAACAAUCUAUGUGGCAAGACAAUGGGUCAUCUUACCUGAGAGGAAGGAAAUUUCUCUGUAGAUUCAGGAGUGCUGCUACUUCUAGCACCAUUCACUCCUGCAGCCCCUGAUGGUUCUACAUUAAACACUCUGCAUGCAGACUGUUUGUAGCAGUGUGCAGUUUGCCUACUGCCAUAUCCUACAUGAGCCAACUCUACACAGAGAGCUCUGGUGGGAACAUUUUAGUUUUAACCCCCAUUAUCUUUUAAGGUGCAGUGAUCUCCACUGACAAUAAGGUUCCCCUAGGAAACCAUUGAAGCUUAACAGUGGGCUGCUCUACUCCCCUUUUUCACUAAGUUGCCUCCUUGAAAAAUUUUGAAGUUCAACAACAGGUUGAUUUCAUGUUUCUUCUAGAAAUUCAUGUAUCUAGACUUGGAUGGGUAUCAAUGAUUAGUAAAUAUGGCCAAACCAAGAAAUUUUAUGGUGCAGCACAGCUCCAUUAUUAUAAGAAAAUAGAUAUAAUUACAUAUAUUGUCUCACAGACAUAGUUUCUAAAAUAAAUCAAGCAUAACUAGAACCAUGUAAUUGCACCUCAUACAACCACAAGUUUCUUGUUUUUGCAUACAUAAUUACCUCCACUUAACAACUAACAGACCGAUUAGCUUCCUGUAUUAGUCAAGUUCAAAGUAUGGUCAAGGAAGAAUUUUGAGUUAGAGGAAGUGGGAAGGAGCUUCACCAAAAAAACAAAAGAACAGAUUGAUUGUAAUUAAGGAUGUGUUAUGAAUGCACAUGGAAAUGGAAAUAUAUAGAAGGGGAGCCAAAAAACCAAUUACAGUUGCCAGCCUAACAGUUGUACUAAGGCAUAAAAAUCAGUAGAUGAAAUGAGCAUUUUUGUUUCUCAAUGCGAUUGGUCAUUUAAAAUUGAUUUAGUUUGUCUUACUCAUCACAAAAUGGAUAUACCUCAUCUUUCAUAUGGUAGAGUACUUUUUUAGGAUCGGGAUAAUUCCAAAACUAGCUAGUCGAUCUGGUUUACAUAAAUCCAAUAGAUAUCUGUCACAGCACCUCAAGGUCAUUUCGAUAAGCGCUUGCCCAUUAUUAACUUAACAGUAUAUGUAAGGGACAAGCUAUCAACACUCAAACAUGUGAAUAGAAUGAUCACGAUAAACAUACAAGCAACAGCUAUGGUAUCAGAAGGAUGCUUUUGUUAUUACUAAGUUCUUUAUUAAGCAUUUUCUACAUUAGUUCUAAAAAAUCUCUAUCAAGGGUAAUUAUAUCAAUUUUUACCAAGAAAAAAGGUUGGUUUACUAUACUUACAUGAACUUGCUUGGACUCCAAGUCAUUCUUGUAGCUAUGAUUGUCAUUUUGGGAGUCAAUGACAUGGUCAUCAUCAUCAUGUGUUCCUUGGUUAUGAGAAGCACUAUCACCAAAGAAAUUCCGAUGGCGCCAUCUUAAUUUCGGCUUAUCUGAAGUUGAAUCAUCAAAAACUUUCUCUGAAUAGAAAUGAUUGGAGAUAAGUUGCAUUCUCCAAGGAUUAUCCUGAUACUUAUUCACUAUUCUGUCAUGUGAAAUGUAAGUCACAAGUAGAAGACUCAGAAUAAUAACAUGUGUAAACAAACAAGAUCCGCAAAUCCAAUAUAAACAGAGAACACAGGACAAUGAUUCUCCAAUAUAAAUCACUAAUAGAAAAACUUAGAAUGACAACAUAAGGAAACAAACUUCAAGAUCCACACAUCAAAUAUUAACAAAGGUAUGCCAACAACAGAACAGAAGAGGAAAUAAAGGUGUUUUUCAGAACAACAAAUUUCCUGAUCAGCAAACGGUGAUGCAAUAUCACUCUUACUCAAUUUUAAACAUAAUUGGGCCACCUUUCCCCAUUAGUACAUAUGAUCUUAAAAGGUGGUGAAUGCAAAGAUAACAGUACUUCUACCAUGUACCACCAUUAGAUACACUAAACUACAAGGGAGGAUCAACAGAAACUACAUUUUUUGCUUUGUAAGCAACAAUUCCUGAUUAUAAAAGGGCAUCACUUCAAUACCACUUGAAUAACAACAGGGUGAAGUUCAAUUAGACAUUAACAACUCAUUUAUGCAUAACAUCAGUAUACUUAGAAUCUAUAACCUUAAAAAGUAAGAGAAGAACAUCAUAAAUGAAAAAAUAAGAGUCAUGGCUCAUAGUUGAUUUAUCCACUAAAUAAAGCAUAAAUCACACUUAGAUUUCAUGAUAUUUUGACUUUCCCCACCAAACUCAUAUCAGCCUUUCUCACCACCCCCCCUCCCCUCCCCCUCCCCCUCCUCUUCCCCUCCUCCUAGGCAAGAGAGAGUUUAUUAGAAGAAGCACCAAUCAAAAGUGGGUGCAACCCACAUACACAGUAAGUAUACAAAAGAGUGCCCAAAGGGCACAACUAUGAACUCCAAAACUUUAGUAAGGGCUCAAACAAUCAAAGAAACCCAACAAAGACAAAGAUCUGCUUCCACAAACUUCUCAAAUGAGCCAGAUCACAAAAGAAGAGAAAGAAAAGACUUUUAGAGGCUCAACUGGCUGCUCUAAGUCUUUGAAUGUUCAAUAAUUUCACUCCCUCUAUAUGGUCCAAAGCAAGUAAAGGGAAGAUUCUCCAAACUUUCCUGCACUCUUUCCUAUCAAGCUUCCAUGCCACCCUAAUCAAACCUCUUUAACCGAGGGAAAGCCCAAGAAAGACUAAACAAAAAGAGUAUGAGAUGCCACAAAGCACGAGCUAGCCUACAUUGAAUCAGGAUGGGGUUGGCCAACUCUUCCUCACCCUUGCACAAACAGCACCAAUCCACUAAAGGCCACCCUCUCCUCAUCAGUUGGUCCCCUCAAAAGAAGUCCACUUUUGAGGGAGCUGAUGAACCCCAAAUCACCUCAGCAGGAAACUCACCACUAGCUGAACCAAGAGACUAGAAAAAAGAUUUAACAGAAAACACUCCAUCCUUGGAAUGCUCGCAAAUCAUCCUAUCCCCCUUGCUUCUCAUCAGUGCUCUAAUCCCCCUCAACUCCUAAUAUAUCUGCAACCCAAGCCUCAUUGGAGUCAACUAUGUUAAACAGCUCAAGAAAGGAGGCUAAGAAUCAUUGCUUUACACAUCAUGCCAAAACCCAAUUCUCCUCCCAAAAAUCAUAUCAGCUUUUCUUUCGUCUCCAAAGAAACACAUCAGAUUGGGCACCUCUAUAAUGUUGGCUACCUCUUGACAAAUACUAGGAAGUCUUUAAAGACCCAUCUUAAUCUCAUGAGUCCUUCAUUGGCAACCUACAAAUAAUCAUGAAAUCAUCAAACCCAACUCCUAUUGGACAAGGAGUACAAAUACUUUUGCUUUUCACAAAAAAAUUCUUACUCUAUAAUAUUGAGAUUCAUACAAAUUCAAAUAUUAUUACCUCAAAACAUCAUUGUAAUCUAGAAUUUUAUUAAGAUUCUAGUGUAUUGUAUCUCUUUAAAGUACUAUUUUUAAUAACUCAAAGGCAUAUAAGUAGUGUUACUAUCUAGAUAAUUGGCUCAAUUGCAAAGGGUUGGGAUGGGGAUGUGGGAUGUUCCAAGUUAGAUUACUAUGGGGGAAAAAUGUUACCUAUAAGAAAAUGCUAAAUAUUUGAAAAUAAUGGAGAAUUUGAAAAUCUAAAAGAAGUUAAUGAGUCAAAAGUUUGGUUGACUUUCCCAAUGCCAUUGCCUGGACUGUAAGCUAGGUCUAUCAUCUUAGGUCAUCUGGAAAUUCGACAACAUUUCGCCCACUAAGCUAUAGGUCAGCCCAGGUUCAGCUUGAAGCAAAUUCAGUCUAGUGGAUGUUCACUUUUAUUUAACCUAACAAUUACUUACAUCUAAUCUUUUACAUAGGACAGGAAGACAUAUAAUCUGGAUCUUUACACCAUUAGUAUCAAGUUCUCAAAAAAUUAAAAAACUAACUAAACGCAAAAAAAAAUCUGUAGCUUUUAGUUCUAAAUGCAAUGCCAACAAAUUGAGACCUGUAAUAAUUAACAAGACUGAGUUAGCUCAGGCUUAUUAAUGAACUUAGAAGUGUCAGUAUCAGCUCAAGUCCUUGUGAUGAGCCAAGUGGCUUUUUGACUUUGAUACAUGAAUACCAGAAAACCCCAAUUUUUUCCAGCAUAUAGAAGUUGGAAAAGUACACCACAAAUUAGCAAAUGUAGUAGGCUACAUACAUGGUUGCUAACUCCUUUUGCAUCCGACUUCCGUCUAGUGCCAUAAUAUGAGCAAGGCAUGAAUCAAGGGACCUACUAAAUCUCCACAAUCCAAAUGAAACAGCAGAUCCUGUGGAAAGGUAGAGAUGAAAUGUGCAUGUAUAAAUAACAUGGAAUGUAUGCAUAAAUGACAAUGAAGAACACUAUCUCUAAUAUAAAAAUGAGGGAACUGCCAAUGGUCGUGAAUGCAACCAUGGAAAAUCAGAUGCAUUGGCGAGGAGAUGAGGGAGAGAAGGGCAAGAUGAUAUAUCUUACCUGCUGAAAGGUUGAACCGAAACAUCUUAUCCAGCCUUCUCGUUGCUACCAAAAAAGGAAUUGAAAUUAACAAAAUAGAUAAGAAACUCAAAAGUACAUGACAAAGCCCUUGUUUUGCAACCGGAAAGGAAUGGAGAUAAUCAGAAAACAACAUGAAAAAGAGUAAUUAUAAUAGUUGUUAACUCAUAAAACAUUCAGUGUAUCGUUUUUCUAUUUUUCCAUAUUGUGUAUUGUAAGGUUUUUUUUAAUAUAGUUAAAAAUAAGUAGAAAAAAUAUGCAUGCAUGUACAUAUAUAUUAGAAGCAUGGAGUAUAGAAUUAAAUAUAACCUAUUUUAUGAAAGAUAGUAGGAUUUAAGAGUUAAAUUAUAUCAUACUAUAUAAAAACAUUAAAUAUUGAAAAUUUCAAUUUAAUAAAAUAUGAACAUUGAAUACUAGACUUUAGAAAUUUUCAAUUUAAAAAAAUGAGUUUAAUGUAUAAGUCCAUCACAAAAUCCACAAAAAUAAAAUUUAAAAAAAUUUUCCAUUUGAAUCUUAGUUUCAAAUUCCAACUAGGCCUAUUUAUUUAUAUGUGUUAUAUAUAUAUAAAGAAUAUAGCUCUUUCGUAUCAAGUAGCAUCUAUGUAUCAUAAGAUACACUAUGUAUCGAUUUCCAUAAAAAAUAUAUCGUAUCAUUGUAUCAUAUCAUCUAUGGUAAAUUUUUACUGGAAAAUUAACCACCAUGGGGAGCAAUAAUUGCAUACUAAUUGUACAAAUAUCAUUUUAAGUUGCUUGCUCAAGUCAAUGAAUUCAAUUGCUAUGAAGUGCGACUGUUGGUUAAAGAAACCUGCUAAGCCACCUGCUCAAGUUAAUUAAUUCUCAAGCAGUUGGUACAGAAAUCAUUUUGCAGACAGUCAUUGGUUCUCAAAACCUCCAUAGAAAACACAGAUGAAUCCAUGCCAUCUCAAGAUGAUGUGAAUGUAAUGCUAUUUUAGGGUUCAUAUAUCAUUGCAAAAAUGAUUUCCAUUAAGUGUCCCCACACAGCAUGGCUAUUACAUUGCAAGGAUACCUCCCUCUUCAAUUGUUAAUAAGAUUGAAGGACCCAGUAGAAGGUGAACUAAUUGAACACAGAAAGUUAUUCAAGGAUACGUCCUUGAAUUAUGUCAGGCAGCAAAUGAAAUCAAAGUAUGUCAUACCAUUAAAAUUUCAGUAAAAAUGAACAUAACAUCAACUAUUGCAGUCCUAGUGAUAUAGCACAUGUAAGAUGUCUAAAUUCGCACAACUAUUUGGCAUCACCUACUCGCCCAUACGAAAGCAGACGCAACACAAGCCCCGGUGGUAAAACUGUUGACAGCCUUUGACCGGCAUGAUAGAAGAAUAGAAACUUCCGGAGGCGUCAAUCCACCCUGCCACAUGUAUUACAGAAAAUACUCAUUUCACAAGAUAAUGAGGUGGCAGCAAUGUAAUUUCAGGAAUCUAAGAGUUUAUCAAGAAAAUGCGCACUCUGAAACCCUGGAAUCAUCUAAGUUUUGUAAAAUUAUUUGAGAUAAGUUAAGAAUGUUGCUCGUUUUCCUAAGACCUAAACACCAGAAAAUGUAAGAUUUCUCAAAUUUAAUUUCCACGAGUUUCUCGGCACUCAAACGGAUUAAGUUGCGGAUUAUAUUAUAGAUAUGUAGAAUGGAGAGAGAGUGAGAGAGAGAAUCACCUGUUUGGUCCUGAGAGUUUGUUCGAGUUCCACCAAAGCAUCCAUUGCUGCUGGAAAGGGCUUGCAGUGCGGACCGACAAUCAAAAUGCAGCGGGGUAAUUCUUCUUCAUGGGCUCAUGGGCUCAUGGGCCUCAUGGUGUCACGUGGGCCCUUUGCUACUAAUGGAUUGCAAUCCGAAUUUGAUUAGAGAGAAAAAGCAAAAACUAUUUUGAAUUUUUUUUUUUAAUUAGAAAAGUAAUUUCCUCUGUUUCUGUACAAAAUUAGUUGUUUUGGUUUGGAAAAAGGUCUUUAUUUUUUAUUUUAUUUUUUUUUUUUCUUAAAAACAAAAAUAAAAAUACUUUGAAAAUAAUAAUAAAAAGGCGGCUAAACAACCAAACCUAAACUACAAAUAAUUUUCAAAUUUUUGGAGAACUUUCCAUAAAUUUGUGGCUGUUUUUUGAUAUAAAAAUUGUUCAAAUGUUAGACGUGAAAAGGGUGUUUUUGUUGGGAAGAAAAGGUGGCUUUCAGUUUCAGCCCUCCAUAUGCUUGUGGAAACGACUCAAUCAGUUUUUUAACGGUAUUUCCCUCCAUUUCUUCCAAGUUUCCGACCCCUAAACCCUUCCAGCGCCACGCCACCCCGCCCCCCACAACAACCAUGUCGCAGACUGCCUUAGCACUCCCUCCUAACCCAAACCCCGCCACACCCACCACCCUCCACAGCCACCACACCCUCUUCUCAGCUCUCUCCUCCGCUACCUCUCUUACCCACCUUAAACAAGUCCACGCCCAAAUCCUUCGAUCCAAACUUGACCGCUCCACCUCACUCCUCGUCAAACUCGUCAUCUCCUCCUGCGCUCUCUCCUCCAGCCUCGACUACGCUCUCUCUGUCUUCAACCUCAUUCCCAAGCCCGAAACUCACCUCUGCAACCGCUUCCUGCGCGAGCUGUCGAGGAGUGAGGAGCCGGAGAAAACUCUUUUGGUGUACGAGAGAAUGAGGACGCAAGGAUUGGCCGUGGACAGGUUCAGCUUUCCGCCCCUCUUGAAAGCAUUGUCGAGAGUGAAGUCUCUGGUUGAAGGGCUGGAGAUUCAUGGAUUGGCUGCUAAGUUGGGGUUUGACUCGGACCCCUUUGUUCAAACUGGUUUGGUACGAAUGUACGCGGCUUGUGGGCGGAUUGCAGAGGCGAGGUUGAUGUUUGAUAAAAUGUUCCACCGGGAUGUUGUCACAUGGAGCAUUAUGAUUGACGGGUAUGGUAAUUGAUGGUUUAUCUUCUCAAUUAUAUUAAUUGAAUUCCUUUUACCUUUUUUUUUUUUUCCAUUUGUAUGUGAAGUACAUAAAUCUGUUUGAUUGCUGAGAAAACUAAGGAAAUCUGAAUUUGACAUUUUCUGUUGUUUAGUGCCUUACAAAAGGAAAAGAAAAAAGGGUCAAUAUCAUGUUGAAGACUUGCUUAACUCGAGUUUCAUGACCUGGAACAUGGAAGAUAUAAGGAUUUUAUGUCUGCUUUUUGACUUUUGUUCUCCAUUGAAUUGAAUGCUCUUUAUUGAUAGUAUAUUGUUUACAAACAGAUAUUGUCAGAGUGGCCUUUUCAAUGAUGCUUUGCUGCUAUUUGAAGAGAUGAAGAACUAUAAUGUGGAGCCUGAUGAGAUGAUGCUUUCUACAGUUCUUUCUGCUUGUGGCCGUGCUGGAAAUUUAAGUUAUGGGAAAAUGAUCCAUGAUUUCAUUAUGGAGAAUAAUAUUGUGGUUGAUCCUCAUUUGCAGAGUGCUCUUGUCACCAUGUAUGCAAGUUGUGGCUCCAUGGAUUUGGCUCUGAAUUUAUUUGAGAAGAUGACACCAAAAAACCUUGUUGCUUCAACUGCUAUGGUUACUGGGUAUUCAAAACUUGGACAGAUUGAAAAUGCUCGCUCAGUUUUCAAUCAAAUGGUUAAAAAGGACUUGGUCUGUUGGAGUGCUAUGAUAUCUGGUUAUGCUGAGAGUGAUAGUCCUCAAGAAGCUCUUAAUUUGUUCAAUGAAAUGCAAUCUUUGGGAAUAAAACCUGAUCAAGUUACCAUGUUGAGUGUUAUCACAGCUUGUGCUCAUCUUGGUGCAUUGGAUCAAGCCAAAUGGAUCCAUUUAUUUGUUGAUAAGAAUGGUUUUGGGGGAGCUUUGCCUAUUAACAAUGCCCUUAUUGAAAUGUAUGCCAAAUGUGGGAGUUUGGAGAGAGCAAGAAGAAUUUUUGAUAAGAUGCCCAGAAAAAAUGUGAUAUCCUGGACCUGCAUGAUCAGUGCCUUUGCCAUGCAUGGGGAUGCCGGUAGUGCAUUGAGGUUCUUCCAUCAAAUGGAAGAUGAAAAUAUUGAACCCAAUGGGAUUACAUUUGUUGGUGUACUUUAUGCUUGUAGCCAUGCAGGAUUGGUUGAGGAGGGUCGCAAGAUCUUUUACUCAAUGAUUAAUGAGCACAACAUCACCCCAAAACAUGUGCACUAUGGUUGCAUGGUAGAUCUCUUUGGCCGUGCUAAUCUCCUUAGAGAAGCCCUUGAGCUUGUAGAGGCUAUGCCUUUGGCACCAAAUGUUAUCAUCUGGGGAUCUUUGAUGGCUGCUUGCCGAGUCCAUGGUGAGAUUGAAUUAGGAGAAUUUGCAGCAAAAAGGCUUCUUGAGCUAGAUCCAGAUCAUGAUGGGGCUCAUGUGUUCUUGUCAAACAUCUAUGCCAAAGCAAGGAGAUGGGAGGAUGUUGGACAAGUGAGGAAAUUGAUGAAACAUAAAGGGAUUUCUAAGGAAAGAGGAUGCAGUAGAUUUGAACUGAACAAUGAGAUACAUGAGUUUUUGGUGGCAGAUAGGAGUCAUAAACAUGCAGAUGAGAUAUAUGAAAAGCUAUAUGAGGUGGUUAGCAAGUUGAAGCUGGUUGGUUAUUCUCCAAAUACCUGUAGCAUUUUGGUUGAUUUAGAAGAAGAAGAAAAAAAGGAAGUGGUUCUAUGGCACAGUGAGAAGUUGGCACUUUGUUAUGGGCUUAUGAGGGAUGGAACAGGGUCUUGCAUACGUAUAAUUAAGAAUCUUAGGGUCUGUGAGGACUGCCAUACCUUUAUUAAGUUGGCAUCAAAGGUGUAUGAAAGAGAGAUUGUUGUCAGAGAUAGGACUAGGUUUCACCAUUACAAAGAUGGUGUAUGUUCUUGUAAAGAUUAUUGGUAACUAUAUAUGUAUUUCCAUUAAAUAAUAACCCUCUAAUGACUAAUAAUAGUGAGAAGCACGAGCUCUUUUUAGUUAAACAAAAUUUGUGUGCAUUAGAAGAAAUUCAAGCUUGAAAAUUUGAUCCAGUUCUCCAUAUUGAUACAGAAAAUGGCACUACCUAAAUUAGUGCUUAGGUAGCUUGCUUAUCAUUGAUAGAUUGAUGUGCUAUUAUUUGGUGUGUCAAUGCAUCUGCGCAUCAAAUUAUUUUUCUUCAAUGAUUAUUUAAUUUUGGUGGUUUCUUUGCUAAGAGAAAAAGUGCAGGUAAUAGAAUCUUUAACCAUCCAGAAUGGGGAUGAUGGCUUUUGGUUUUCCCUGGCAUACCAAGUUUCUUUUGCCAUCUCCAUUCCAUCAGCUAUCUGUUUCCUUUAGGUGCUCAACCUUGUCUUUCUUCACUUUCCUACGCGAUUUAAGAUGCCUUUCAACACCAUUUUUUUCUACUUGGUCAUUUUUCUUUCUACUGCUUUGUUCAUGUUGUUAGAUUUUCCCGUAUUUCCCUGUCUUCCACAUGAUUGCCUAAAUUUGCUGCUUGUAUAAUUUAUAAAUGCUUUAUGUUUGGUCCCCGAAAAAUUUGAGGGAAUGAAAAUAGAAAAAAAAUAAAAAGUGAAGGAAAAUAAAAAAAAAUGGAUUCAAAGUUAAUAAAUUAUUUUUAUAUGUUUUUUCAAAUUUAUUUCACUUACUUCCAUCCAUAUAUAAUAAUUAACUAAUUUUAAAAUGUAUAAAUUUUUUAAUUAAGUUUAGUUAUAUUUGAUUUUUUUUUCACAUUUUUCAUAAUAAAACCAAACGUAAGAAAAACAUUUUUUUUAGUAAUUUUUUUCUUUCUAUAAUACUUUUUUUUUUUUUUUGAUAAGUAAAGAGAAGUAUAUUAAAAUGAAAGAGGAGACACCAAACUAGUGCCCUCUAAGUAUAUAGGGAGUAUACAAAAACAGCCCACCGACACUAAACCAAGGAAGCGGGAAGAAACCCCUACCUUUAACUAGAGCCUAGCCACUCAAAAAAGCUUUUUCUUUCUAUAAUACUUUCCUAGAAUCAAAUAUAGUCUUAGCUUUCAUUUCAUCCUUUAUCUUCAAGUAAGCCUCUUUGAUACAUGCUACCAUGAGUGUGUUGCAAUUCCCUUUACCUGCUUCUUGAGCUUUUAAGGCUAGCAUGUUUUUUCCAAGCUCAAAGAAGUUUAAAACACUGUUUAUUUUAAUCUGUUUCUGCUCUCUAGGUUGCAUGUUCCACAAGUCCAGUUGGUCUUGUAGAAAGCCACAUUACAUGCUGACCCCUGUGAGUGUUGCUCCCUGUUAUGUGUUUCGUUUCUUCAAGAUUGCCGUUCAUGCUGAUCCACAACCACAAGGUACCGAAUCUCAAUUCUCUGUGUCAUUUCCCGGCAUCCUAGUCUUUUUAUCAAUUAGUUUUGGUCAGGCACACAGAGGAAGACAAAUAAAUUGGAAACUGGCUCCUUAACUAUAAAGUAGCAUAUAGGCUUGUGGGAAACAACAAACGUGAUACUCACAAGCAGAAAAGCUUCUCGAGGUAGACCUUUUAUUCCCUCUGUUUGAAGGGUUGGGAUCAAAUUGAAACAUGCAAGUCAUUGGUAUUGUGGUUUAAGCAGAUUUAAGACUGGAGUGAGGUUCAGGCCAGCAAAACUAACCAGUAAGGAGAGCCAAUGUUACAGUGCAUGAAUUUAUCAGCUUAUAUAAGUUGAUGCUGAAACAUCAGAACCUGGAACAAGUUUGAUUUUCUUAAACCUUGAAUCAUUAAAAAAGCAGUGCAGUAAUUUAAAUCAAAAGCUUCUUACAUUGUCAAAAAGAAGAGAGAGGAAAAAAUUCAGAAGUUCUCACAAGGAAUGAGAAGUGAAAAUUGGCUGAGAAAGGACAAAACCCAUCUAAUAUCCGUAAGUUUGAUUAUGUUGGGAUUCUGUCACUCUCUUUUGCUGUAAAAUCACUGUACUUGAUUUCAAAAACAGACAACACCCAGAACUCCUGCUUCAUCCUUUCAACCAUUCUACACAUCCAGAAUCUCAAGAACUCAAGUGCUGCUGAAAACAAUCUUGAGCUUUCCAAUAUAGAGCUCCGACGAUACUCAAGAACAAGUGUAUUUGGAUCUAAUUGCACCACAGAAGCACUCCAUUUUUUGUGUGUCCAAGAACUGUUUGCCUUUCGAAGCAAAUUUCUGAUCCUCCCAUCUGGCCACUGUUAUACCCACAAAAGAAAAGAAAAAGCACCCAAUAAAUUCAAAUUAACUAAAGAGCGUUUCUUCUCUGCAUAGAACCAAUAUUCAUUCCCCGAUAGUGAAGAACCCAUAAAUCAUCUAAUGGGGUUGAUUUUUAAGGGAAUUGGGGUAGUGGGUUACCUCUGUAACUCUGCCGGAUAAAAUGGUGAAUGAUCGAGAGGAAAGUCCGGUGGCGAGCAAUCCCGCAGUCUGCAAGGGCCAUCCCCAGAUGGUAACCUCCUCCGUCACAGAUUUGUACAAUGUACAUCGAGAAUUCAAUAGCAAACCAUCCUGAAGAUGCACUAGGCAUUAAUCCAUGUUUUAAUUGUUUUUUCCAGCAAAUAAAUUUCAAUAUUUUAAUCAGCCAAACAAAAUUUUAUUGUGUAGGGUUUCCAAGGAAGAUAAAAAUCAAAAUAGUAUACCUGGCUCACUUCCCACGUAGAAUCAAUAUAGCUGCAGUUUGAAACCUCGCCGCCGACAAAACCCUGCAACUGAUUCUGCAGAAAUCCCACCUUCUCAUUCAAAUCUUUCACAACCCAAGAUCUCUCACCAACACUCCUCACUAUAUCCCAUGACAAUUCAGGCCUUAAAACCCUAGAAACCCCCCAAGAAAAUCCGAAUUCCGCUGCAAAAAUCAAGCCAACACCCACGACCAGUCGCCAGAAAUAAAGCCCAAAUCUCCACACUCUCUUCCUCUUCUUCAUCUUCUGCUCCAAACUCACUCUUGCAGUGGACCUAACAGCCGGAGACAAGGAAGUCUUACUGGUACCCGAUUCCGGGGUCGACAUAACGGAAGAAUUGAAGGAAACCGGGGUUCUUUCCACCGUUUUGGGAGCGGAAAGCUUGGUGAGGGUGCUUCUUUGAAUGCUGGCAGGCAAGAGGUCAAGGGUGGCACUGAUGCUGUCCAGACACAUUUCACAGUUACAGUUGGCAUCCUUUCGGCAUCCGGGGAAGUAGCAGCUGUCUCGGGUUUCGGACCGUUCCUCCGCCAUAGUAGUGGUGGUGGUAGUGCUCGAUUUUGCAGUGGAUGAUGUUGGGAGGACUGUUUUCAUGGUUGGGGUUGUGCAGAGCCUCAUCUGGGCAUGGUCUUUUUUUUUCUCUUUCGGCAUCUUGUGUUAAAUGGGGGAGACAUGGUUUUUGAAAUUUGAAUUUCCAACGGUCACAUCGGAAAUACUUUUGAGUCUUUUGACUCAUUUUUCACAGGUUAUCAAGGUUAGGUUUUUUUGGAUGACAAAAAUACCCCUGCACCUUCUUUUUAUUAUUACCUUCCUAUAAUAUAGUUGUUCCCUAGGUCACUAGACGGGCAAAACACAAAACCAUUUUGGAACCUAGAACAUAUAUUUGAUAAAAUUUGGAAAGAAAAUGGUUUUUAAAAAACUUAUUUUGAAAAUAAUUUAUUUUUAAAAUAUAUUUAACGUAUUUCCAAUUUUUUUUAUAGCAUUUUGAGUAAUAAUUGAAAAUAGAAAAAUGCUUUAGAAAAUUUUACAUUGUACAUAAAUGUGCAAUACCUUUACGAAUAAAAAAAAAUUAGUUUCUAUAUUUGGGUUUGAAGAUAAAAUUUUGCUCCUAAAAGCAAUUGAAAGUAUUUUUAAGAUUUAUUUUCAAAAAUCAUUUUUUAAUAAUUUGUUUUAAAAACUUUAUGAAAAAAGCCCACAACUAUCAUCCAUAUGUAUCCUCAAGGCGUCAUAUGUAGUAUUAGGUCAUUGGUAUGGGGCAAAAUGCCUCAAUAAAUUGAAGGGACCAUUUUUCCAAUUGUUUGUUCUCAGUGUCACUUUCAUAAAUUCAUUGCACCUAUUUGUAGGUUUUUAUAGAUUUAGGACAUUUAUGUGUUUCCGCAAAGAUUUAGUAUCAUCCUUGUAAUAAUUAGAUUUUGAAGGACUCAAUAUAUAUUCUAUAAUAUAUAUACGAAUCAAUGAUAUGUUAAAAUUCGUAAAAAGUUCAAAAUGCAUGAAGUAACCAAAUCCUUGAAAGAUUUGAAAUGUAUUCAGCAAAUAACUCUUUAAAAGAUCAACAUGAUCUAAGCACUGAUUGAAAAUUUCAUCACAUUCUCAAUAAGUCAUGAUAAUAAUAUGCUUUAGGAAUCAUGUCCUUGUAUGGAUUAAAGUGGAGGUUAGUAAUUAUUGCAAUCUUAUUGAGUCUUAAAGAGUUCAUAAGAAUGAUUAAUUAUCUAAUGAAAAAAUUUGAAAUGAAAGAUCUUAGAAAAAAAAAAUUAUGUUUUACCUUGUAACUCGAACAUUUUUUUAAAUGAGACGUUAGUCUCUUAGUAACCAUUCCUUAAGUUCUCCAAUGUAGUUCGUUCGCUUGAAGUGAAAAAUGAUAUUUUUUUUGUUUUAAAGAAGAUUACUAAGAACUACUUGGUUCACAAGUACCUUUAUCUUAAUACUAUUGGUGCAUUGAUAUAUUUUACAAAUUCUAAAUGAUUAAGUAUAACAUUGUUUGUCAAUUAGCUUGCAAGAUGUAGUUCUGCAUCAACUUGAAGAUAUUGAAAUCAAGUCAAACAUGUAUUACGAUAUCUUUAUGGAACUACUGACAUAUGUUUAUUUUAUUUGAAAAGAAUAAAAUCUAAGUUGUUUGGAUAUGCGGAUGUUGGCUAUGUUUUAGAACUCAACAAAUCUCAAUUUCAAACAAAAUAUGCAUUUAUCUAUGGUAGUGCAAUAAUAUCAUAUAGAUCGAGCGGUGAAAUAAGACUAGUCACCUCUUCAAAUCAUUCAAAGAUAUUCUUAAUUCAUAAAACAAAUUGUAAACAUGUAUAGCUAAGCUUAAUGAUCCAAUAUAUUUGGAAAUCACAUGGACUAUCCUUUAUCAAGGAUAAUGCUAUCAAAUUAUAUGAAAAAAAUGUUCCUUGUAUUGCACAAAUUAAAAGAGGAUUUAUAAAAGAUGAUAGAACUAAUCAUAUUUUCCUCAAAUUAUUUGGUACUCACAAGCUCUAAGAAAAUGAUGAAAUUGAUGUUCAACCAAUCUUAUUAUUUGAUAAUCUAGCAAGUCUAUUCACAAAAGCAUUAUCAUCAACUAUAUUAAAAAUGUUAAGAUAUAACAUUGUAAUGCAAAAAUUAAGAAAUCUACUAAUUGAAGUAUUGGAGAAAGUAUAAUCAUAUUUAUACGAGAAGGAGAAUAUUGACAUAGAUAUACUACAGUUUUUUUUUUUCUUCUGCUUUUAGGUUUUGUCGUUUUGGGUUUUACUGACAAAAUUUUCAAUGAGACAAUUUAUAUCAUACAUGAACGUAUAACACCUUUAUAGGAGAAUAAGUCAAAAAAAUUAUUCUUCAUAUUUGAGUUCUAACAUUAAAUUUUGUUCCAUAAGGCUUCAUACGGGAUAUUAGGUCACUAAUUGGGGGCAAAAGGCAUCAAUAACUUGAAGGGACCAUUUUCCAAAUUGUUUGUUCUCAUUGUCCCUUUCAUAAAUUUAUUGGAACAAUUUAUAGAUUUCUAUAGAUUUAGGACAUUUAUGUGUAUGCAUAACAAAUAUAAACCAACUUGUUUUUAAGGGAAACAAGUGUUGUCAGCCUCUCAAAUGCAAGUUUCUUUUGUAUGAUUUUGGUAUGAAAUUAAGAAUACCAUCUCAAACAACUUGUGUAGGGAAGACAUGUUAGGGUUAAAGUUUGCCAAGUGCCUCUCUUUCCACUCUCCAAAAAGCCUUUUACAACUUAUUUCCAAAAAUAGGUGGUAUCUCUUUCCGAUAUAGUCCGCGAUACAUAAUUAUGUUAUGAACGUUGGAUUAGAACAUGGGAAUGAAAAAUUAAUUAGAACGCGAAUAAGAAUAAAAAAUCAUUAGUAUAGAAAUCAAAUCAUACAGUAAUUAAGAUUUUGAUUCAUCUUUUUUGUAUGGAUUGUGAUUGACAUUCAUUUCUAUCUCACUUUUGUUUCUAUUCCUACUUCAAGAUGUGUCGAGGCACCGUAAAUCAUGCAUAGAUUGUUGCAUGGAAUCUGAGAGAGGAUGGAGACAGAUAAGAUAUGUUCCAAUGCCCUCACUGGGCAGGCAUCCCCUGAAUUCUGAUUGGGACUAGGAGAAGAACAAUCUCCGUGGAAACUGAAUUCCCUCCAUUGCACGCCUCACCCAACAUUUGGAAUCCGAUUCCAGAUGCUGCAAGACAUUGGCACUGAAGGUUUAGGUGGGCUGGACGGAUGGCACCACCAAAAACCAUGUACUGAUAAGUGAUAAGUCAUGAGGAAUGGUUGAGCUGCAAAAUGGAUCAUCAGCAUGAGAUAAUGUUUGACCAUGAUACUUGAACAUUUCGUUUUCUCUUGACACUAUUGAUUAGGAAAACAUGCCAAAUUUUGAUCCCCACAUGGGAAAUAAUAAUAAUAAUUUCAUUUCAAAUAAUAAUGAUUUCUUCUUCUCAAUUUCUUUCCAUCUUGUGGAAUUAAUUAUGAUUAGAGGGCCUCUGGUGGGUGAAUCCGGAGAGGAAUCAGAUGAGAUCAAGCAAAAGAUCAAAUGGAUUGGACUUGAAGUACUUGAGCACUACUACAAAACCAUAGAUUUCGAGGCAGAAAGUGUAUAAUAACAAAGACUUCCCUUUCCCAACCACUCAUAAUAGUGGGAAAAACAAUAUUUUAGGGUAAAUAAUUGAAGCCUAUGGCAUAAUGCGGACCAGUUCUUUCUAGCAAAGUAGGAAGCUGACCCUUUACUGUUUGGUUUUAAUAUACAAAAGUUGAGAUCUUUCUUGAUUUUCUGGGGCUUUGGAGAGCAAGUGAGCCAAAAAGAAUAAGGAACCCAUUUCUUAGCAAUGCACUUUUUUCUCUCCUCACUUUUCAAAACACAAAUGUUUCAGUUGUUUUCCUCUGAGACAGUUGGAAAUCAUUGACCCAAGAAUAGUAUUUGAUCCUAAAGAUUAGGCGAGAAAAGAGAAGAAAACUAACUAGAAUCAAGAUAGAAAUUAAUUAAGAAGCUCAACUUUGGAGAAAGGGAGAAAGUUUAUCCUUCUUUGAAGAUAUUUUUUUCAUAGAGAGGAAAAGAAGAGAAAAAUUAACACAAUCAUAUGAUGAGAGAAAUUGCGAGAGAAUUAAGGAGAAGUCUGCAUUGAAAUAACAUCAUCCUCUGUACAAAGGCAACAAUCAAAGACUGUUGAUAUUAUUGCUGGUUGGAUCCAAGGAAAAUCCUCCUUUCUGUUGAUCUCUAACUAGUAAAGGGGGAAAGAUGAGUUGUCUCCUACUUGUGAUGUGCUAGCUGAUCUCGUGUACUUCUUAGAAGCAGAUGGAGAUGAAGACAUGUCACCAGACCUUCUCCUGAGCAUCUGCCUCAUCCCAUCAGCCACCCGAACAGCAGGGUUGGAUUUGAAUUUGCGACAGAAAGACAUGUGAGCUAUCACAGCGUCUUCCAAACAAUAUGGCUUCUUCCCCCUGUUAACUUCAUCUCUAACAGCUUCUGAGCACAACCCACAUAGCCAUUUCCCGUCGAAUUUCGCCUUCACCUCGCUGAUAUACUCCUGGGUGCAAUCUUCUUUCAGGCCACAGCACUCACACUUAACCAAUUCAAUCUCCAUUCACUCUUUCCUGACUAUGACAGAUCUAUGAAUGGACGAAGUAAUCCGCGAAUUAUAGCUGAUUUUAUACUUGGAAUUGAUUGCAGUCAUGAUGAGAAACUAGAAAACUUUCCCUGCUGUGGCUCCUGGGUAUGGUGUGAUGGUGUUGUCUUGCCAUAAGAAGAGAGGAAGUGCUGGGUGUUGUUGUUUGAGAGGUUUUAUGGUUGGGGAUUGAAGAAGAGAAUUUAUAGUAGGGAAAGCUGCCAUAAUUUCCUCCAUGUUCUAAGGGACACGGGGUAGUGAAAAAUGAGACAAUGUGGUCAGCGGUGUCUCGGGUUUGGCCUUUUCUAGGAUUUAAAACUCAACUGAUGAAGGGUUAAUGAAUUGGAUUCUCUCUAGUUCCCUCUGUCAUCUUGUGUCAUUCAUAGAUUGUAAUAUUACUUUAGGGUAGUUUUUCUUUAGUGUUUCUUUUGGUUGAUAGACAGUUACUUUCGGUUAACAUGGUUGAAUGGUGUCUUGGCUCACUUGACCUCCCUCUCACCGGCUCCGGCUCUGGCUUCUGGCUUGUUUGUUUGUUUCUCUUGAUUCCAUGAACGAAGGUUUUGCUAUAGUAUCAACAUCACAACCAUACUUUAUUGACCAACUUGCCUUGGGUGGUUCAACGGCCAAUCAGUGUUUGUUAAUAAUAACCCUUCAAUCUUGGCUGAGUUUGCAUAAGAAUUUGUAAGAAAAGUGAGUAGUUAACUAAUCCAAUAACAUUUUUCCAUAACGCUAAUCAUUGUUACGAUUUCCUACCGCCAAUUUCCUGCAAUUAACCUAUGUUUUUCCUCUCAUAUUAGACAGUGUUGUUUGGAAGUCAAGGCAGCUAUGGGGUCAUGGACACAUGAGUGUGACACACAAGAAAUUUUGGCAACAUGACAAUGAGGGUUGCAGCUAUGUGGUCUUGCAGUGAUUUGGGUCUUGAUUGCAACUCCACUGACAUUUUGUCAACAGAGAAAGUAAGAAGGUAUGGCCUUACAUGUUUUGUUUAUUUUGGUGAACUUUUUUCACGCUCAUGGUUUGAAAUUUGAGAAUUCUCUUAUCCUAACUUGUCCCCAUUGUCAAAUUUUCAUGGCGAACCCUUAUGGUACUGUGAGCUAGCUAACCAUCCCCCUUAAUAAAAAGGGAAUCAAAAUGUUGAUCCGAUUUUUAGCCAAACUUUCAGGCAAGUUCCCUUUCUCUCUGUGUACAAUUCGAACAUCACAGGUACAUAGAUUUUACAGUUAGUACGUAGCCAUAAUCUCAAUGACACUACCACUAUGUUAAAAAAAAAUUAAUAUUAUCCAUUUGCAUACUGUGAUGUUUGAUGUUUGGGAGAAAGGUUUCACCCCAGCUUCCCUUUUCUAAGUCUCUCCCAUCUUCUCAACCUCUCCUCCAUUUUCUCUGACGUGAUCCUGACCUUGUCCUCGCAUCAAUAUAAAAAUGAAUAGCAUCAAUUAUUAAAAGAAACAUGAUACACUUAGAUUUUCCACAUUUUAAUUUUUGUCGUUGGUAUGGGACUACUUCCAUAAGGUUGCUUUCGCCUCUUCUGUAGCUGUCAGUCAAGUUGACUUAACUAUUUGUUCUUGAUUUUAGCUAUAGUAGACCGGAGUAGCAGAGCACUGAGUGACUACAACCCUAGGGGACUCCUCAAAAUUGGAACAAAAUUAUCAUCAUUUUUUUGUAAUGUUAUAUCCUAGGGUCUAAGGGGUUUUGGUUUUUGGUUUCUUAUGGGAUGGGAAAGGGCAGUUGUGUAUUGGGUACAUGCAACACCAAUCUCUGAAGGAGAGUAUCAUAGAGUGGUCGGUCACUAUUGAUUUACUCCUACAAGCCUCCAAUAAUUGCAUCCUUCAUUGACAGAAAUGAAUUGGCAUGCAUUAAAGUGAGAUACUAACCAACUAUAUAUUAAUCACCUUCAAAAGAGUCAAAGAGAUGUCAUUAAGUAUUAGGCAUAAUGUUGAUCACUCAUUAAUUUGUUUGAUCUUUUAGACUGUUCCCACUCAAGAAAAUGGCCCACCAGUUGAACAGAAAUUCAUUGAAAAGCUAUGCUUUUUCCAUGUGGUCGGACUAAUCAUCCAACUUCAAAACUUUUGCUAGAAAAUCAAUUUUCCCGAUAAACAUGAUAACCACGAACUUUCACUUGGAGCCAAUUCUCAAAACUUUUUCUAUUUUGAGAAUCGACUCUUUCCCUAUUAAGCAUGCACGCUCCGUUACUUUAGAUGAUGAAGAUGUUAUUGAUUGUGAACCAAUAUUGAAUUAUUUAACUAUCAUAGAAACAAUAAUUAUAAAUACCCAAAAGAACCAAUCAUAAUAAAGUAAUUAUAUUAGAGUCGAGUCGUAAGGCUUCUCAUUUAUUAAAGGCAGACAUUUGUACACAACAUACAAAAUUAGAAAGCGCACAAAAUUUUGCUAUAAAAUGAAAAAGUUUGAACCCCAUGUAAGGUCUAAUGUGUCAGAGAGGAACGAACAAAUUUCAUUAUACAUUACGCCAGAGGAACAUGAAAUAAUGGAAGAACUCGUCGAUGAGGACAAUGUGUACUUCCAAUUUGCAGCCCUGUCCACACGCUGUGAAGAUAAAAGCACCCACCCUGGUAGAAUGCCCCACUGGACCGCUUGGAUCAUAUAUUGGGGAUUCGAUGAUAGUUCAUCAUGUGAAAUUUGAAAUCUCAACGAAAACAUAAAUGAGAGCACGUAAGAAGUCUAUAAACGGGGUGGUUACAAUCAUCCAUACACGUGCCCAUUUGGUAAUGUGACUUGUAAGUAUGGCCCCAUUUCUUUACGAGUCACAAUUUUUUUUCUUUUUCCGUGUGUAUUGAUUAUAGCUACAAUUAGUCUUUCACAAAAUCAUGGAUGAAUCCAGUGGCCUCACCCACAAAUCUAUGGGCUUCGGUAUUUUAAUGCAACAGGACUGACAAAAAGUAGGAUUUUUAUUCCUUCUACAAAAUUUUGCAGCCUGGGAUGAAUUAAAAGUCAAGGUUGGUUUGAACAAUGAACAAAGAACAAAGCACUCAGAGUGCAACCUAAGGGAAGGGGGGUUGGUUUAGCCUAGAUGUUGUCUGCCUCCAUGUGACCUCUAUAUACUUUCAUAGAGAAAAGUGUCCCAUAUUCCAAAGCAGGUCCAUAGACUCAGUGGCGGAGCAUGUGGGGCUGCUAAGCAUGAUAUACCCCAGACACAACCUUGUUUAAAAUCUUUGGCCCCAUUAACAUCUAGUCUAUUUCAUGCAUGGGAACAUGGGAAUUCGUGUCCGGUAGGUCUCUGGCAUUUCCGAGUGGCCACGGCCUGUCCCUGAUACGCCUUGAGGGCUAAUAUAAUGGUUUGCAGUAUUGAGUAGAAAGGGGAAAGUUUUUGCUGCAUCAAUUAACUCUUACCUAAUUGGCCCAGUCCUUUUCUUCCUAACAAUCUUCAUUCACUGACAACCAUAUGGAUGUGGUUUUGAAUUUUUCUGUUUUCAUGAAGGAGCAUGUCCCAUCCCAUUGGAUGAGAGGACAAAAUGUUCAAGAGCUAGACUUGCAGCCCAUGGAAGCAUUAAUUUGGAGGUCUGUAGAACGUGGGAAUGUUGAUCCAUUGUCUUCUAUAGGAUUUGAAGGAAAAUGGUUCUCACUCUUUAGUCAUUACAGAAAUUAGAUGGGUUCAUAGGAGGGCAUAGGUUAGUUUCAUUGAUCACAUACUUCAGUAUCAAGAAAAAGGUCAUUCUAAUCAUUACUUUGGAUAAAUUCAUUUGAAAAAUGAUACCGCAAUGAAACCAGGUCUAACCAUCUAUAGAAUUUAUUAUUUAUUAAUCCAUCUGUGUAUAAAGUUUGACUUCUUAGCUCUCAAACUCGGCUAAGAUGGCAUUGGAAAGUGCAUUCAAGCCAAGUAGUUUUCCAUGGCGAAGCGAUCUUUUCCUUUGACAGUGUAGGGAGAAUAAAAAAUUGAAAAAAGGAAGAAAUUUACCAAAUUUGGGGCUAGACUUCAUUCCUUAUCUAGUAAACAUCUUGGACACCAUCUUAUGUCUUUUUCUGUAAUAGAGUGUUAACUUUAGCUAACCAAUCCCCCAUUUUUCAAGUGAUUUGUCUGUAAGCUUCUUAUGCAUAAUCAUAAUCAUUACCUACAAGGGUUUUAGGCUUUUAGCUUUAUAUCCAAUGUUCAGAGUCUCAAUGAUUUCUCACAUGGGGUCUUGUUUUGUUCCUCCAUUAUCAUAUGCAAGUAUGUUAAAAAUUUAAUGGGGGAGAUGCAGUUUUGUAUUUAAUGCCCUUCACAUGGCAUCCCACAUGCAUUCCCUUGCAACUUACCUCCAACCAUGAUUACCCCCAACCAAUCCCUUAUCUCCUACCUCAACUCACUAUUUGGCUCUUUCCAAUUCAACCCAUCAAUCCAGACUUAUUUCCUAAUUUUCUUAUCAUUCAUGGUUAUUAUCAAUCUCCAAACAAUAACACCAAUCAAUGAAUUAAAUUUUGUUAACCCUCCACAAACAAAGAACUGCUUCCUGAUUUUCUUAUCACCACAACAGUUCUGGUCAUUCUAGACUUCAAUAAUGAUAACAAUAAAAAAAAAAAUACACAAAAAUGACUUUAAGAACAUGGAGCAAUGAAAUUAGGCUACAAAAACGCUAGUGGCAUUAGCUAAAAUAUCCCUCUGUUAUAAUAAAGCAGCAUAAGAUUAAGCAAUAACUUUUGGAGGGCCAGGGUUGUUCUAGGCUUGAAAUUAUUGCUUAUGGAACUUAGUGCAUUUUAUUAGGUGGGCCAUUUUGUUUCAUUUUUAAUCAGGGUAUCCUGUGCACUUUGUGAUUAAAAUCAGGCUCAAUCAUUUGGGAUUCAACAACUAUUUCAACUUCCAACUCCCCCCCAUAUGAAAGCUUUUGUAUGUUGGACACACUGUCUGAACAAUGAGAGAGAAUCUGACCUAAAAACAAGUCAGGCAUGUAUGAAUAGAAAAAGGGAAGAUGGGAAUAUAUGAAAGGAGUAAUGGAUUGGUUUCGCACUUGGCCUCAGUCCACCAGACCAAGCUUUAAAGUAGGGGUGAGACAUUUCAAUUCAACAUGGUCUCUAGACCUAAUAAAGAAGAAUGAGCAUUAAUAAAUGAUAAAAAAACGUUUACCUUAUCCUCUGUUCUCUUUCCAGCUUCAUGAAUAUGCUGAUCACAAAAAGGCGACAAUCAUAACACCUGCUUUAUAAUGUGAAUUUUCCUAUUAUACUAUGGCAUUGGAACAUAACCAUUAUAUUGCUUUAUAAUCUAAAAAAUGGUGAUAGAUUUUAGGGCACCCUAAAUCUAAUAAACGAAUUCUCAAAUUUAGUUCUCUGCAUUGACGUAAAUAUAAUCAGUUCUUAAUUUUUCGAAAAAAAAAAAAAACAAUAAGAUGGAGAUCCUUUCAUAAAAUCAACCAUUCUUCUCAAUUUUUAUUUAGACUUCCUAAAACAAAAAAAAAAAAAAAAUUGUAGGAUGACAACACAUUGGAACACUUACAAUUCUGGUCAAUAUUGUGUGGCAUGCCGCAGUUGAAAAGUUCUGGUGGGCCCGCAUUCAAUUCAUGAAGAUGGAGUAGAACAGAAGAGAUGACAACACAUUGGAACACUUACAGGGCCCUACCAUGUGGGCUGCCCCUAUCUGCACGCCUCAUGAGAGGACCAUCAGAAAUGUGUUCCUUUUGGUGGUGGUGGGUUCGGCUUUGCUCACUGCAAUUAAGUGCACACUGAUCCAAAGUACUAUUUGGAUAAAUUGCAUACCUUGACAAAUUCAAUCCCUCUGAUGCACAGGUGACUUGAGUAUUGCCCACAUUCGAAGAAGCAGUUUUGUGACUAUUGCCGAUGGAUCAAGGGAUUGUAACUUGGUUUAUAUUUCACCUGGCUAGAGUAAAUAAAGACAAUAAAUAAAAUAUCAAAAUUGAAGACAACUCCAAGGUUCCGAAAAGCAUAAAAAUAUCAAUGUAAAUAAAGUUAUCCUCCUGAUGAGUGAGAACUUGAGAGCACUUACAAAAGAAUGAGCUUAGUACAUGGACAAAAAAUGCUGCCUUUUUGUCUGAAGAGUUACAACAGUAGUCAAGUUCCAAACUCAAAUAGCAUGUGCUUUCAAAAUGGGACAUUGUGUUAUUUACAAGUAAAAUUCUCUCUGUUACUUUUGUAACCUCCAGCUAACCAAGCUCAAAAUUUUGGUACAAUGAGGCUCUAAAAGAUCCCUUGAAGAGUGAAGCAGGUAAGUUUGAAUAAUGUGGAUGACAACAAAAUUCAAAUUCAAUUACACUUCAUCUCGAUAUCUUCAGUCUCCUUUGUAGAAGCAUCAUCAGGGUUGUCUUGAGGAAGGAGGCCAAGGAGUGGCAAUGGCAACAGAGAGCUGAGAUUGCAGAGGAUUAUCAAAAAAGUUAAAUUAUCAAAGCUAUCCUUGGUGACACCAAACAGCUGGGUCAGACCAGCACCCACCAGCCCCCCCACAACACUUCCUCCAUUUGAAAUGGACAUAAGGGUUGCAAAAAGAGUUGCUUCCAUCCCCUGUGGACAUAAUCUUGCUGCUAAAACAAGAACAGGCAUGAAUGAAGCCUGCAAUAAAAUCUGGUAUCAACUUCACAGUAUAAUAACCAACAGAACUAGUCUGCAUAAAAUAAGAUCAAAAUUAUACCAAGAAAGAAUGCAUCAAAGGAAAAUAUGGCUUUCUCAUUCAUGCUGCAUGCUUUACCAUCAAGCUCAUGUCAUGAUCUCUUCCUAAAGUUGUUGCUUACAGAUGCUAAGGUUAAAUUUUUGAGCCUGAUACAAAGGUCUUGGUUGUAAAUUCUUUAUUCUUCAUUAUAUUCUUAUUAUUUCUAAAUGCUGUCCUCUGCUGGUAAAUUAUUUACUGUUCUUUAUUACUGUUAUUAAUUUUAAAUUUUGUUCUCUGCAGUGAAGCAGCAAAUUUAUGCUGAAGUAUACAGAAUUCUAUUUUCUCACUGAAUCCACUUUUUUUCUUCCUUUCCUGAAUGUGACAGAAAGCUCAUUUGUUCCCUCUUUGCAAGUGUGACUGGCAUAUAUCUACAACAAUGCAAAUCAAUUUCCUGGAUAGGCAACAAAAGGAAAGAAUGCAAUGUUUUCAAAAUCAGACCAAUUAAAUUACUGGUCAUGAUUCAUUGAUUGGACCAAUAGUUCAACCAUAAUCAAACCAUGAUGUCAACAUGUCAUCAUAAAUAUAUCAUUUAUAUAUUAUUAAAAUUAAAAAUAAUUAUAACCAAAGAAAAAAAAAAGACGUUUCAUUUCUUAAACUUUAAAAUUAAUUGAUUAAAUCCUGAUAAGGGUAAAAUGUAACUGUAUUAAUAUUUCUAAUUUUAUUAAAUAGCACAAGGAUAAUAUUUAAUUAUUACCAAGAUGUAUCAUAUAUCCUAGAGUGAAAUAAAAUUUAUUAUUUAACUUCAUUCACAUCUCAACAUUUAUAUAUUCUAUCAUUCUAUUAUCUUAUUAAAUUCUUUUUAUCUAUAUCAUUUUCAAUUUUAUUAUACAAAGGGAAAUAAAAGUAAAUUAUUUUAAAUACUCUAUAUCAUUAAUAUAAACCCAUAAUAUUAUAACAAAAGGCACUCUCAAUGCUCUAUAUGAGCUGCCCCUGGUGGUGAUCCCUGUCUUAUUAUUACAAAAGGCCCAGAUUGAUUCUAAAAGCCAUAAAAAUCUCAUAUAACAGUUGUUAAAACUAUGGGAAAAGCCAAAUUAUUUCCUUUUUUUUCCUUGUAGGUUUUUUUUUUUUUUGGGGGGGGGUGGGGAGAUGGAGGGGAUGUUGUUGCAAGUUGAUGUACCACAAACUAUUUAGUCAAUUAGUACAAGACAAACCUAACAAACUGGCAUAUGGCCAAAUAAAACAUGUAAAAUUAUUAAAUUACAUGCAUAUCAAUUGGAACAGCUAGCCAGGAAAAUAGUUAUUAUUCCAAUGAUGUUUCACAAUGAUUCUUCUAUAACAGAAAAUUUGGAAAAAUCAGCUACAUGGUUAGCAAGAAGAGAGAGCAAAAACUAAGGAUGUUCAUGAAUUGAAAAACAUCUCAAAGCAGGUUUGAAUAAUAAUUUUUUUUCCCCUAAGGAUUCAACCCUAAUUCUGGCACCUCCUUAGAGAAAUAUCCCAAUAAAAGCUUUUUAAUAAUUAAACUUGCAAAUCACCCAACCAUUACAGUGGUCUCAAUGUGAUAUAAACAACACAAGAGAUGAGUGAGAUACAGUGAAAGUCAAUAACAUAUAUGUUUUCUGCCAAUUCUGUGUCAAUGCAGUUUUAAAAAAAAUAAAAUAAAUUACCUGACCAAGAACAGUUAGAAUCAAAGAAUCCCCAAUGGAGAACCAUUCAUCACUUAUACCAAACUUCCUGUUUAAUCCAGUGACUAGAAAAACCUAAGCAAUAACAAAAUAUAUAUUAUUGGCAACAGUUAAGUUGAAUGUAAAUCUUGAAUAACUUCAUAUAAAUUGUAACACAAACCUGGGUCAUCCCAAGAGCUGAGCCAAAAAUUGUAGUUACAAAAAAAAUCUUCCGCAAUGGAACAUCUUUCAAAAACCCAUUAUACAGUCCAACACCAAUUAGUGAUGCCACCGAAGUAACAAGCUUGACACGUCCUAAAAAUUCUGGGGUGAAACCAAGUCUAUUUGUGCUGAAAUAAGAAGAUCAAUUGUUAAGAUUGAAAGAAGAUGCUAAGAAAUAAUGAGAAUUUUCCAAGUGGCAUUAGGAUUAAAUCACUGAAAGUGAAGGGCAAAAUAUUCACAAUCAAGGAUUCAACAUACGUAAAGUAAAACAUGGCAGAGUCCGAGUGUGGUGUUGCCUGCCAGAGGAAAAUGAAUAAGGUGGGAAGAAAUAUAUUACGCUGCCUGACAGCAUCCCACAACUGAAUAAUGUUCUGUUUUGAGCUCUCAUAAAAGCUAGGACUGAUCAAAGGAAAAGCCUGUCCCCUUGCUGGACCAGCCACAGGCUGUUCUUUAACAAGAAUAGCGACAGCAGAUGUUAUCAGAGGUAGCAAUGCCGUGACACCGAAAACAAACCUGAUACAUUAAACUUGACACCAAAAUGAAUGGCUAGGAUGAUCAACAGUCAUAAGAAAUUGCAUUAAAAAAAUUAACCACCCAACGUACCUUACACCAUAAGCACCCACCAGGGAGCCACUAAAGUAGGAGCUCACUAUUCCACCAAAAGCAGAGGAUCCCCAGCAUAAAGACUGAAGCGAUCCUGACAUGCUUUGUGACUCACCCCGAGCCCUCUCUACAACCAUGGAAUCUACAACCUAUACCAUGCUUCAGAUUAAGACAAGCGUGUGAAGUACGCCACAUAAAUAAAUGGAAGGAAAAAAAUACCAACUACAGGAUGCUUCUUAAUGCACCAAAGAAAAAGUGUUGCACUGGAAUAUAAUUCAAUUUAGCUCCUAGUAAAUUGGAAAUGGCAGUUUUUUUUUUUUUUUUCCAAGAAAAAUAUUAAUGUUUGAAGAAAAUAUAACAUGCCAUUUAAUGAAGUCACAUAACAUCAUUUCAAAAAAACAUGUUUCUCUACAAGAGCAAAAAUAUUUAGGAUAGGUCCUAUUUAUCUGAAUAAAAAACCUGGCCAAUAUGAAAAAGAAGGCACAGAAUUAGGAGAUCACAACCAUUCCAAAACAUUACGACAUUCAUAAGGCUCCAGCCGUACGAUAAGGAGAUAAUAAAGACAUUUAACUGAUGUAAUCUAUAGACACAGCUAUUUUAUUUAACUGUAGUGAAAUUUAUGGUUUAAUGUAUUGAUGAACAAACCAUGUCAAGUCACAGGCUCCACAUAAUAGCUGAAAAUAAGGGUUUUAUAAGUUUUUUCAAGGGAAAUAGUAUAAUUUUACAAUUUUAAUAUAAAUUAAUUGGACGAGUCCUACACUCCAUAAUAGCCAUUUCUCAGAUGCAUCUAACCAAAUAUUGGAGAUUUCUGUGAAGGCUUUAGAAGUACACAAGAAUUGACUUCUACAGUAAUUGCUGCUAACAUCAGCAGCUGACAUCAUUAAUUUUGCAUCAUCAACUUGCUGACAUCAUUAAUUUUGCAUCAUCAACUUGCUGACAUCAUUAAUUUUGCAUCAUCAACUUGCUUCAAUCAAGGUUCAUGUACUAGGGUUUUAAACCCAUCACUAAGGGUGCAUAAUGGGGGCUGUUUCAUUUUAAUGGGAUAUUUCUACAACAUCUAAGAACUUUCCAUUGUUGUAUCCGGUACAGAAAAGUCUGAAUGUUAUGCUAUUGGUGUUAAUCCCAAAGAAAGGUGGAGAUCAAGAACUUAGAAGACUUCAGACCAAUAAGUUUGAUAGGUGGGUUGUAUAAGCUUUUAGUUAAGGUGUUGGCAUAUUGAUUGAAGAAGGUGGUAGGAAAAGUGGUUUUCAAGUUCUAGAAUGUUUUUUCUUGAUGCAGUGCUCAUAUAGCUAAUGAGGCAAUCGAUUAUAUACCAAAAACAGUUCCAAUGGUGUAAUUUGCAAGCUUGAUAUUAAGAGGGUAAAUGAUCACUUCACCUGGGGCUUCCUCCUAGCUAUUCUUGAAAAGAUGGGGUUUGGCCCAACAUGGAUUGAAUAAAUCAAAGAGUGCAUCCCCACAACAGUUUUAUGUGAUAGUUAAUAACACCCCCUCCAACCUUUUUCAAAGCUCUACUGAGACAAGGGGACCCUCUUUUCUCCUUGUUUAUUUGUGUUGGCUAUGGAGGUUCUGGAGAGCGGUUUUUUGUUAGGAUUCAAGGUGAGGGGAAGGGGCUGAAGGUGUCCCAUCUGUUAUUUGCUAAAAAUGCCCUUACUUUUUGUGAGGCUUCACAAGGUCAAAUGGUUCAUUUAAUCCAGCUACUCAUGUGGUUUGGUGCUAUCUCAAGGCUAAAAAUAAAUCUAAACAAAAUUGAGUUGAUCCAAUAGGAAGGGUAGCUAAUAUGGAGGAAUUGGCCUUGAAGUUGGGAUGCCUUCCCAUCUACUUGGGGCUUCCCUAGAGCCUCCCUUAGAGCAUAGUCAAUUUAGAAUAGCAUGGAAGAAAGGUUUCUUUGAAGACUGUCAAUGUGGAAAAAGCAAUCUAUUUCGAAAUAAGGGGAGUCUUACUUUGAUUCGAAGCACCUUAUCCAAUUCAUCCAUCUACGUUAUGUCCUUGUUCAACAUUCCUAAAAUGAUUAGAUUGAGAUUUGAAAAGAUUCUAAGAUACCUUGUAUGCAGAGACAAGGCUUUAGAGAAAAAGAUGUAUUUAGGGAAAUGGUCAAUCGUUUGUAAGGAGAAGAGUAAGACGGGCCUAAGCAUUAGAUGCCUUUCUUCGCUUAAUAAGGCCCUCCUUGGAAAAUGGUGUUGGGGAUAUGCUUCUAAAGGAGAAACAUUUUGAAAACAAGCUAAAUAGGGGAAAUAUGGAGAAGAAGAAAUAGGUUUGAGUUCUUGCAAAGUGAUAGAAGGGUCUGAAGUUGAGUUACAAGAAGGCAUCAGAAAGCGAUGGGAUCUAUUCAAUGGUAGAGCAUCCUUCGAGGUGGGCAAUGGGAGGAAGAUGAAGUGUUGAAAAGAUAAGUGGUGUAUGUAAGAACCCUUAUGUCUUUCCCCUCUUUGCAUGUCUUAGCUUCAUCAAAAAAGGCUUGGGUGGCAAAUGUAUGGGAUGAUCUAGAUGAAAGGGGCCACUAGAUUUCUUAUUCUCUAAAUACAUGAAUGAUUAAGACCUAGACAAUGUACAGACUUUUUUCUCAAGGUUACAAAAGAAGGUCCAUGAAGAGGAAAGAGAAGGAUAGGGUGGUUUGGAUGGGCCCAAGGGAUGGCAUUCUUUUUCUAUCAAAUCUUUAUAUUUUGUCCUAGAGCUAGAAUGUUCGAUACCUUUCUCAGUGGGCAUCAUUUGGAAUUCAUGGAUUCUAUCUAAGGCAAGUUCUUUUGCUUUGGAAGCUAGUUCAAGGAUGUGUCAACUUUAGGUAAAUAUCAAAAGACAAGGUGGUCAUUGAUGGACAAAUAUUUCUUUUGUAAAUAUGAAAGGGAAUUAAUUGAUCAUAUAUCCUGCUUUACUAUGCCAAAAUAAGGGUGGUAGGGCAGUUACUUUUCUCUUUAUUCAACAUUGUUUCAGUCCUACCUUCUACAAUUAGGGAGAUUCUUUUAAACUAGCAUGGCUCUUUUGUGUUAAGAAAACGAAAGAAGGUUAGGAGAAAUGCUCCUUUGUGCAGUUUUUAGACAAUUUAGAAGGAAAAAAAUCGAAGAGUGUUCAAAAAUGAGGAGCAGUCGUUCAAUCACUGAAGUGCCCUUUCCUUGGAAAUCUAGAAUUAUGGGUUAGCAUAUACAUAGAAAAAGGAUCAGUGCCUUCACUUGAUGCUAUAGAUUGGGCAGGAUCUGACUUAGGCAAGGAGUAGUUUUUUGUGUUCUAUCUCUCUUUGGAAAUGCUUUUUGAUACCCAUUAUAUAUGCCCUUUGUACCUCGGUGUAUAGUUUCUUUGAUGCUAUCUAUAAAAUCUUUUUUUAUUACUUUAACCCCCACCAGACCCACCCAACCCCCUCCCCAACCUUAAAAGAAAAAUGGAAAAAAAAUACUGAUAACAACGUUUUUUUCAUGCAUUGAAUUUCUUUUUGAAAUAAUAAUGAAAGUUGCAUGGAGCUAGAUCAAUAUUUGCUCUAGUGGUAGGCACCAUGAGCUGAGAACAAGAUGUUCUUUCUUUCUUUGUCUUUUUCAUUUUUGUUUUCUUGUUUUUUGUUUUUUUUUUUUUGCUCGCUAGUUGUAGGUUGAGAUUGAAAUUUUUGUCUAUUUUACAGGUGAAUGGGGCUCAGGCAUGCUAGAACUUACUAGUCCAACCUAAGGAACACCUAUUAUAAGGUCAGUACAAACCUCAAGUUACAACCAUUAGCCACGAAAAUGGUAACUAACUAGCAUGGCUCCUCUGUAGUUAAAAAGAAAACACUUUGCUUGAAUAGAAAAAUUGAGGAACAUCACCCUUUGGUCACUGUUAUGAAAAGCAGGAUAUAUUAGGCUUCACUCAAUGUAACUCAAGAAUAGAGGUGUAUAUCUUUUCUAGGCUACAAUAUGAGAAAUCACUAGUACCCAGAUGCACUCAGGGAGGGGCAACAUAGCAAAAUCUUAUUGCUGUCAUGGGACUUAAUAAAACAUCACACUGAUCAAGAGUGUGAUCUUCAGGAUCAUAUUUUUUUCCACUCACUUAAAAGAUAAAAACAAAUUUGGGGUGUGGGGGAAGUGUGGUGGAGGGUAUUGGACCACUGUCAAAAGUUUUGCCAUGGAAACCAAAAAAUUCAAGAAUUUGGUAGAACAGAUCAAAUAUUUAAGUCUCUAACAGAAUUAAUCCCAAGUAUGAGCAGGUUUCUGUACAUGUACUGGGUAGAGAGCUGCUUCCCUUAAUUAGGUAUAUGCCUAAGAAGUAAAAAAGACUAGGCAGAGAAUUAUAGUUCAGUUCAUCCCACAUGGGAGAUGUGCUGUUGCUGCAACCUAAAUGGAGCAGGCAAGAUUCAUCAACAACUAAGAAGGAAGUUGAUAUGGGCACUUAAUAGCUCUGUACACCCAUAACAAUUCUCUUUCCAGAACACUCAGUGUUUUGUGUGGAGAUUUAGUAAGCCAAUAUAUUAAUAAAACCUAAAAGAGUAAAAUUCAGAGUGUAAUGUGCCUGCAUACUGAUUAAAAACAGUUGAUAUCUCUAACAAAAUAAUUUGAAGUAGAAACAUAAAUUCAGAUACUUACAACAUCUGAGAAGGCAACAGAAAGAGAACCAAGAAGUAUACAGAAAGCGGCACCAUACUUGCUGUCCACAAAAGUGGCCAUCAAACUCCAUGAGAGUGCUCCAAGAAGCCCUGAUAGAACCAAGUAUGACCUUCUUCGAUAACCAAAAAGUGGUAAAGAAUCGCUGCAAUAAAUAAACACUUAUUAAACACAAAUAAACAAAUAGGAAACAUGUAUUUAUCAAUUAAGGGAAAACAAUGGAGAUAAAGGAAUAGGCCGGCACCUAAUAAACCCAUAAAGAGGUUUGACAAGCCAUGGUAGUGCAGAGAAACCAGAUAUCACAGCAGUCUAGUCAACCAUGUAUAAUUUGUCAGUCUGUAUGAUCCUUUGAUAAGAUAAUCAGGUUAUUUAUUAGAAAAACGUGAAUUUUCCUCUAUUUUCCGUAGUUCAUGAGCCAAAAACUCAAGUAAUUCUCGUAAAUCUUUUAUACUGAAAUUGUAACCUACACAAAAAUGGUGAAUAGGCCACCAUCAACAGAUUAACAUAUUAGAACAACAGUUGGUUUGAACCAUGACCACAAAAAUGACUGGAAUAUUCACUCUUUAAACUAUUAAAACAAAGAAAGAAAAUGGUAUGGAUUACAUGUGAUUAAAUGAGUUCUACUAUAACCUAAAAAGUUAAAGCAAAGAAAGAAAAUAGUAUGGAUUAUAUGCGACUAAAUGAGUUCUACCAUAACCUAAAAAAUUUAUGAAAGUUAAGAUCACACACCUCUGCAGGAUCUAGAUGCAGAUCAUCUUUUAAAUAAAAACUGACAGCAAGCCUAGAAAGGCCUAAAACACCUUGGACAAAAUAUACCAUGGCAACGGCAACAUUAUCAGGGGACAGGUCCACCCCAAAGCACUUGACAUUGCUCAUAAGAUAUCUGUUCUUCCGUGGAGCAACUUGACUAUGUGAGCAGGUCUCUCCUUCCAUAUUUGUUGUUAGCAUGUCCCCUUUCCCUGCACCUGGAUCAAGAAUACUAAACAAUGAGAGAGAAUACAAACAUUAACUGUUCAAUCCUUCUGCAUUGAAAUCUCUAUCAUCCAAGAAUAAUUGUUAUCACUUAUCAUAUAACUACUAGACUAGAGUCUAAAUGCCAAAUUGGAAGGACAUCCUCCUGUUUACAAAACUCUCUAUGCAAAAUAAUAACCUUGGUUGUGGCAACCAAAGUUUGAUGCAACAAAGGAACAUAACCAAGAAGAAAAAAAAAAAAAAACCCACAAAAAACAAAAAACAAUAUUAGCUAUAUAUCUGUACUUACCAUAAUUAAGUUGUUUCCUUUCUUGUAGGCUGAUUCUUAGGGAUAAUACCUUCCUAAUUUAGGACUCUCAAUUGUAUAUAUAUAUAUGUAUGUAUUAUUCCUCUAAUAAACAUACAAUAAUUUCUCCAAAUACCUUUGUUGAAUUACAUGGUAUCAGAGCCUUUGACUCAAAUUCUGGGUUUGUUAUUUCUAAGUCACUGAUUUCCAGUGACAUUUUGCCAUUCUCUGUUCUUCUUGGGUCACGGAAUAAAAGUGACCUGGUAGUGUCACUGCCUACGGAGGGGAAAGCGCGGUGUCAGGAUCAACCGAUACCCAAAGUCUGGCGACCGGAAGCUGAACGCGUGAAGCUCACGCGCCCUGAGAAGCAAGACGCGUCAACUCAUGCAUCGGCGCGUGGAGGAGCGUGGCAGCUUCUUUUACCUCCGACCAGUUCCAUUGGCGUCGCAAUCCCGUUUUCCGGCCAGUGUGUGGUGCGGUGAUCUCGUUCUUGGAUUGUGAGAUUCUGUUCUUGGGAUUUCAGGUGUUUCUGUUACUAUUUCUAUUUAGUCUACAAGAGGUACUUGUCUCUUUCUUUCUUCUUGCUGUGGUGAAUUGCAAUUUCUCGUCUGGGCUGCUCUUCUCUAGGUGUGAAAUUACUUUGGAGAUUGAAUUUUAUUGCCAUGGAAGAGAAUAAGAAUUUUGUUGCUGAUAUAGUGUUUGUUGUGUCAAAAAUAACUGAACACAAAUUAAAUGGGUCUAAUUAUAUUGAAUGGAGCAAGACGAUCAAAUUUUAUCUGAGAAGUGUUGCUAAAGAUGACCACUUGACUGAGGAACCUCCUAAUAAUAACACUAGAAAACUUUGGAUGCAAGAUGAUGCACGGUUAUUUCUGCAUAUUAAAAACUCUAUUAAUAGUGAUAUUGUUGGUCUGUUGAGUCAUUAUGAAUUUGUUAAAGAGCUAAUGGAUUAUCUAGAUUUUCUUUACUCUAGAAAAGGAAAUGUAUCUCGGAUGUAUGAUGUAUGGAAUGCCUUCCAUUGUCCUGAGAAGGGAGCUAAAUCCCUCACUGCAUACUUUAUGGACUUCAAGAAGGUAUAUGAGGAAUUGAAUGCACUUAUGCCUUUCAGUCCGAAUGUUAGAGUACAAUAGGCUCAAAGGGAACAGAUGGUUGUUAUGAGUUUCUUAUCCGAUCUCCCAUCUGAGUUUGAGACUGCAAAAUCUUAGAUUCUUUCUGGUUCUGACAUUGGUUCCCUUCAAGAAGUGUUCAGUAGAGUUCUACGAACUGAGAAUGUCCCGUCUUCUCAGCACACCAAUGUUCUUGCUGCAAAAGGAGGAAAUGCAGAGAAUACAAGGAGGAUGAAUAACAGGGGUGGAAAUAGGGCAUUUGAAAAUCGUGGCAAUGAUUCAAGUACCAUUGUGUGUUUUUACUGCCAUGAGGCUGGCCAUACCAAGAAGAACUGCAAGAAAUUGCAUAAUCGGAAUCGGAGAAAUCAAACUACCAAUGUUGCUACAUCUAAUACUGCUACAUCUUCAGACUCCUCAGACAAGAUCGUCACAAUGACAGCAAAAGAGUUUGCUAAAUAUUCACAAUAUCAGGAAGCACUGAAAGCAUCUACUCUUGUUAUUACUCCGACAGAGUCAGGAAAAACAUGUCUUGUCUCCUCUUCAAACAAAUGGAUAAUUGAUUCAGGUGCCACAAAUCAUAUGACAAGUAAUCAUAAAACUUUCUCUACCUUCAGAACACAUUUUGCUCCUCCUAUUACUGUUGCUGAUGGUUCUACCUAUGAGAUUAAAGGGUCUAGGACUGUGAAACCAUCUUCUAUUACUUUAUCUUCUGUGUUAAACUUACCAAAUUUGGCCUUUAACUUAAUCUCUGUCAGUAAACUUACCAAAAAUCUGAAUUGUAGUGUCUCAUUUUUCCCUGAUUAUUGUGUGUUUUAGGAUCUUAGGACGAAACCGACAUUUGGUAAAGGACAUGCAUCUAAUGGGCUCUAUAUUCUUGAUGAGUGGGUACCUCGACCAGUUGCGUGUGUCAAUACUGCCUCUCGUGUUGAAGCUCAUUGUCGGUUAGGACAUCCUUCUCUAUCGGUGUUGAAGGAAUUAUGUCCUCAGUUUGAUAAUUUACCUUCAUUAGAUUGUGAGUCGUGUCAUUUUGCGAAGCAUCAUCGUAGUUCUUUAGGCCCAAGGAUUAAUAAACGGGCUGAGUCUUUGUUUGAGUUAGUACAUUCUGAUGUUUGGGGUCCUUGUCCUGUUACUUCUAAAACUAGGUUUCGAUAUUUUGUUACCUUUGUGGAUAAUUUUUCUCGAAUGACUUGGAUUUAUUUUAUGAAGAAUCGUUCAGAAGUAUUUUUCACAUUUUUGUGCAUUCUCUGUUGAGAUUAAAACCCAAUAUGACGUGUCUGUGAAAAUAUUAAGAAGUGAUAAUGGAAAAGAAUAUGUGUCUAACUCAUUUCAAAACUACAUGAGUCACAAUGGGAUUCUUCAUCAAACAUCUUGUGUUGAUACUCCUUCUCAAAAUAGGGUUGCUGAAAGAAAAAACAGGCAUUUACUUGAGACGGCUCGUGCACUCAUGUUUCAGAUGAAGGUUCCAAAACAAUUUUGGGUUGAUGCAGUUUCCACAGCUUAUUUUCUGAUCAACCAUAUGCCCACUGUAGUGCUUAAAGGUGAUAUUCCGUACAAAGUAAUACAUCCACAGAAAUCACUCUUUCCAAUUGAACCAAGAAUUUUUGGAUGUACAUGCUAUGUUAGAGAUACAAGGCCUUCUGUUACUAAACUUGAUCCUAAGGCGUUAAAGUGUGUUUUCUUGGGGUACUCAAGACUGCAAAAGGGCUAUAGAUGUUUCUCGAUUGAUCUCAAUAAGUAUUUAGUAUCAACGGAUGUUGUGUUUUCAGAAGACACAUCCUUUUUCUCUUCACCCACAAGUUCUGCGAGUGAGGAGGAGAAUGAAGAAUGGCUUGUGUAUCAAGUGAUUAAUUCAAGACCAACUGUUGGGCAAUCAAGUAUGGUUGAUUCUGAUGCAUCUCUUGCUCAUUUGGGUACUGUUGAUGAUGUUCCUCUGCUCCAAUCAAACCACCGAUUGUACAGGUGUACUCUCGGUGCCCAGUGACAACAGAUACAUGUCCUGCACCAACUCCUUCGUCAUCUGAUCCUUCCAAUGAUCUCGACCGUCCCAUUAGCCUUCGAAAAGGUAAACGACAAUGCAAAUCUACCUAUUCCAUUGCUAACUUUGUGUCUUAUGAUCACCUAUCAUCUUCCUCGAGUGUUUUUGUAGCCUCUAUAGAUUCUAUUUCAGCACCUAAAACUGUUACAGAGGCCCUGAAUCAUCCUAGUUGGAAGAAUGCAAUGCUUGAAGAAAUCCGUGCAUUGGAGGACAAUCAUACAUGGAAACUUGUUGAUUUGCCUCAAGGAAAGAAAGUUGUUGGAUGCAAGUGGGUCUUUGCAGUAAAAGUUAAUCCUGUUUGCAGUAAAAGUUAAUCCUGAUGGCUCUAUGGCAAGACUGAAAGCCAGGCUUGUAGCUAGAGGAUAUGCUCAGACAUAUGGAGUAGACUAUUCUGAUACUUUCUCUCCAGUUGCCAAACUGAAUUCAGUUCGACUAUUUAUUUCUAUUGCUGCUUCCCAACAAUGGAUGAUACAUCAAUUAGACAUCAAGAAUGCUUUUCUUGAUGGUGAUCUAGAAGAAGAAGUCUAUGUGGAGCAAUCUCCUGGAUAUGUUGCUCAGGGGGAGUAUAGGAAGGUUUGUUGUCUGAAAAAAGCUCUCUAUGGAUUGAAGCAGAGUCCCCGUGCUUGGUUUGGAAAAUUCAAUAAGGAGAUUCAAGCAUUUGGCAUGAACAAGAGCAAGAAAAAUCAUUCCGUUUUCUACAAGAAAUCAGCUACUGGUAUCAUACUUCUUGUGGUUUAUGUCGAUGAUAUAGUUAUUACAGGAAAUGAUCAUGCAGGAAUCUCUGAUCUUAAGGCAUUCAUGCAUUCCAAGUUUCAUAAAAAGGACUUGGGUGAACUGAAGUAUUUCCUGGGAAUAGAAGUAUCAAGGAGCAUGAAAAGGAUGUUCUUAUCACAGAGGAAGUAUGUGCUUGAUCUACUUGAAGAGACCGGUAAGAUAGAAGCAAAGCCAUGUACUACCCCGAUGGUUCCUAAUGUACAGCUUAUGUCAGAAGAUGGAGAUCCCUUCUACAACCCUGAAAGGUAUCGGAGGGUGGUUGGGAAGCUAAAUUAUCUCACUGUGACCCGACCAGAUAUUGCAUAUGCAGUAAGUGUUGUUAGUCAGUUCACAUCUGCGCCUACAGUAAAGCAUUGGGCAGCUUUAGAGUAGAUUGUGUGCUAUCUGAAGAAGGCUCCUGGUCUAGGUACACUAUACAGUAGUCAAGGACACACUCGCAUUGAGUGUUUUUCUGAUGCGGAUUGGGCAGGUUCUAAGUUUGAUAGAAGAUCCACUACAGGUUAUUGUGUGUUCUUUGGUAGGAAUCUAGUGGCUUGGAAAAGUAAGAAGCAGAGUGUUGUAUCCCGUUCGAGUGUAGAAUCUGAGUAUAGGGCCAUGGCACAGGCUACUUGUGAAAUCAUAUGGAUACAUCAACUCUUAUGUGAAGUGGGAAUGAAGUGCACAAUGCCAGCGAAACUUUGGUGUGACAAUCAAGCCGCUCUUCAUAUUGCUACGAACCCAGUCUAUCAUGAAAUAACCAAACACAUUGAGGUCGAUUGUCACUUCAUUCGUGAAAAGAUUGAGGAAAAUCUAGUCUCUACUGGCCAUGUGAAGACUGGAGAGCAACUUGGCAAUAUUUUUACAAAAGCUCUAAAUGGAACUCGAGUUGAGUACUUUUGUAACAAGCUAGGCAUGAUCAACGUCUAUGCUCCAACUUGAGGGGGAGUGUUAGCUGUAUAUAUCUGUACUUACCAUAAUUAAGUUGUUUCCUUUCUUAUAGGCUGAUUCUUAGGGAUAAUAUCUUCCUAAUUUAGGACUCUCAAUUGUAUAUAUAUGUGUAUUAUUCCUCUAAUAAACAUACAAUAAUUUCUCCAAAUACCUUUGUUGAAUUACAAACAAAAAAAAAAAAAACAAAAACAAAAACAAAAACAAAACAAAAUUACAAUCCUAUUUGGAAACUGUUCUUGAAAACGGUUUCUAUUCUUUAGAAUAGGAAUCAGUUUUCUAACCUAGAAAACAUAUUUGGCAAACACUUGAUAAAAACCUUUUUUGAGAAUUUGUUCCAAAGACAGGUUAAUCUUUUAAAACAAAUUUGAAGUGUAUUUGGAAAAUAUUUGAGAACUUCUGUAAUGUACAUAAAUGUAUAGUACCUUCAUGGAGAAUAAUUUGCAUAAAUGUAUAGUACCUUCAUGGGUAAUAAUUUGCAUAAAUGUAUAGUACUUUCAUGGAGAAUAAGCCAAAAAAAAAACUAUUUUUCAUGUUACAAUUCUCAAAUAGAAUUUUGUUCUUGAAAAAACUUACGUUUUUAAAAAUUGUUCUCAAAAAUUGUUUUAGAAAAUGUUUCCAAAGAGGCACUACAAUUCCUUUCUUUUUCUUCUUCUUCUUAGAAUUUUGUUCUUGAAAAAACUUAUGUUUGCAAAAAAAUUCUUGUUCUAGAAAAUGUUUCUAGACACUACAAUUCUUUCCUUCUUCUUCUUCUUUAAUAGGCAAAAGAACCAAAAGAACAAUUUAUGUUCAUUUGACAUGUUCUGUACUUGUGUUCCAACAAAAGCUCUUGGGAAUUAAGAUCAAACUUAUAAAGGUGUGAGAUACACAAAAUUAGUAUCCUAAGCAUGAUAUUCUCUUCAUUUUAAGUGUGAGAUACACAACCCCAGCAUGAUAUUCUCUUCAUUUUGAGUGUGAGAUACACAAAAUUAAUAUCCCCAGCAUGAUACUCUCUUCAUUUCUUUAAUAGGCAAAAGAACAAUUUAUGUUCAUUUGACAUGUUAUGUACUUAUGUUCCAACAAAGCUCUCGGGAAUUAUGAUUUAACUUAUAAAAGUGUGAGAUACACAAAAUUAGUAUCCCUAGCCUGAUGAUACUCUCUUCUUCUUUUUCUUCUUCUUUCUUAAAUAGGCAAAAGAACAAUUUAUGUUCAUUUGACAUGUUAUGUACUUAUGUUCCAACAAAGGCUCUCAGGAAUUAUGAUUUAACUUAUAAAAGUGUGAGAUACACAAAAUUAGUAUCCCUAGCAUGAUGAUAUUCUCUUCAUUUUGAUAUAUGUAUGAUUUGAUAUGACUAGAGGAUAUCUCAAUUCUAUGUUCACACUUUAAGUUUUCUAACAAAUCUCAUUCCUAGGGACAACUAUAAUAAUCGAGCUAGUAUUCAAUAAAAUUUUCUCUUCAAGGUAUUAGAGAGGGCCUAUUGGACCUAACCAAUGUUCAAUAGUUUUCACGUGUCUUCAUCCAACAUUAGACCUUAAAAUAACCCCCAGUAAUCAAAGAAGGCUAUCCUUCUAAUGAUUCCUUCAACUUAUCGUUUUUAAAAAAAAUUAAAUAGUAAUUAUGCACUGCAGGCAACAUAAAUAAUCUCCAAUAACCACAGGAAUCAUCUUCUUUUUCUUCUAUUCCUUCUUCGACUUAUGAUUAAAAAAAAAUUUAAUAUAGUCAUAACUAACUGUGGGCUACUCGAAUAACCCCCAGUAACUGCAGAAACCAUGUUCUUUUUCUUCUAUUCUUUCUUAUAAUCCCUUCUUUUUCUCUUGGAUGCAGUUAGAAUUAACUUUUUUGAAGCCAAAAAUGGUUUUCCAAAUCCAAAAGAGCUUCUAUUUGCAUUUAGAUGGUUUUAACAGAACUGCUUUUAACUUCAAGAAUGCAAGAAGUUGUUUUAUGCUGAAUGAAACUUCCACAUUAUUAAGAUUGUCCCUUUUAAGAACAGAAUCUAAAACACUAUGCUAAUGAAGCCUUAACUGUUCCCUUCCCCCUGCGCCGCAACACCACCCCCCCACCCCCACCUUUUUUUUUUUUAAUAGGUUUUUCUCCCCCUACAUAUAGGCACCUUUUUCUCUCUUAGCUUCAUUCUUAUCAAUUGAUGCCUUGGAUUAAGUAGGCAAUUUUAUUCCAAUCAUGCACUGGUUUCACAUAACUUCUUUCUUUGAGUCUUAAUGGUCUUGAUCGAGUUCAAGCUAUCCAAAUCUCAAUUUGGAAUGAGGUAAGUACGUGUUGGGAGAUGUAAGACAAAACAAUGACAAUUUAAAAAUGAAAAGAAAAAAAAUUAAAAAAAGGAGAAAAACAUGAAAAUUGGAAGGUUGGUGCAGAAGGCAGAAAGAAGGGUAGUUCAAAUGUCUGAUGAAGAGUUCAAACAUUCAGCAAAGAGUUCAAAGACCCUACAAGAUGUUCAAACAUUCUCCCACAGUUUGAAGGUUCUUGAGGUAGAAUUCAAGGGUCUUACCAUGGUUUAAAUACCCUCCUACAGGUAGUUCAAGCAUUCAUGAUUCUUUUAAGAAAUGAGUUUUAAAAUAUGGAAAUUACCAUGAAAAGAAAUCCAAAACAAAUUAUUAAAUAAAGUUUUCAUUCGCCAAUCACAGUCAUUUUCAAUGCUAACAUGCAAAUCAUUCAAAUGAAAAUUCUUCAAUGUUUGCUGUAAAAAUAAAUUUACUGUACUUUCACAAUGGCUAUUGACAACAAGAAUAUAACUUUUUAUGUAGGAUUAUUUUUUUAAACAAAUAAUAUCAUAAUUCUUUUAACGAAAAUUUUUUUUUUUUUUUUUUAUUAAAAAUUGUGAAAAAUGGUUGAAUAUAAAUAUGAAUCGUUUUAUUGUUGUAUCGUGUAUCAUAUAUUUAUUGUUAGAUACACUCAAGAUAAGAUAUGAAUGCACUAUGUGUCAAAAAAAAUGUAUCAUAUCUUUCUAUUAUAUCAUGUGUCAUUGUAUUAAAUGUGGAUGAUGCAUUCCAAAGUCAAAGAGAAUCUUCUUGCUAGCAUGGGUUUUUGAUCAGAAAAAGCAAAAGAAAGUUUGGAGGAUUGCCCCUUUAUGCCUUUUUUGGACUCUUUGAAUGGAAAGAAACAAGAGGUGGUUUGAGAAUGUUGAACUUUCGAGUCAAGUGAUUAAAUGUUGUUUUAUGGCUAGCUUUUUGGAAUGGAUUACUUUGUAUAUGAAGAAUCAAUCUCUGACCAUGAUAAGUCUUAUUAAUUGGUUGUGCUUGAUGUAAGGAGAAGGGGUUGUUUCUUGCUUUCUCUUCCCAUUUUUGUCUUUUGACUCUUAUUGUAUGCAUCAUGUGUACUUUUUGUGGCCUUUUUAAAGCUUUUUUAAUGCAAUCCCUUUUAUAGCCUGUCAAAAAAUUAUUUCAUGUAUCAUGUUUUUUACCAACAGAGCAAACCAUAAAACUUUCUUUAUACAUCAUAGUCAUAAACUCAUAAAACAUAUUGUGUAUGGUAAGUUUUUUUUAUAUAGUAAAAAAUAAAUAAAUAAAUAAAAUAUGAAUAUAUGUGCAUAUAUAUUAAAAGCACGACAUAUAAGGUAAUAUAUAACCAAUUUCAUGCAAGAUAGUAGGAUUUAAAAAGUUAAAUUAUAUCAUACCAUAUAAAAACAUUAAAUACUAGAGUCUUGAAAAUUUUAAUUUAACAAAAUAUGAGUUUAAUAUAUAGGUCAUCUCAAAAUUUACAAAAAUAAAUUUUUAAAAAAAUUUUAUUUGAUUUUUUGUUCCAAAUAAGGCAUACGUAGCUAUAUGUAUUGUUGAUACAUAUGUCUUCAUAUCUCAUCUUCAAAGUUCCAACUUUUCAUAUUCAUCAUCAUUCCUUCCAAAAAAAACAAUUUAAUACAUAUAAUAAAAAUUAUAAAAUUGGUUGAAGUUAUAUAUAUCAUUGUAUCCUUGUAUCAUGUGCCUUAUCGUGUAUCAUAAGAUAUGUGUAAGAUAAGAUAUGGAUUGCAAUACAUAUUGAUUUUUGUAGAAAAUGUUUAUAUCGUUGUAUUGUGUCAUGUAUUGCAAGUUUUUAACUAUAGUUCCAACUAAAUCUUUUAAGUCUUAAAGUUUUUCCAUAAAUACCUAGAUUUAACACUUAGAAUUUGAUAUGAGCAUAAUUGAGAGGAUAAUCAAUGUUUCACCUUGAUCUUCAAACUCUCAUAAAGCUUUUAAGAACGAAUCUUGAAAGUUUUUCAAUGGAAAGACAAUAUCGUACAAUGACUUCAGAUACUCAAUCCAAGGUUGAGGGGAUCCACUAAGAAGCAUAGGGUCCUACAUUGAGGACAUGAAAGAAGUACAGAGGUGCUUAUCAGUAUAAGACCUUUGAAAGUAUCCGGAUUAGGUAAAACUGUAUACCUUCUUUUCAUAUUUAGUGGCUUAUCUAUUAUCAUUUGACUUGUGGCUUUCACAUCUAUAAAGUUUGUGUUGGGACUUUGUAGGCGGUAUCCUCAUAGAAUGUGUCUCCUUAUGUGGAUUGUUCUAAUUAUUCUUGUUUCAUUAAAUUUAAUUUAAUCUUGAAAUAGUCAAGUAUGAUAAGAAUUGAUGAAGAUUUUGAAGUUUGACAUUAAAAAGUCUGGACUAUCUAUUCCCCCCACUAGGUAGUUCCAUGGUCUAAGAAUCCACUUUCAUCAUCAUUCAACCUGUUAAAUCUCAUGUGCAUAGUUCAUGUCUCUGCGUUGUUUGUGGUGAAGACCAUUUAGGUUAGUCUUUGCUUGUGGGAAUGAUACAAUUGCCUAUGAUUUUGAAAUCAUACAGGAAAAUUAACAGAAGAAGAGGGAAACUUCAGAACUUUGCAAAGGCACAAGCUUAAUGGUGGAUUGAGGCCUAUGCAAUGCAAAGAAACUAAACCAAAUAGACCCAAUGGAUAUGCAUGCACAAGGCAGGGAUUGUGUGUGGUCUGGAGCAACUACGAAUGUAUCACCACAUAUUCUGCGUCAGUUGUUCUAGAAAUUAUUUGAAUAUGUUUUAGAAUGUCUCAUUGCCGACUUUUGUUAUCUAAGUCAUCUACAAAAACCCUUCUUAGAGGAUAAGCAUUCAACAAACUUCUGUUCCUUCACAAAGUUUUAAGCCCGAGAUAAAUUACGGACUAUCUAAGACACUCUCUUCUUGAUACCUCACACCUAUACUGUUACUCUUCCGCCAUCUUGAUUUAACCAUCACUGGAACCUAAUUAAUAUCUCACAGCUCUUCAGUGCAUAAUCAUCAAACACAGUGCUCCAAAAUAUGGUUUGCAUCAACUAAAUUAGACAAACUCUCAAAAUUAAGAAAAGACGAAUGACAGAAAAUUAAUAUUAAAGCAAACACGAUAGAUAAUAAGAUAUUAUUCUCCGUUUGGUUGCUGAGAAAACCAAGGAAAAGAAAACAAAAUUCGACUUUAGUCUCCCAUUCAUAAGAAGCUUAAAUAAAAAACAAGCCAAUCCUAGGUUCAAAAUCUCCAACUUGUUUCUUUUUCCGCGUUUUCUUGACAACCAAACGGAGCAAAGAGAAAACUUACAAUUUCUAGAAUCCACAUCAGUGUCGUCGUCCCUGUCCCGCCGGUGUGAUGGAGUUGGCAUCUGAACGCUGACAGACAUGCUCUUUUCCGGCGGUUUACGACGUGUUUUCCGAUGAGUGAUCCCGUGGAUUCCGGCGAGGAACGUAGCCGGUUUCCGAUGGAUCUGUGAGAGGAUGGGAGAGAGGGAGAGCAAGGGCAAAAAUGGGUUUUGGAAGGGUAAUAAUGAGACUGGAGUUGAAGUUAAUGGAGCCAUUAAAAUAAGGGCUUGCACUGCUGCUUCACGAACUCAUCAUCUCUAUACGUACCUCAUUCGUGAAAUGACGUGCAUGUCCUUUAUAAAAUUACCAUUCUAGUGCCACCCUCCAGCGAUUGACGCGUGUCAUGUAAUGCUAGAUUCAGGUUCGAGCUGGCCCAUGGACCGGCAUAAGCCCUUAGGCCCAUCUUGAUGUGCGCCUAUCCUUUCGCAGUAUAUAUAUAUGCUCGGUUCUGAAAAGUUUAAGGAAAACGGGAGAGUAAAAAAAAUUAGAGAAGAAAGGUAGAAAGAAAGGGAAGACGAAGAAAAAUAAAAAAUAAAUUUAAAGUUAAGUAUAGGCUUAAUAUUAUUUUCGGUUGAGAGUUUAUACAAUAUGCCCUUAGUGAUCCAAUUAUAGUAACUCCGACAUGAGAUUUAAUCUUGGUGAACUAAUUUCAACUAUUCAAAACAAAUUUUCUCAUAUCCAUUAAUAUAAAAACCAAGUUAGAAAUUAUUUCACAUUAUUCUAAAGAUUAAAUGAUCCAAAUUUAGCUUAUCACCUCAAACAACCAACAUAUCAAAUCAAUAAAAAUUUAUAAGUUAAGAUAAACAAAUGAAAAGAUGAAAUAAAAAUAAAGAAACAAUAACACUAAGAUUUCAUGCUAAAAACCUUCAAAGUGAGAAAAAAAUCAUAGGUCUCUAAGGGAUCAAAAGCAUCCACUAUGAAGAAAUAAACUGAGUACAAUGAUUUACCUAGUCCAAUGGUUCAAUCCUCUUUUGAACCAUUUACCUAGAACCAUCAAACUUCAACUACCCACUUUCUUCUUUUGGAGCAUAUUUACUGUCCACAUCAAGUUAAAUCUAGACCUUUUCUUGAAUCCAUCCAAGUUAAACAAAUGAAAAGAUAGAGAAUAUGAAAGUAGGAAUGAGACCUACACUAAAUUAACCCAUUUUGAAAUAUCUUUUCUCACCCAAAAGAUGAUUUUCAAUUCAACAUCCAUAAAAUUUUCUUUCAAACCAAAUACCCCCAAAAUAGAUCAAGAACUAGAAACUCAAGGGAAGCCACCUAGCUCUCAUAAUCAUGUUUCCCUCUUCUAAAAUAAGGUAUGAGUAGUAGGGUUUUAAAACUCAUCAAACAAUUGAAUUUUGUUUUGAAAACAAAAGAAAAAAGAUUUUGCAGAUACGAUUGAAUCCUAAUUGAUCAGACGAGACUAUGAAAUUUUGAGUACAAUAGAAAUUAUUAUCUUUAAUUUAAUUUAAUCGAUCGAGAACCGUUAAUAAUACUCUAAAAUUUCAAUUCCAUUUUCAACAAAAUAAUUGAUUAAUCAAUGUUGAUAUCAUCUACCACCUUAAAAACACUUACUAUUUCCUUUAAUAAUCUCUAAUGAUGAAUAAUUUGGAAAUGACAAGAAUUCAAGGAAAAUGAUUUGAUGUAAUUGAACUAAGAGAAGACAAUGUGAAUUUUAACCCGCAAUUGAAAUAGGAGAACAUCAUGAGAAUUUUGACCUGGAAUUAGCGAUACACAAAAACGCGUACACUGACAACUCGUGUCUUUUCACGACUGCUCCAGCCUCCAACUGUUCUUCCCAUUCCUCACCCAUUCUGCUCUUUAUGGUCAUCAUUUGCACAUUUGCCCCUAGACUUGUAUCAAGGGUCGCGAGUCUUCCUGUGGUCGCCUCGCACUUGUGCGAGUUGGCAUCAUGGUCACUGUUUCAGGCUUUUUGUCAAAUUUCCACAAACAACGCUAAUAUGCCAAGGUCCCUUGCUUUAGCAGAUGGCAUGUAUGGUUUUUUGUCAAAUUUGCACCCACAUCAUAUUGGAUUAAAUGUUUUGUUUCAUCAUACCAAACUCACUACUAGUAGAGCAUUUUGCUGUGGGAUUAGUUACGAGAGCUGGCAUCAAUGGUUUAGUUAUAGUACGUUUAGUCAUACUGCAGCAGGUCCAUGCGCACCGGAAAUGGCAUGUAUGGUUAAAAGAAAAAGUUUUGGAUACCAUCCUAUGUGAUGCCCAACUCCCAAAAUGAGGGUUUUUCUCAUAUGGCAAGCAAUGAUGCGUGCUCUUGACAAAUGACAAUUCAAUCCAGCUCCCACUUCCAAAUCCAUGGGCUUGGAUCAUCAGUAGAUUGAAUCUCGGCCAGUUUGAGCUUAUCCAGAGAGUUCUCCUGACCCAAAAUGCAUGCAUAUAUCUUUAAAGUUAGGUCUAUCCUCUACAGCUAUUUUUAGCUGCUGUGAUGAUCCAUGGGCUGGAUCAUAUUGAAUCUCAGCUAGUUUGAGCUUAUCCAGACAGUUCUCCUGACCCAAAAUGCAUGCCAUAUAUCUUUAAAGUUAGGUCUAUACCCUACAGCUAUUUUUAGCUGCUGUAGUAUAUGUAUAUCACUGAAUAUUCCCUCCAUUGGUCAGUUUUAUACUGACCUGUGUCAUAAACCAAUGAAAUGGGCCUGAAUAAACUAUACAACAAAUCUUCAUCAAAUGGGUGGUCAUCAGAACGCAAAAGAUUAGGACAAAAAAAACCAAGGAAUCGGAUUUUGGUCCUUAAUUAUGAGAUGGGCUUGAAAGAUAAAUUCAAAGUUCAAACAUCAUCCAUAUCAUUAGCAACUUUCAAAACCAAAAACUGUGGACAAACCCAUCAGCAAUCAUCCAACAAAAUCAACUCUACAAUGUCUCAGCCUUUCAGCCCCUCUGUUUCUACAAAAGAGAGUAUUAGAAACACUAGAAAGGAGAGAAAAUAAAAAAGGAAAAAGAAAAAAAAAAGAGAGGAAAAUGAGGGAAAAAGAACACUGAAACCGAUUCAAUGGAUGGAUGCCCGACUACCAUCUUGUUUUUUUUUUCCCCACUAAUUCAUAUGUAUAUGUAGGUAUGUGCCGUUGGAAAUACUGUCUCCACUAAUAUGGCCACCCACUCUAAAUGAUGAUAUAGGAUUUAUCCUUAUGAAGUUGGUAAAUCUCUUGGACAAGAUUGAUUUUAGAAACAAUGGAGAGGGCCAGAGAUGGGUAUAACUAUCAGGAACAAGUCCCAUAAACAUCACCACCUUCCAAUAUUUCCAUCCUCUCCUCCAACAUAAUCUCCCGCUGCCGGCAUUCGCUGCUGCAAAAGGCUUUCUCGCCCCUGAAAUCACACAAAAGAAUGAUCAGACAUCACAAUCAAAUUCACCAUAUGCACAAAUGUUGUAAACCAAAUGGGUCCAAUCAAGACUAUAUUUGGGAUACUUAAUCCUUGGUUAUCAUCAGUAGAUUCCUACGGAUCAACUAAUAAUCGGAAGUGGGUGGGUCAAAAUUUAAACUGAAUUUCCUUUUCAAGAACUCAAACAUGGGGUGUUCUACCAGUCCAACUCCAACUUUGGCCAAUAUGUAUCAAAAAUCUAAUCCAAAUAAGAGCCCAAAAGAUUAUAUGAAAAGAAUGUAAACAGAUGCUAAAAGAGGGGGGGCGGGCGGGCGGGGCGGGGUUGUGGUGGGGUGGGGGUGAUUGGGUCUAACCUGUAAAUGUAAAUGUCUUUUCCCUGCCCAAUGUUUUUCCUGCAAGAGUGGCAAAAGUUGAGGAAACUUUCCGGGAAAACAUCGUUUUCUUUUCUUGAUGCAGAGAAGCCAACAAUGCAGUUGUCAAAAAUAUGGGUAGUUCUGGGAUUGGGUCCAUGGGAUAUAACACAAGUGUAAUCUUCAGAAAGCUCCAUUUCGGUGGCGGAGAGGCAGCCAGUGAAAAUCCGGGGAGAGUUGGGUGCUUCGAGGCCGGAAUUGGCAGACCCAAAUCCUGAUUUCUUGGCCGGAGAUUGAGACAAGCAAGGGGAGAAGGGACCGAGUUGAGAAUUCCUAGUUUUGAUGCCGAAAUCGGCUGGAGAUUUUGGAGAUUCGGCCGGAGAGAGGACUGAGGAUGGGAGAGGAGGGAUUUGGAUCUUGAGCUGUGAUCCAAAGAGAACCAUUCUGCUUUCUGGUUUGGAGAGUUUUGGGUCGGAUUCGUCAUGGGUAAGAGCAUCCACAAUGCCGAGACCAAUCAUUCUGGAAUCCAAUUUGUCCCAGUGGCGUCUGGGUUCGGGUUCUGAGGGUUUGAUGGUGGACGUGGUGUUCGUGAAAGGGUUUCGGAAGCCAGAGAACGGUUUGCUGUCAAGUAUGGAGGUUGGGCUCAUCAUUGUUUCAGUUUCAGAGAAGACCUUCGAGGAGAAACCAGUGAAGAGCCGUGGAGAACUGAAGAAAGAUGAUGAAGGGGGUCUCCUGUAUUUGUCUGUGGGGGAUGGUAGAGAACCGCAAUCCGCCAUUAGAGCUUGUUUGCUGGUUGACGCUCUGGACCUCUUUCUCAGCAUAAUUCCUCUUGAUUCAAAUAAACCACAGCAGUUCUACUGCAAAUUAAGAAGAUAGAAAUCCAAAAACUAAGACUUUAUUAUCUGGAAACGACGUUCAAAGAUAGACAGACGGAGUGACAGUAGAACUCACCUGAAGAGUUCUAUAGUUUUACUCGGUAACCGCCAUGGAUUACAGGAGGAGGGUAAGAGCAAAGCCACCUUCCAGCUUCACCAGCUCCAGUCUAGAAGAAAGGCGUGUUUUUAAUGGCGUUUAUACAAGAGAGCGAUCGAUCAAGUGAUGGUGAGAUAAUGACCAGAAGCAUCAUCUUCACAGAACCCAGAGACCCCAUACCUCUGUAACCUCCAUCCCAAACAGAGUGAGAAAGACCAAGAAAACAAGGGACACUUUUUCCCCGAUUUUCUCGCACUUUCUUAGCUCUAAUAUAUUUAAUUUCUUCUGAGCAAAUUAAGAAUCAGUCACCGACUCAGAAUCGACAUGCAAACAAAACCUCACGAGUCAUGAUCAAAGCACAGACGUGCAUCAGACAGGCGAACAAAAAAAGUUUGUAUUUUUGUUCCUUUUUUUUUCCCGUUGCUUUUGCUUUUCUCUUUUGUUUACGUCCUUCACUGCUAUUUCAGCAAAAAUGGUUUGUUAUAAUCAAAAGAUUCAAGCCCUUCAGAUGCAGACAGUACCCAUAAAUCAAAAACCCCCCAACAUCAAAACAAAACUAAAACAAAAAAGAAGAAAGGGAAAUAAAAAAAAAAAAUGUGUUUAUCGCUCCUCUCUCUUUCCUUUUCUGUUUAAUGGGUCUCUUUCUCUGCUCUUCAUUUUCAGUUAUUUUUCUGACUUGCCAUGAAGUUGCAGAGAAAAGUGCGUGUAUUAUAGAGAGAGAGAGAGAAGCAAUCGUGGGAAUGAGGAGAGUGGGGGGUUGGUGGGUGAUAUAAAGAGGGGUUUUUCUGCGUGGGAAUCAGUGGGUUUUGAUAAAACCACCUCUCUCUCUCUCUCCCCACAGUGCACCUGAAAUGGCAAUUUUUCCACGUCGGAUUUUGCCCGAGAAACUCCUCUUUCUCCCUCUCUGUCCUCUGGUUAUGGAUUUCUGAUCGUCGUUCUUGCCAUGGCAGGAUGCCCAAUAUAUAAAAACCGCUCACACACUCGUAGGCUGACGCCACACUACUUCGUUUUCUCUUUACCCCACUCUGCAAUGGGUCGGCUUACCUUCACUCUCCAGCUAAGCUUCAGAGUCCGUGCAUCCCGUGGUCAGCAUAUGGUAGAUAUCAGAUUACCCUGAUUUUCCAAAACAAUUUUAUUCUUUCAUAUUUUAUAAAAUAAAUAUUUAUUUGAGAAUUGUGUUUUUACAUAUAUUUUAAAAAUAUUUUAAUAGGGAGAAUUAUGUUUUGGGGUAGAUGGGCUCCCAAAUUAACAAAAGGUCCAUGUAACUCUUCAAAUUGAGCCCAAGACCCAAUGAAAAUAUGGAAAUUAAGUUGAAGGAUAUCAUCCUUUAAUAUUUCCAAAAAUGUCCUUUAUUGAUUUUGAGAAAAAAAAUUAAUAUUUUUGAAAAAUACUUUUAUGUAAUUUAAUAUUUUUUAAAAAUAAAUUUAUUUAAUUUAAUAUUUAAAAAAAUAUUUAAUUUAAUAUUUUUUUAAAUACUUUAAUUUAAUUUAAUAUUUUUGAAAAAAAUUAUUUAAUUUAAUAUUUUAGAAAACUACUUUUAUUUAAUUUAGUAUUUUUGAAAAAAAAAUUAUUUAACUUAAUUUUAUAAAAUAUUUUAUAUGUGUUCUUAAAGGGUAUAUUUGUCCAUUACUAUUUCAUAUCCUUCAACUCAAUUUGAAGAGUUAUAUGGACCUUUUGUUAAUUUGGAGGCCCAUCUACCCCCAAAAUAUAAUUCUCCCAUUUUAUUUUAAAUCAUUUUUCAAUUUUCAUAGAUAUAUUUUAAAGCAAUUUUUUUAAAAAAAAAAAAUGCUAUAUAAAUUUGCCAAAUUUUAUUUUAAGAAUAAAAAAUUAUAAAAAAAGAAAAACAAAAAAGGGAGCCAAGAAGCCAAAUUGGGAAGCCGAGCGAAGGAUGAGGUUAAACGUGUAAAGCGGUGUCGCUUUUUACCGCACAGAAAGGGGGUGGAGAGGGAGUUGGUGGGGCCCACAUAUCUGUUUACCAAAAUAGAAGAGGUUCACGGACCAUGCUGUACACCCUCCUCCUCCUCCUCCUCCUCCUCCUCCUCCUCCUGGUGUACCCAUCAUCAUCAUCCAUUCAUCACCAUCAUCAGCAUCGUCAUCAAGCCCCAUCACAUCUACAUAUAAACCCAUUAUUUAUGGGCCCCACUUUAACUCCAGUUAGCUCCGAUUCCUUCACCCGCCCCCACAUCAUCAUCUCGACCCCACUUCAUUAUCGUAUUUCCCACAAUUGCCCUUCCAGCAUUCAUCUAUUUACCACGUGAUAACAAAAUUCAAACACCCCCCCUCGCUUAAAAGUUCUGACCCAAAAGAUUCUUAUGGCCCCGCCCCAAUUGAUGCCCUUCCUCCACCCGGAUCCGGACCCGCUCUUUCUGUUUUCUUUUUGAAAGUGGGAGUUUGAAGUAGAGGGAUUGAGAAAGUAUCCGGAUGAACCGGGUUGUGUUCUCUCGUUUCCCGUAAUAGUCGCCUCCAAAUGUUAAAGCUUAGCAGUUCAUCCGGACCCACAUGACCCAAUUGCAUUGAGGAUGUUUUUGCUACGCAAAGUUUGAUAUAAUUCGCCGAUACUACACCAAUUCAAUACGUUUUACGUAAGUUUUGAUUGAGGACAAAUAUACACGAAUUACCAUGCAGGUGUUUUGGCCUUCCAAAAACCAUAAUUUUACAUCAUUUUUUAGAAAAAAAAAUAUUUUCAUCAAAUGGAAUUUCCAACAAAACAACCGGAUAAAGAAAAUUAUUUUUGUCUACAAUAAUCUUGAUUUAAUAGAUUAUAAAUUAAAAUUUAUAUGAGGUUUUUUUAGUGAAUUCUCAUACAAUAAUUUAUAAUUUUUUAAACAUUUUUCAAAUUUUUUUAAAAAAUAAAAUUGGAUUCAUAUAUGCAAACUUGAAAAAAUUUUCAAUUUAUUUCUAUAAAGAUAUUGUAAAAAUUUUCAAAAAUUCUUCAAUUUUAAAAUUGUUAAAUAAGAUAAUCUAAAAUAAAAAAUAAAUGAAAAACCCUCAUACUUUUAUAAAAAGUAUAAAAAAAAAAAACGCAUACAUACUUAAUCCCAUAUAUUUUUAAUAGGUUGACCUCAUAAAAUAAACAAAUAAAUAAAUAAGCCUAAAUAUAAUGGUAGAUGGAGUGUGGUAUUUACACUUAGAAUAAACUACAAACUAAUUCCUAUUUUUAUUUUUUUUAAAUAAAAUUAAUAUCAAAGAGAAAUUGUAGUAAUGAAUUUUCCAAAAGUUCUUGAAAAAAAGUAUCCCCUUUCAAAUAUAUAUAUUGAGGACUUGUAAAUCGCUUACUUGAAAAUAAUUCAAAUAUUUAGGGUUUAUUUAAGAAUAUUUUUAAAAUAGUUUGUAAAAAACAACCAUUCAAAAAAGUAGUUUUAUUAUAUUUUUUGAAUUAAAAGUUGUUGGUACAUGAUCAACAAUUUCUUUUUUUUUACUAACUUUUUUCAAACAAACAACAAACGUCCUAUGAUAAGGUGUGUCUGUAUGGUUUUUUCGAAUAAGCCCUUAACAUCAAGUCGGUUUUUGAAAUAUAAGGACUAGUUUUUUAAGGAACUUUUAUCAUACCUUAAUUUUGAUAUCUCAUAGUUUUGAUUGUUUUUUAAAUAUAAGAACUCUAGCUUUUUAAGGAACUUUUAUCAUACCUUAAUUUUGAUAUCUUAUAGUUUUAAUUCUUUAUUAUUUUAAAUGCUAAUAAUUAACUUUGUAAUAAGAUUUUCAAUUUUAAAGUCAAACGUUUACACUCAUAUUUCUCUCUUGAUGUAACGUUUCAAAACAUUUAUUACUUGUACAAUGAAUACGAGCAUUGUACCAACAAUCUUUUGUUUGUUUGAAGCAUAAAUGGGAAAUGAGCUUUGGUCAAGAUGAAUGUGGGUCCCACACAAAUCUAUUUAGAAAUUUGAGUCUUUUAAUUUGCUUUUAAUGCUUUUAAAUAUUUUUAAAAAUUAUUUUUAUUUGUAAUGCUUACUUUCAAUCGUUAUCCAUAUUUUUUGUAUUUAUUUUCUUAAAAUAAUCCUUAUAAAAUAGGUAAAUAAUUAAAAUAUGUUUUAAAACUUUUUUCCAUCAUAAAAAUAUUUUUUUUGAAGAAUAUAAAUUUUUUUUAAAAGUAGUUUCAAAUAUGAUCUUAUAAUUGUUUAUUUUAUUGAACAACAAUAAUAAUAAAAUUUAUUUUUUAUUUUGAUUUUCGAAUAGAUAUUCAAUUUUUAGUAUUUAAGUGUUAAAAAAUAUUUAUUUUAAAAUAGAAUAGUCAAGGGUAUUUAUAAGUACUUCGAUAUAAAAGUUCAAAAAAAAAUAAAUAAAUAAAAAUAGAAGAUAGGGAAUAUUUUCAAAAAUAUUUAAAUGGGGGGCCCACCUUCCAACCCACGCUCAGUUAAAUCAUGAAUAAGGUUUAAGAUCCCAAGGUAGCCUUUUUCUGACCUUUUCCACUGCACGCGCCUGGAGCCCGCACCUGGAGCCAAAGCCAGGAGAUCAUAACGCGCACUGCUCUCUCACAUGUUCAACAGCUAUAAUCUGUUUUAUUCUCCAAAGCUGGAGGGCAUCCCAGCCGUACGCGUGGAAGGAUACAAAGGUGGACCUACGGAACAGUCAAAUCGUACGUCUGAAACUUGAUUCAGACUCUGAUUACAAUAAUAAGAAAAGUACUGAAAUCAAUCAGAUGGGGGUGAGUGAAACUGCCAACGCACAUCCCCAUGCAAUCUAUUUCAAAACCUAAAUUGCCCUCUACGUUACAUUUUUUUUUUUUUUAAGUGUUUUUUACUUUUACCGGUAUGCUUUUAUUAUUUUUUUAUGAGAAUUAAUUAGUGCUUGAGUAUUAAAAAUGCUAAUUAAUAAACUAAAAUCUUAAUUUAAAAAUUUGUAGAAAAAAUAAGAAAGAAAAUAAAGAGAAUAAAUAAAAUUAAAAUGAAUAAAUUAUUUUUUAUCAAUUGUUUAACUUAUUUCAUUGUUAUAUGCUAAGAUUGAAUUAUUUAAGGAAACAUCGAUUUUUAAUUAAUUUUAAUCAUAUUUUAUAAUAAAUUAAACACUAAAAAUAACUAGUUUUUAAAAUAACUUUUUGAUUAAAACAUAAUUUUUAUUUUUAGUUUAAAUAUGAUUAAUUUUAUUGAUACUCUUGAGAUUUAACGUAAAUACAUUAAACUACCAAAUAUUUUAAAUUUAUCGAUUAACACCCUUAUAAAUUUAUUCAUCUAUUAAAUUAAAAAUUUUAAAAUGAUUUAAAUAAAAAUAUUUUAUAUAGAAGUAUUUAAUAAUUCUCUAAACACUAAAGUUUAUUCUUUAAGAAAUAAAAUUUAUAUAUAAAAUAUAUUUAUAAAGAUGUUAAUUAAUGAAAUUUGAGAUCCGUGGUGACUUAAUGUAUUUAUACUAAACUCAAGAGGUCUCGAUGAGAUUAAAUCUUUUAAAUGAUUUGAGAAAUUUUUUAUCAAUUUUUCUAAAUCAAGGAAAGUACUUGAGUAUUUAAAUGAAGUGAUUGCAACAUUACACUAAAAUAUUGAUAUAAAGCCCUAAAUAUUUAUUUAUUUUAUUUCCUUCAAUUAUUAGAGGUAGAAAAAAAAGGGCAAUCAUGGAUGGGAUCAAACUAUAAUAUUUAACAAAGCAUUGAUUAACCUAGGGUUUCUUAUAAUCUCCUUUGGCCCCUCUACUUUAUACAUAUACCUAGCUACAUUACCAACUAUUUAAUCACACUAUGGUGACAUUUCUAAUCUAGAAGACACCAAAACUCCCACUUGGUUUUGCACAAACUCUCACCAAAGCACACCUAAUCUUAGGUUUUAUUUUAAUCCUUGAUUAACCAAAAACCGAGAUUACAUGAAAUAAUGCAACCUUAGUGCACAAAUCGGUGCCUGAUUUUAGAAUAAUCGUUCGAUUUUAUAAACUAAUCAAAUCUUCAUCAAUAUCUAUAAUCUAGUAUAAUUAUUAAAUAUAUGAUUGCAUCGAAUAUAAUGUAUUCAUGUAGCGUGUGAAAAUUGUUUGAUAAAUAAUAAUUACCAUAUUAAUUAAAGUUUGAUGAGCUAAUCUUACGUAGUUUGUUUUGAUUUUGAGUGGAUGGACUAUCUCUGAUUCCAAGAUGGUUAAAUUUUAAAUUUAGAUUACUUAGAAUAAAGUAAUAAAUGAUGCAAAUUGUGAUAUACUUUCAUGGUACUUUUAUACAUUAAUAUUGGAAGAGGACAACUUAAAAAUGAGAGAGUUUCACUACACUACAAAAUGCAUUGCUUGCCAUUUAAUUUUUUAAUUGAUAAGAAAUCUUGAAAGAAGAUUAUUCCAUAUUGUCGAAUCAAUAAGAAAACUUAAAAUGAGAAUAUAAAUAAAUAAAAAGACUUGAUCUCUUGGAGGUGGUUAUGAUCUUCAAUAAUUAAUAUGAUAAUUGAUUUAUUUAUUCAUUUUAACUUAUUAUUAUUAUUAUUAAGGUGAAAUAAUAUCGCUUUUAAGUUUAGGAUUGGAUCACCUAAAUAAUAACAGGUGAAUGUCGUAAAAAAAACUUAAUUUAUCCUUAUGAAAUAUUAAUUAAUUUUUAAAUGAAAUGAUUUAAAUCUGAUCCAAGAAUUAAUACCAAAACCCUUUUCCUUGGGAAAUGCCUUUGAUUAAUUGAAGAACGAUACCAACAACACAAGGGUUCACUCAUAGGAGUCUCGUGUUGGGGAAGGGAACGACCUCUAAACAUUGAUUGAUUUUUAUUAUUAUUCCAUGUACUAUUUUCAUUCUUAUAAUUUCACCUAGUUAGAAUAAUAUAUUCAAAUUCAUGUGAGGUUCUUAUUUUUAAUUUUUAAAUGUUGGGGUACGGAUUUUGACAAAAUCAAAACACCCAUGAGAGUCUCAUUACACUAAGCUAAAGCACUUCUACAUAGCAUGAGCUUAAGACCCCAUUUUUCUAAUGUUUCAUUGCCCAAUAGUCAAUAGGGUCUCACUGACCACCCUGUUUUCUGCAACAUUUUAUUUUAUUUUAUGCAGAUUUUAAACUAAAUAAGUACAAACCCUCGUGGGUUUUACCACACCAAAACAAAGAGCUUUUGACAUUACAUUAAUCUGCUCCUUGUAAAGCUUUAUUAAUCUGAUUGACCCAAUCAAAAUAAAUCAAAGUGGGUUAACUCUUAACCCACGUUAAGGCUAAAAUGGAAGAAAUAGUGUAAUGUCCACAUCAUGUCACCUAAACCCUUAACCUUAGUUGAGGCAAGUGAGGUUACUCUAAGCUUUUUUUUCCAAUGAUGUAACCCUAGUUAGAGGAAGACAUUCAUAGGCCUGAAGAACUUCAAGCUUAUGACAACAUAAAAUUAAGAUAGUGAGGAAUGAAGAUGACCCUAUCUUUGUUGUGUUAUUGGGGGGUGGGGCACCCCUGUUAGGGUGUCCUUUUCAAAUUACCCUUUGUAUUAUUGCAUUGAUGGUGGUUUGUGUCACUUCAGGAGGACUUGGAGUAAUGGUGGUGGAGAGGAGUUGUUAAUCAAAAUACCCACAUUAAUGGUUUCUAAUGAUGCAAGGGUGUGCCCAUACUUGGGUCCCACAUUUGUUUCAUCACUAUUUUAUAUCCCUCUCUAUUGCUGAUGAGGAUUUCUGCAUGACACGAUUCUUUGACAAAGGGCCCAGCUAAAGGGCUGAUGAGACCUGGAAUGGACAACACUCAAGAUCGAAUUCUAGUGCAAUACGUUUGCCUUAAGUAGAAACUUCAUUUACCUAAAAUUAGGUGGUUUUGGAAAGAUUUUACCUUCACUUUACAUAUCUAUACGUUUUUUUUUCUUUUCCAUUCUUAUAUGAUACAUCUUUUAUCAUCCACUUGUUAGAGUUGCAUGGAGCCUAUGAAAGGAAUGUUUAAAGAAUAUUUUAGGUAAUAUGUAUAUUUCCUAAUCCUUUAAGUAUAUAAGAAAUUAUUAAGAUGAUUAAGAGUCUGUUUAAUUGUGUUAUUUAAAUAUAUAUUUAAAAAAUAAAAAAUAAAAAGUUGUUUUUAAAUUUUUUUAAUAUCGUCAAACCAUUGUACUUAGAGAAUAAUUUUUUAAAAUAAAGUGAAAUAGAUAAUAAUUUUUAGAGAUCAAAUAAAAGUUGUUUUAACCAAUUUUUAAAAAUAAAAGGAAAACAUAAAUUCGUUGAAUUGUAUUUUUGAAAUUUGUUUUUAAAAACAAAUAUAAGAAAAUGUAAUCAAGCGAAUCUUAAGUUUUUAAGAAUGAAAAAAUAAAUAAGAGAAAAUUAUCCUAAAAUGUGAUAUCAUCUUAUAUAUAUUUUUAUUAUAAUGGAAAUCCACAAUGAUAAAAUGGUCAUAACUCUCACAUUGAAAAAUGAACUACCUUAUAUUUUGUGUAUAUCAAUCUAUUUUUCAUUUCAUACAUGUUAUUAAUCUUGUAGAGAAAGACUUCUUCCUAAUACUACUAAUUCUCAAUAGAAGAGGUUAAGGGAAGAAAAAUGCCUAUAUGUUUCUAACAUGACAUAUAAAAGUGCCUAUAUGUUUUGAACAUAGAUUAUAUGCCAUGUCUAUUUAUUGAAUAGAUGCUACGAUAUUCUCAAGUCUUUGCAUUACUACAUGUUCUGAACAUGGAUAAUAUGCCAUGCCUCUUUAUUGAAUAGAUGCUACCAUCUCAAGUCUUUGUAUAGCAUAUCAACACUAGAAAAAGAUAGCAAAGGCAUGCUCACCUCCCUUUUUUUCAUUUGAUUCAAGCAUGGAUGGAACAAUAGUUCCUUCACAAUUUACUUUGCCUUGUCCACAUGAUCAACCCCCUUCACAUGCCUAGAGACACGUACAUAUAUACUUUCACUCAAAUGGAAUAAGUGAAAAAAAAAAAAGUGGGUGUAGCAUAGCUUCUUCCAAUUGUUGGAAAUUCCACAUGGCAACAACCAAGUGGCCGGGACCAUUCAAAUGUCCCCUUCCAAAGGUCUUCCAGUCCUUUUCAAUUCAUGGGCAUGUCUAAUUUUGAUUGGGUCAUGAAAAUUGUUGUCACAAACUGGUUGAAUACAAGGUAUGUCUUUUGCUCAAUCAAGCAUUCGGCCACUAAUGGCCUCCAUUGAGGCUUAAUUUUACUACCAAGUGUGGACAAUGGAGUACAUUUUGGUGGCCACAUUAGGGACCAUUUGGUGGAAAAAACAAUGUGUACUUCAAACCAAGGAAAGAUGGAGGGCCAUGAUUCGUCUUCCUCCCACUGGUUUUUGCCUAGAAUAAACAUCUCUUAAAAAAGAACAAUGGCUUAGAUUUGUGCUUUCAAAUAUUCCAAUCCGGUUUUGAUUAUGUCUCUUGACCAUAUUAAAGAAAAGGCAAACAAUUCUAGAGAAAAAGGCAAGGAGAGAAGGGAGAAUAUGCCCAUAGUUUUGAAAAGGGUGAGAAAAGAAGAGGGUAAAAAAGAAAGAGAAGAAAAGGAAAUUACAUGGGAAACAAGAACACUUUGAUGACAAAACCUUUGAAAAAGUCACAAACAUGCAUGGGACUAAACCCCUCCCCAUGGCCAUGAUAUGUGGGGUGGCCAACACAACCCCAUUUGAGAAUAGGUUAAGAGAAAGUUAAUCAUGAAGAGUGAGAGCGAAGAUUGAAGAAACACCAAAGAAAGAGAGAUGUCUAUGGCAUUAAAAGAGGAGAAAGCCAAUAUAGAUUUGUCAUUGUCUAUGUGGGCUUUUAAUCAAAACCACUAUUGGUCAAGUACAUUUAUUGGGUGGCUUGGCUGUUGGCAACGACAAUCUUUCAUUUCUUGGCUUUUUCAUCACAUUAAUUCUUCUUUAAUUAGAUUAUUGGUUUUAUCAAUUGUCCACCCCAGUCGUUAGCCAUGUACAUGGGUUUGAAAGGUUGGUGGUUACUGACUUUCAUGGACAUCUUGUCUGAGGUGAUCGAAUCUUUAAUAUAGGGAUUAUGUUUUUAUGGGUGGCAUGCUUUGUACUGAUAACUGUGGCACACACUGUGUGUCCCUAUGGACAAAUAUCAUACCAUGCUUCACUUAGAAUAUGUCUAUGGUAUAAUCAUAUAUGCAGUUGAACUACUAAUGAACUGACUAUUUGCAAGAUUCGAUUCUUUUAAUCAGCAUGUUGUUUUAAUCUUUUAAAUUUUUUUUGUAGUAAAAUAAAAACUAGUUGUUUGUAAAAGACCCUUAACUUUGUCUAUCCUGUUGGCCGGAAUAUCUUUGCAUUAUUAUAAUUAAUAUUUUUAAGUUUCUUCUUAAAGUUGGUAAUAGACGAAUAAAUAGAAGAUCUUGAAAGUUCACACGGUAUAAACAUACCUAAUUCAAACCUUUUUUUUAUUAUAUUAAAAUACGAAAGGAAUCCAAUGACCAUGAUGUCCCCGUAUCCAUUAAGAAAAGAAGUAUAUGUAAGAAAUUUCUUGUAAUUAUGUAGACAAAUCUUGAAAUAAUGAAAUAAGAGCUUGUCUGAGUUAGAAUGAAAAAUAUUUAUAAGAGGAAAGACGAGUCAUUACAAAAAGAUAUUAAAAUUGACCCUUAAAUCCGAUAUAAAAUUCUAUUUGAGAAACGAGGAUGUUAUGUCACAUGAGAUGAUAUAACUAAAUAACAUCAUAUGUCUAAACAAAUGAGUAUCGAAAAGUUACUAACAUUGAUCAAGAAAAGAAAUAACUCUAUAUAAGACUCAAUUUGAGAAAUGAGGAUGUCUUGUUACACGGAUGUUAUAAUAAAACUAUAUCACAUGUCAUAAAUAAGUAUCAUGGCCUAAACUCAUGUGAGAUGGAAACUUGUGUGGAAUAAUUUUUCAACUCAAUCAUCUUGACAACUAUAUGGGAUGAUGAGCUCAGCCUAAGUUUUUGGGGACAUAGGGUAGUGUUAUAGGCUAUUGCCCAUUUUUCUGCAUUAUAGUAGUUGAAUGAUUUCCACUCUGUUGGGGCCAGAUGUCACUUUUAAAAGUACUUUGAGCUUACUGUAACCUGAUUUGAGUUUAGGAGAGACUGAUAAAACCGAAGAAAAUGAAGAGAUGACUCCAUUUAUUUAAGUUGAUUCAUAAGUUUGAAAAGCAGAGAAUGUAGGCCCCGCAUGUUUUGACAAUUUUGCCAAGGGGAUACGUCAUCACGUCUUUUCUUAUCUUAACUCCCAUGGUGGAACAAUACCCACAACUUUGCCUACUCUAGGGAUAAAAAUCUAGCCCUCUACACCCCUAACUCAGACGUUGGGCUAGGGCUGUUUCAGGCCCAGAUCAUUGAUCACACAGCCUUUGUCAGUGGCCCUUUGUAAUACUGAACAUCUGCCUGUAAUUUCAAUAGUUCUAUCCAAUGUGGGCUCAGAUUGGGCUAAAAGAAUCUGGACCUUGACUCCACCAGGCCCACUUGGACUAAUGUUGUUCGAGAAAAUAAGAACAGGAAAAGAAAAUGUAACACGCCACAGGCACAAGCAAAACUGAAUAGAAGACUGAAAAAAAUAUUCUGUCUACCCCAUUCAUAUUCUUUAAGCAGAAGAAUGAGGAUUUUUGUAAAGGCCACAUCAAUCAGGAAUUGGGUCGGUGGACAGGAAGCCAUAGAUGAACAUGUCUCUAACCUCACCUUUAUUAAACCCAUACUUCCUCACCAACCCUUCCUUCAGGAACCCGACCUUCUCUAGCACCCUUUGGGACCCCUUAUUUUCUACUUCUACCAAGGCUUGCACCCUCACCAAAUCUGGGAAUUCCUUGAACACAAUAGAGAGAGCCAUCUUCAAUGCCACUGUGACGAUCCCUUGUCCCCAGUACUCCCAGCCCAGCGCAUACCCUAUAUGUGCUCUGCAUCUGUCGUCGCCUGAUUCAGGCUUCACAGAAAUGUAUCCGAUGGACUGGUCGUCCAAACAUAUGGAUCGACGCCAGGGGUGGGGUAUAGCCACCUCCUUCAGAUACUUGAAGGCCUCUUCCCUAGAGGUGAUGGUGUUCCAUCUUAGAUAGCGCGUUACUCUAUCAUCACCAGCCCAUGACAUGAAGUCCUCCACAUCGGAAAGCUUGAAUGGUCGGAGAGAGAUUCUGGAGGACUCCAUUAAAUCCCACGAUAAUUUCAAGAUUGGUUCCGAGGUAACCCAGUUACCCAGGCAUGUAUAUAAGAUGGAGUAAUUGGAUGGGGACCAUAUAUGGCCGGCCCAUACCCUAAAACCAAAAAAAGUAUUUUUAUGGAAUGGUCAAUAUCCUGUCCUGAUCUAUCUCUAUCGGCCGCGAAUCUUCAUCACCAUUAGUACCAUUCCACCGGAUAGAUCAUUAUGUACAUGUAUCAUGUCCUCCAGGCGGACCAGGCGUUAGGCAUUUUGGUGUGGAUGACCAAUUUUCCAAGUUGCAAGCAGCCAUUCUUGACAAGAUACGAGUGUCAAUAGAAGGAUUGCAUGCACAAGUUGGUGUUUAAGGGUUGCAUCUUUUCUUGCAAUGCAAACACAAAUUAAGAUAGGGAUCCGUGCUUAUGUUUGGUUUCCGAGAAAAGUAUUAAGAAAAGAAAUGAAAAUACUAAAAAAAAAAAAAAAUUCGACUAUUAUAUGAAAAAAGAAAAUCAAAUAUAAUUAAAAUUAAUUAAUCUUUAUAUUGAUGAGUUAAAAUAAAUUAAAUAGUUUAAUAAAAAUAAUUUAUUAAUUUUAAAUUUAUUUUUUUUAUUUUCCUUAAUUUUUUUUUAUCUUAUUAUAUUUUUCAUUUCCAUUUUAUUUUCUUUAUAUUUUCCCUACAAAUUUUCAAACAUCAAAUGCAUAGAAAAAAAAAAAGAAAAAAUUAAGUAAAAAUAAAAUAUUAUUUUUAUGUUAUUAUACCUAUUUUAAUUUUUUUAUAUAAAGAUUAAAUAAUUUUAAAAUUUAUAAAUUUUAAGUUAAUUUUAAUUAUAUUUGAUUUUUUUAAUAUUUUUUAUAAUAUAAUCAAAUAUAAGAAAAUCGUUUUCGUUAAUAUUUUUUACUUUCAUUUGGUGUUUUAAAAAAACUAAGAGUGCGUUUAACAGUAAUUUUAAGAAAUGUUUUUAAUUUUUUUAAAGUUUAAUUUUUUUUUUAUUUUUCAAGUAUUAUAAAUGUUAAAAAUACUUUUUAAAUUCACUAUCACAUUUUAAAUAUAGUCUUAAAUAUCUAUUUAAAUAUGUCUAAUUGAAAUGAUAAAAUUGAUUUAAUUUUUAAAAUAUUUUUAAUAAUUUUGAUUUCGUAAAUGUAAUACAUUGGUUCAAUAGAAACACGACCUAAUUAUGAAACAUGUAACACGCCAUGAGCUCCCCACAUGAGUGUGGCUUGUGGGCCAAGCAUCUCAUCUCUGAAAUCGUCCACUAAGGCGGCUAUGAUCUUCGGUUGCCCUGCUUGUAAAUCAACAUUCUUGCUGACCACUCAACCUCACGCAUGGUUCUUUAGAAUUGACCUUAUUUCUUAUCCAAUUUCAAGGCAACUUCUCUACCUCUCCUGGAAAACUUUUCCUAUAUAAAAGCCAUAGAUUCAACAGCUUGAGACCACACCUCAUCUCUUUUUUGCCUUUCAUCAAAGCUUGACUACUUCAAUCGACUUUAGCAAAGGCUUACACAUGGAGGCGGAUGGAAAACAAGGCCAGGAGGGAUCCCCAGAGCUUUCCCUCCGGCCGCUGGAUCUUUCUGACAUAGAUGAUUUCAUGGUCUGGGCCACAGAUGACAAGGUGAGUCGUUUCUGCACUUGGGACACUUACACUUCCAAGGAAGCUGGCAUCGACUAUAUCAAAAACAUCGUCAUUCCUCACCCAUGGUUCAAAGCAAUUUGCCUUGACAAUAAGGCGAUCGGGGCUAUUUCAGUGUCCGCAAACAAUGGCAACGAUCGAUGUAGAGGUGAACUUGGGUAUGUGCUAGCUUCCAAGUACUGGGGAAAGGGGAUUGUGACCAGGGCCGUGAAAAUGGUGGCUUCUACUAUAUUUAAUGAGUGGCCACAUUUGGAGAGACUGGAGGCGCUGGUGGAUGUGGAGAAUGGUGGGUCGCAGAGGGUGCUAGAGAAGGUUGGGUUCCAGAGAGAAGGUGUUCUUAGGAAGUUCGUUAUUCUGAAGGGCAGAUGUAGAGAUAUGGUGAUUUAUAGUCUCCUGUCUACUGAUCCCCAACCUUGAUUCUGUGUAUUUCAUGAUUUAUGUUUGUGCGAAUUCUACAUGGACAAUGUGGUUGAUUGAUGCAUGCUUUUUAGGAUAUUUCCAUCUGAUUGAUGCUUGUUACUGAAUUUUAGUAAUUUACCUGCCAAAAAGUGGUUGAAUGUUGAUGUGAGAUAAGGAUGUACAAAAGAAUGAAAAUGGAAAAGUUCCAUGAGACUAGUUCAGGGUUCACAUGAGGUGAAGCCAUUUUUUGAUAAAUGGCUUGUUUGGGUGUUGAAAUUUAGGGUUUUUGAUUGAUUUUUGGACCUGGAGGAUCAUAGAAAAUUGACUGAUCUUCAACACAAGCUAUUAAUUAGAGUAUUGAUCAUGGGAUCAUUGGGCAAUAGCCCCCAAACUACACAUUAUUUCCAUCCAUAACUAAUAACAUGCCCAUUUUCAGAUCUUAGAACCCAAAGAAAAAACUAGUUUUAUUUUAACAGAAAGGAAGAAAGAUGCUGUUCUAAUGUAAAAUUGGAUCAGUGGAUAAAAGGCUAUACAUAGCAAAAUCAAUAGUUUCUUCAUUGAUACAGAGAUAUUUUCUGAGGACACCUUCCUUGAGGAACCCAGCCUUUUCCAAUACCCUCUGUGAGGCCUUAUUAUUCACAUCAACAAUACCUUCAGUUCUCUCCAGAUCUGGGAACUCUUCAAACGCACUUGAAACAGCCCUUUUCACGGCCAGUGUGGUUAUGCCUCAGCCCCAGUACAUUGAUCCAAGAGCAUAGCUGAUCGUUCCCCGGCAUUUCCCCAUGGAAGAACCUGGCAUAAUGGAAAUGAAUCCAAUUGGGCGGCCACCCAAGCAUAUGGCUCGGUACCAUGGGUGGGGUAUGGCAUCCUCCUUCAGAUAGUUCGAUGCAUCGUCCUUAGAGGAGUGGUGCCUCAGUCUGCAACUUCUGGUCACCUUAUUGUCACAGGCCCAUUCCAUGAGUCACAUCUACAUCUGCAAGCUGAUAUGGACGCAGAGUGAUUUCCAUCAACCGAUCAAAUGUCGUUGAUGAUUGGGCUAGGUUGGAGGUCUAUCCAGAUGUGGUGUGAAGAGGAAAGGGAUAAUGUGGUGGGAAGAGAAAAGGGAUUUACAUAUAUAUAUGUAUGAUUAGUACGAAAAUACAUAUAUUUUGAUACAUAAGGGGCAUAAGAAGAUCUUUCAAUACGUCAAUUUGAAAAAUAGAGCAUGAAAACUAAAAUUAUCUUUACUUUAAAUGGCUUGAGAAGUGGAGAAAUUUAAAGACAAAGUAAGGAAUAUCUAUAGAAAUAAAAAACUUUUUUUUUUUUUUUUUUUUUACUGAUGACAUAAAAUUACCUAAUGAAUUUUCUCUUUUAUGUGAGAUAAAAUGUGUCAUUACUAAAUGUAUCAUCACCUCGUUUAUGCACUAGCCAAGAUCGAUGAUAAUGCAUUUGCACGUCUUAUACAAAAAUACACAUGAAAAGACAUGAGAAAAAAAGAAAGUCAAAAUUAGCACUAAGAACUAUAAAAAUGCAAGAUAUACAUAUUGGAUAUAUGUAGUUUUAGUUUCAAUAAGGUCAUCUACUAGUGGUUCAUUUACACCUAGAAAUAUUUUAUCUCGACACAUAUCAAAAGCUUCAAACUAAGAAAGCAAAUCCAUUUUGAGUGCUAAGGAUUGGGUGAGAAUUUCUAAUUUUCCAAAGCUUUCUUCAAGAUUGCAUUUUAGUCUAAUAUUUAAUAUGGAAAAUUUAUUUGUCUACCAUGGUCAUCAAGAUAAGUAAGGGUAGAAUUAGAUCUUUAAUUGCCAUGCCACCUAAUCCUAUCCCCAAGUCCUAAGAUUGAGUAUCUUUUUAAUGAUCAACUUGUGUCUACUUUACGUAAGGUGAUAUAAAAAACUUAUGGUAAAAUGGCAAGGCAAAUCACAUCAUGAAAAAUGCAUAGAUUACAAUAAUGGAUUUUCAUAAGCUUAACCUAAUUUCUAUUUAUUAUAUCAAGGAUCUAACUUGUUAAAGUCGUGUUCUCUAAGUUAGAGAGAAUUGAUGGGAUAAAGCCUUUUAAAGUAUAUUUAAGAAAGGAAAUAAAUAAAUAAACUUUAAGUAAGAUUAAUGUUAGUUGAAAUUAAAAUAGGAUCAAUAUUUGUUAGAAUAUUUAAAAUAGUAGUAGCUAAUUAUUAAAGUCAUGAUAGGUAAUUAGAAUUUUAGUAGAAUUUGGGUUUCUUAAAGAAGCUUAUAAAUAAGGUUAAUUGAUGUAAAAUCAAGAUAUUGCAAGUGUUACAAUUCUCAAUGAUCCGACUCCAUUUUUUUUUCUUCUAGAUAACAUUCCUAGAGGACCUUAGUGAGAUUCUAAAGCUUAGUUUGAGAAGUGUUUUAAAAAAACAAAUUGUGAAAAACAAUUUUUGAGAAUAAUUUUUUAAAACCGCUUUUGAAAAAUAUUCUUUGAUAUUUUGUAAAAUAAAAGUUUGUUUAAGAACCUGAGUUUUCUAUGUUUUUAAAUAUGUCUAAAUAAUAACUUUUGUGUGUAAUGCUUUAUUUUUAAUCAUUCUCCAAAUUUGUAUAAUUGUUUUUCAAAAUAACAUUAGAAAAUAAGUAAAAGAAAAAAAAAAUAACUAAAAGAUAUUAUCUAAAAACACUAUAUUUUUUGUUUUUAAGAAUAUAAAAUUAUUUUUUAUUUUUAAGCACAAAAAUCAUUUAAAAAAAAGUGUAUUUUUAUUUUUUAUUUUCAAAUGUAUUUUUUUAAGGAUAAAAAAUUCUUUUUAAAAAUAAUUCCCAAACAGACUAAGAUUUCUAUCUUUUAUUUCCUUUUAUCUUAUUUCUUCAUAUUUUUAUUUUAUCAUCACUAUCAUAAACUUUAUCCCUUAUUCCUCUCAUUAAACCCUAAGACUCUGUUUGGUUGGCAUUUGACAAGAUAUGAUACGAUAAAACAUGUAUAUCUUAAGAUAUUAUAUCACAUUAAAUAAGAAGUAUAUAUUAUAGGAUAUUAUUUUCAAUGGAAUAUGAUAUCCUUGAAUAUACAUAUUUUAUGAAAAUGAUAUUUUAAGGUCGUAUAUCUAAUUAAAUAUGUUAUAUUAUAUUAUAUUUAUGUUUAAUUUAUUAAAUGAAUAAAAACUAAUAUGAUGUAAUUUUCAUUUUAAACAUUAAAAAUAAUUUAUAUUUCAUAUUAUUAUUUUCAUUUCACAAAUUAAAUAUACACAUAAUAUAACAUAGUAUAUCCCAUUGGAUAUGUUAUCUUAAAAUAUCAUAUUCAUAAGAUAUGUGUAUUAAAAAAAAUAUCAUAUCCCAUUGAAAAUAAUAUUUUAAGAUAUACAUAUUCUAUCCUAUCUUAUCAACUAAAUGUAAUCUAAGGUUAUAUUUAAUUGACUAGAUAUAAUGUUGAGAUAAGAUGAUGAGAUACAAUUUAAACUCUAGGGUCAUGUUUGGUUGAAUGGAUAUAAUAUGAGAUAUGAUAAAAGAAGUAUAUUAUAUUUUAUCUUAUGUUUAAUCAAAUAUGAGAUAUGAUAAGUAGAAUGAUAUAUUAACCCAUUUUUUUUAUAUCACUUCUACAUAGAAUAUGUUGAUCUUAUACUAAGAUAUAGGAUAUACAUAUCUCAUAUAUCAUAACUUUAGUUUUUCUAGUCAAAUUUUUAUUUUUUUUAUAAACUCAUUUAGCAAAAUAAUUUUUUAUUAUAAAUUAAAUUUAUGAUUAAAAAAGAAUACUAAUAUAUAUGUAUAUGUAUAUGUAUAUGUAUAUGUAUAUAUUAAAUAACAUAAUAUAAAAAAAAAUUUACUUGUAAAAUUUAAAUAUUUUAAUAAUGAAUAUUGUUAAGAGAUAAGAGAAAUUCCAAUUCUUAAAUAGAAAAUAUUGAAAUGUAAUAUAAAUUUUAUUUUAAAAUUGAAAAACAAUAUAUAUUUUAUGUUAAUUUUUAUUUAUUUCACAAAUUAAAUAUAAGUAUAAUAUAACCUAAUAUAUUCCAUUGAAUAUAUUACCUUAGGAUAUUAUAUGAUAUACAUAUCUUAGGAUAUGUAUUUCAUUUUUUAUCCAAUAAGAUAUAAUAUUUUAUGAUAUACAUCUUAUUAACAAAAUAUGGUCUAAUAUUAUGUUUGGUUGACUACACUUAUUUUAUCCUAUGUUCAAUUAAAUAUGAAAUAGAAUAAGUGGUGAAAUUAAUUAUCUAUUCUCUUAUUUAUAUCACUUGAUAUUUUAAUAUUAAGCUAACAUAUAGGAUAUACAUAAAUUUAUUUAUUUAUAUUACUUUUUAACUUUUUUAUAUUACUUAUUUUUUAAAAUAAUUUUUAUUAUAAAAUUAAAUAGAAAAUAUUGUAAUAUAAUAAAAAUUUUAUUUUAAACAUCUUAUAUUUAGUUAUUUUGAAAAUCUCAAAAUUUAGAAGAGAAAUUAUCGAAUUUUAAAAAAAAAAUUUAAGGAUUUUUUGCUAUAAAAAAUUAUAAAAUUUAUUCCUUUAUAUUUUAUUUAUUUAUUUUUAUAAAAUCUAAAACUUUAUUUCAAUGUCCUUAAUGUUUUAGUUGUUUAAUUUUAAAUAUUUUUAUAAUUAAUAUUAAAAAUUACUUAAACAUUACAAUUUAUAGUGUGACUAUCGUAUAUUAUUUGAGUUAAUCUCGCUAAUAUCAUUUAACGUUUAGUAUAAAUAUAUUAAGCCAACAUCAAUUUUCAAAUUUCAUCUAUUAACACUCCUACAAAUAUAUUUGAUAUAUCAAAUUUCCUUUUUAGAAAAUUGUUAAAUAUACAUUCUUAAAAUCUUUUUACCUAAAAUUUAUUUAAAAACUAAAUUUUAUAAAUAUAAUAAAUUUAUAAGAAUACUAAUUGAUGAAAUUUAAAUCAAUAAUAAAUAAAUGUAUUUACAUCAAACCUCUUUAGGUUAUGCCAUUGGCUAUCCUAAUUGAGAAAACUACUUCUAACUUUCAAAAUUUAUAAGAGUAUGUGAUUGAUCUCAUCUUUAGAAUGAAAGAUACUAUGCCUUUUGAGUGGUUGAAAAAUAGAUUUGUUGAAUUCCUCCGAUUAAUGAAAAUUUCAAAUUAAAUUUUAACGAUUCAAGGGUACAGAAUAGUAAGUGCAUCAUGAUGGGUUAUUAGAGAUUUUAACGGUAUAAUAAAAAUAGUUGCAAGUAGGCAUAUGAACAAUGCGUCAAUAAUUAUUACAUAAUUUAUGACUUUUAAAAAUGGUGUAUUAGUUGCUAAGUUUUUAAAUCUAAAGACGGAAGGUGAUUUAAUAAAAGUAGUGACAAAUAGUUAUAACAAGAAAAGUAAUAUUUCUAACUCUAUUAUAUUGUUAAUAGAAGAUGUUUGGAAGAUAAUGCAAGACCUUAAUGUUUUUAUUUGUGGUUAUAUUUAUAAAGAAGUAAAUAAAACAACGGAUUGUUUAGUUAAAAAAAAAUAUCUGUAAUUUAGAGUGGUCAGAUUUUUUUUAUAGAUGUUAUAAAGUUUGGCUUUGAAGAUUGAUUUUUGAUUGAUUUUCACAGGAGACAUUAAUGACUUGUUUGGGUGUUGAAAUUUAGGGUUUUUGAUUGAUUUUUGGACAUUGAGGAUCAUAGAAAAUUGACUGAUCUUCAACAAAAGCUAUUAAUUAGAGUAUUGAUCAUAGGAUCAUAGACAAGUGAUAUCAAACCUUUGAAUAGCCCCAAAACUACACAUUAUUUCCAUCAGUAACUAAUAACAGGCCCAUUUUCAGAUCUUAGAACCCAAACAAAAUACUAGUCUUAUUUCAACAGCAAAGAAGAAAGAUGCUGUUCUAAUGCAAAAUUGGGUCAGUUGAUAAAAGGAUAUACAUAGCAACAUCAAUAGUUUCCCCUUUGACAAUGAGAUAUUUCCUAAGAACACCUUCCUUGAGGAACCCAGCCUUCUCCAAUACCCUAUGUGAGGCCUUAUUAUUCACAUCAACCAUACCUUCAAUUCUUUCCAGAUCCGGGAACUCCUGAAACGCACUUGAAACAGCCAUUUUCACGGCCAGUGUGGUUAUGCAUGGCACUUUCCCACCCAACUGCUCCAUCAGGUAAUUAAAAAAUUAAGUGUCAUUUUUCUAUGUAUCAUGACCAUCAAAAUAUUUGGAUGCGGGGCUCAGAGGGUAUUGCAGAAGACGUUCUUAUUUAAUCAUCUAUUUUUUAUUUUGUAAAUGUAAUACAUUGGUUCAAUAGAAACACGACCUAAUUAUGAAACAUGUAACACGCCAUGAGCUCCCCACAUGAGUGUGGCUUGUGGGCCAAGCAUCUCAUCUCUGAAAUCGUCCACUAAGGCGGCUAUGAUCUUCGGUUGCCCUGCUUGUAAAUCAACGUUCUUGCUGACCACUCAACCUCACGCAUGGUUCUUUAGAAUGGACCUUCUUUCUUAUCCAAUUUCAAGGCAACUUCUCUUCCUCUCCUGGAAAACUUUUCCUAUAUAAAUGCCAUAGAUUCAACAGCUUGAGACCACACCUCAUCUCUUCUUUGCCUUUCAUCAAAGCUUGACUACUUCAAUCGACUUUAGCGAAGGCUUACACAUGGAAGCGGAUGGAAAACAAGGCCAGGAGGGAUCCCCAGAGCUUUCCCUUCGGCCGCUGGAUCUUUCUGACAUAGAUGAUUUCAUGGUCUGGGCCACAGAUGACAAGGUGAGUCGUUUCUGCACUUGGGACACUUACACUUCCAAGGAAGCUGGCAUCGACUACAUCAAAAACAUCGUCAUUCCUCACCCAUGGUUCAAAGCAAUUUGCCUUGACAAUAAGGCGAUCGGGGCUAUUUCAGUGUCCGCAAACAAUGGCAACGAUCGAUGUAGAGGUGAACUUGGGUAUGCGCUAGCUUCCAAGUACUGGGGAAAGGGGAUUGUGACCAGGGCCGUGAAAAUGGUGGCUUCUACUAUAUUUAAUGAGUGGCCACAUUUGGAGAGACUGGAGGCGCUGGUGGAUGUGGAGAAUGGUGGGUCGCAGAGGGUGCUAGAGAAGGUUGGGUUCCAGAGAGAAGGUGUUCUUAGGAAGUUCGUUAUUCUGAAGGGCAGAUGUAGAGAUCUGGUGAUUUAUAGUCUCCUGUCUACUGAUCCCCAACCUUGAUUCUGUGUAUUUCAUGAUUUAUGUUUGUGCGAAUUCUACAUGGACAAUGUGGUUGAUUGAUGCUUUUUAUGCUUGUUACUGAAUUUUAGUAAUUUACCUGCCAAAAAUUGGUUGACUGUUGAUGUGAGAAAAUGGAAAAGUUCC